UUCUUCUUACAGAAUUUUUCUUUUUCUAAAUAAAGAGUCACACGUGAUUCUUUUUCUUAUUUUGUUUUCUCUUUUAAAAAUAAACUAAAAUAAGUAAUUACUCCAACUUUUCAAAAAUCAAAUUUUCACAUAAAAAAAUAAGUCUCGCCAAUGAGUGGAACACACCUGGUUCUGCACUUGGUUUUCUGUUCUUUAACUUUAAAUAAUUUGUUAAAAAACAAACAUCAUAAAACAUGAUGAAAUGGAUCCUUAACUAUUUAUAAAUACUCAAUUUUAUUGCAGGUGUUAUUAUAGGAGACAACUUCACUUAUUUUUUAUUUUUAUUUUUUAAGUUUACAAAUCUAAAAUGAUUUUUAUUUACUAAAAAUAAACUUUUUGUUUCAUUAAAAAGUAAUACUUUAAGACACAACUUCCUUGUAUAUGAAAGUUGUUUGUUUAAGAGGCAACUUCCUUUAUUUGUUUUAAAGCAUAUAAUUUUGAAAUGAUUUCUUCUCUUUUUUUUUCUUUUCUUUUCACAAAGAUGGUCUUUAUAAGGUUUAUAUUUAAGGGUUUUGCAACAAAAUCCUAAACUUUAAAGAGGAAAGUAAACUCUAUGAAGUUGAUCAAAACUUAAAUUAGGGAAUAUGCUAGAAAAGGGUACAGGCAAAACCCAUUUAGCCAGAAUGGAAAUUUUAGUGGAUAGUAUAGGAAAAGUUAUGGAGAGUUGCGUGUCUUUUUUGUCUUUUUUCUAAGAGAGCGAUAAAUAAAAAAGUCAAAUCAUGUGUCUUUUUUCUAAGAGAGCGAUAAAUAAAAAAGUCAAAUCACACCAGUAAUAGGUAAAUGUCUCUUUUUCUCAUCAUUGAAAUUAUUUGUAAGAUAUUAACUACAAUUGAAAAGUUCUUAUCAAUAAAAUUCUCGCGGCCUUCAUCCAUCAAAUUCACAAAUAGGAUUCCAUUCAAAGAGAGAGAGGACGAAAAGUAAGAGUUGAUUAAUGAUCCUCAUAAUUUUCUUCCCCAUCGUAUUUGACCAGAGAAGCCUACUAGUGUGCUCUCACUUUCCUGGACAAGGAAUUUAGGACUUGGAAGUCAUCCUAUAGGUGGUUAUUUACAAAAUAAGGUUAUUGAUAUUCUAAAAAUCCUACCUAUGAAGUGGUUUUUAAAAUUUAUUUUUUAUAAUAUAAUAUAUCACUAAAAUUAUUAUUAAAAGCACUUUUAUGAACAACUAAUAAAAGAGAAAAAGAAAGAGUGAAAUGCUAUGACUUGUUCUUUCAGCUAAAAUUAUUGUGGAAGGAAAAACAAACGAGAGCCCAACUUUUCACUAAUGGAUGUCUAAAACCCAAAACUAUACCAUAAAAACUCCACAUGUAUUUUAAUUACCUCUCUUCACCUUGGUCCUGAUAAAGCAGAUGGUAUUGGUUCUGCAGUAGCAGCAUCAGCAGCCUUGUUCCCCAUGCCUGCAAUUUUUGGUGGUCGUGGGGAAUAUGAGAAACUGUACUCCAAGUUAUCCUCAAUGUCCACUAAACCUUCCAAAACCUUCACCACCACUGACAUGGAGGGCCUCCUUGCAAAAUCACUUUGGAGGCACCAUCCACCCACCUUCAUCAUCUCCACAACAUCUGCUCCAUGUAACUGCAUAUCCUCACUGCACUUAUCGAUUAUAUCUGCAAGUCGGUUCUCUUCUGCCUUUCUCUUGAAAAUACCUAGUAAGUGCAUAUCUUCCUCGGUCUGAGACCGAUCUAGGUUUUUCCUCCCGCACAGGAUCUCUAGUACCACAACCCCAAAGCUGUAAACAUCAACUUUUUCUGUGAUAAUGGAGGUCAGCCAUUCAGGAGCCAAGUAACCAGGUGUUCCCCUCAUUCUUGUUACAACUUGGCUCUGGUCUUUGUCGAUGAGCUUUGACAAUCCAAAAUCAGAAACUUUUGCAUUAAAAUCUUCAUCUAAGAGGAUGUUUUGGGGUUUGAUAUCCAAGUGAAAUAUUUUCUGCCUGCAGUCCUCGUGGAGAUAGGACAGUCCCUUGGCUAUGUCAAGGAUGAUCUUCCUUCUGGAUUGCCAACCAAGAGCAAGGUCUCGGUUUCCAUGGAAGAUCCACUUAUCCAAGGAUCCAUUGCACAUGCACUCGUAGACUAAAAGCCUAUGAGAUUUUUCUGCGCAAAAUCCAAUCAAUCUUACCAAAUUGACAUGGUGAACGCUACCUAUUGUCUCAACUUCAGCUAAAAACGACUUCUUUACUUGACCCAACCCUUCAAGUUGCUUAACUGCAACUUUGAUUCCAUUGCUCAAAGUCCCUUGAAAGACUGAUCCAAAUCCUCCUUCCCCAAGUUUGCAGCUAAAGUUUUCUGUGAUGGCUUUCAAGUCUUCAAAGGAGAAUCUAGUAGGCAUUCCUGGUAUGCAGUCUAGAUGAUCCUCCUCAGCUUCCUUGGAAUCUCUUCUCUUCCAGAAAAGAAAAAUGAAAGCUCCUAUCAAAAUAAGCACACCAAAGAGGGCUCCAAGACUUGAUCCAAGUAUGAUUCGAGCAUUCCCUGCUUUCUUCUCAACUACAUUUUCAGUCGGAGAAUUCUCUACUUUAAGAAACAAUGAUGUACUAAAAUAAUCAGUUGGAUUCAAUGUUUCCAUGUUCUGGAGUGUAAAGACAUCAGAUAGCAAGCAGCAAUCUCCACUUGAAUGGUUUGAAGGAUGUCUAAACAGAGCAGCUUUGCACGAACAGUUCUUCAAACAGGUCUGCUUGCAAAUCUCCACAUCUGUAGACUGCAUGUCCACUUGAAAAGUGGAGUAGCUCGUGUUUUGAAGCUCAAGAAGACUAUGAUAUUGAGAUAAUUGGCAAGAAAUGGGUGUAAUUGCGGAGCAGCCCAGGUUGGUUUGCCUUUCGUUUAUUGGCCUAAAAUAAAUUGUUCCAUUAUCAGAAGCUCCAGGACAGGUGCACUGCCCUGCUGAGCAAAUACCGUAUUUCCCACAUGCCAAAGGGUAAUCGCAUUCAGUUAGAAAUUCGUCCGUGAGAUCAACCGCCUCCUGCCAUCCAGUUUCUUGCCACUGGAAAACCCUCAAAUGACCAUCAGACCCCAACCUCAUGUAUUGAGCAGAUAAUGUUCUAGGAAUUGGAGCGAACGGAGUAAAAUUGAAUUCCUCAUCCUCCCAACGAUAGUACACAGAGAGGUUUCCGUUGGUGUAUUGGAUACUAGUCAAAAAUGAAUACUCCCAUUCAUAAUAGAGCUGGGGAGGAUUUGACUGUAUGUAAGCAUCAAAACCAUAAUUCGUAAUGGAAAGUGAAAACAAACCAUGAGUCCAAUUUGAUGCAGAUACGCUGGAGAUGAGCUUCUUCCCACGAACCAACUUCUGUUGAAGGACUAAGGAGUCAGUGGGGUGAUCAAAAGACUGCCACACCAUUUCAUUGUUUCGGUCAAGCAGCACAAGGUUCCCAGUUUCAGUCAAGUUUAAGCCUGAAACAGACUUGCCGGCUGUGUUUGUAGACCAAACAAAAGUGCCAUCAGCAUCUGCUAAGAUCAAAUUUCCAUCUUCAGUGAGUCGUAGAGUAGCAUUAAAUCGAACUGGACGGUUUCGAUUAGCAGACCACACAAGCUGUGGAGAAUAUACGUCUUGGAAGAUAAGAAUGGCAAAGAGGCAUAAAAAGCUCUCAUAGUGACAGUGGAAGCCACAUAGGAAACCUGGGCCACUGGUUUCUCCGGGGCUGAGAAGGAUGGGCUUCACUAACGCCCAAUCCGAGGAGUUCACCCAUUCUCCACGGGUGUUGGUCCAUGCAGUGGAGAGGUUUGCAAAAUUUGGACAUGGGUCUGAGAGGUCGGCAAAGGUAGAGGGGAAAGAAGAUAUUAUGAGAAAAGCAAAAAGAAAAGCAGAAUUCGAACGAGCAUCCAUCCAAUAUGGACUCAUGGCUUCUCCACGUAUGAAGGUUUCCAACUUCUAACGACACAAAAAAUGAAGGGGAGGAAGACAAUACAGAGAUGGGUAGAGCAAUUUGCCCUUUUGAAGUCAUACAUACAAAUCUUCCGCAAGUCUUCGCAUUAUUCUCCAAGUCCCAACAACCAUUCUAAACCCAUGUCCUUUCGCCGUAGAAGAAUUGUGAUAUUUACAACUUGUCUCGCUAACGACGGAAAGAAACAAACAAAUAAGAUUUAUGAUUUCAUUGUAAAAUUGCUAUUCAUGUUUUAUUAAAAACUACUUAUUUUUUAAUUUAUUUGUAAUUACAAAAAUAAAUUUAUUUUUAAUGAGACUUAAAUUAAAUUUAAUUAAUAAUAUAUAAAUUAAAUUUACAAUAUUAACCAAAAUCAAAAUAGAAAAAUUAUUUUUAUAAACAACAUUUUUUUAAUAAAUUUUUUUUAAAAAAAAACAUAUUUUUUUGUUCUUUAACUUAAUAAAAUAGACCAAACAUUUUUAUUUUAUUUUAUUUUACCGUGUUUUAUAUUCUAGAAAAUAGAAAACAGUUUUAGUUCACAUAAUCACACAUCUAAUCCCUCGGAUGACAAAUAUCUUUGCAUCAUGGUUGACCAUUUGAAUGAUCGUAGACCAAUGUUGAGUAUUAAGGGUGAACCAUAGUUGGCAUAUGAUGUUUUGAAAAAUUCAUGCCUAUGACAUAUAACUAAUUCUAAUUACAAAUAAAUAAAUUUAUUUGUAUGGAAAUCAUUGUUCAAUAGAUCAAUCCGACUUAACCCUAGAUUAUUAUUAAUUAAUUUCUACAAAUAAUCUUAAUAUCCACAUAAAAAAAUAAAAAUAAAUUCAUAUUUAAAUUUUUAUUCAAUGGUAAGUAUUAAUUAACCUCAAAUAAUUACUAGUUGAAAUUAUUAAGCAGUAUUAAAUAAUAAAAUAAUUUCCCAAUUGAAAUUUAUUAAAUAGAAUAAUUAUAAAUUAUUAUUCAAAUUCAAUAAAUAAUCUUAAUAUCCACAUAUGAAAUAAAAAUAACUUCAUAUUUAGUUUUUUAUUAAAUAGAUAACCAUUACUUAACCUCAUAUUUUGAAUCAUUCAUAUAUAAUUAAUUGGAUAUUGGAUAUAUGUUAUUAUAUUAGCAUUUUGGAAGGAUUUUCUUAAUUAUGGGAAAAGAAAUAGAUCUUUUUAUCAAAUGUUUUCCCUCAAAUAAAGUUCCAAGGGAAACUAGGUGAAUUUUUUUUUUUUUUUGAAUUUCUCCAAACCCAAACACGAUGAGAACCUGUUACCGUUGUAAUGAAGGGUCCGUUGGAUCCGUUAGUAUCUUUGCUUUCUUUAAUUUAAGUUCAUUCAAUUUCCUUAUCUUAAUUUAGUUUCUUUGUCUCAUUUAUCCUCUAAAAGGCAAAUAGCCUAUAUAAAAUCAGGAGUGUAAUAGGGGAAUGACAUGAAAAAGAAUCUUAAUAAGAAAAACCCAAAAUUUGUUCUUUCAAUUUGCAUUUUCUUCUUGGGUCUUAAGAUUUGGUAUUGGAGCACAAACUUGGUACCAAUCAUGGUGGAAGGGACUAGAGCAUAAGAACAUCACAAACUUGCCAGAGGUGAGCGCCUUGCGUGCCUAAGCAGCACCUUCGUGAAGGAGCGUCGCUUGCUUUCAGGUGAGGCGUCAGAGGGUGGCGUCGCGCCUUUCACAACUAUGUUUUUAAGUUGAUAAGCUUGAUCCUAAUCUAUUCAAAUCUUGUCCAAUUCGACCUGAAUUGCAACCUUCUUUGUUGAGAUGUUGAUCAUCUUCAAAGAGAUGAAACAAUUCUAGCCCUUUUUAUAGGCUAAAAGAUGUACAAAAACUCAACAUUUAUGCCAUGCCUUGAAUCCUAGGAACCCAGUCCCUCAAACCCAAUAUAGGCGGGUGGUUUGGAACCAUAUCAAACGAGCCCCACACCAUCCCAAUCUCCGAUACCAAAUUUUCAAAUACAAAAGCAAUAUUAAAGUAUAGUUGAUGAGCAUGAUCUUUCUCAUUCUAUUCUUUAAUGAAGUUGGUGAGGUGUCGUAGCUUUAGAUAGGUAUUGAUGGAAGAGAGACCUAUGUAUUAUUAUUAUGAGAUAUGUGGGGCUUGAGUUGACUUGUAUCAUAACCACAUUUUCUUCGUAACGACAUUUUCUUACAACUUUAUUGCCUUAUCACAUACAAUGUAUCUAAAUAGGGUUAUUUAUAGUACUGAUUUGAUAUAUAUCGAAAAACAUGACUACUCGGGUCGUGUUACGUGUAUACUUUAGAUAUUAUUAUUUUGUACCCAGGUUUGAUUCCAUUAUUUUGUACUUUAGUCUCAUUUUUAUGUACUUUAAUCUCAUAUAUUAACUUUACCAUACGCUUGUAAUGGAUGAAGUACAAAAAGAAACCCAGUAAGGAAAAGUACAAAAAGAAGGAACCCAGUAAAAAGAAACAAAAAUCAAUAAAUAAUAAUAAUAAUGAGAAGAGGUUGCAAUUUGCCAAUGCUGUUCAUUGCCAGUUAAGAGUGACGUGGAGGGCAGUGAACAAGGCUCAUGGCUCAUGGCUCAUGAGAUCAAAUAUUCAGCCAUGUGCGCGGAUGGCGCGUGUGCCUUCACGCUACACUUUGGUGGGUCCCGAUCUCAUUUCAUGACUUAACACCACUUGUAUCCCAUUUUCUACACCAGUCAUGAUCAACCAGUUCAUAUGUAUUUGAAAUUUUGACGUUCAAAUUUAUACAAUGUGAUCAAAGUAGAGCGGCAAUUUGGGUCGCUCAUCCAAACCAAUCUCAAUUCAAAAACCAUCAAACUUGACUUACUCAAAAUCUAUUCUCAUUUUUCUAAGUUUGGAUUAAUUAGACUUGAGUUGCAUAAUUCAAAAUCCAUUUAUAUAUAUAUAUAUAUAUUAAAAAUUAUAUAUUUAUAUGAAAAUCUAAAUAAUGAAUAUGAAAAAAUUUUAAAUAACAAAAAAAGUAAAAAUAAAUUUAUAUAUAUUUUUAAAAAAUAAAAAUAUAUAUAAUAUAAUAUAAUUUGAUAUUUUUAAAAAAAAAUUAAUUAAUAUUAUUACAUAAGAUAGUAUAAGCUCAAAUUGUAUGUGCUUGAUCUUAGUUCAAUUUGAAUUGAGUUGGGAUUGAAAGGAUUGGAAAUAUAUCAUAAUAUUGAAAAUGAAGGGGAAUCAUAUCAUAUAGAAUAGUCCAAAUUAUGACCAAAAUAACUUUUGGUUUCCCCGAGAAUCAACUUUUUUUUCUAUUCGAUACACAUAUCAAAUUUGUACCUUGAAAAACCCAAAUUUAUAUCAGACUAUUCAGACCCCUGCACUGGGGCUGUGCAUCUUAAUUUUUAAAUCUAACCCUUCCAUGUAUUUACUUAAAAAAUAAUCAAUUUUUAGCAUAAAUGUCCUUCAUCAUUUCGAUUUUUUACAUAUAAAUUUUAAAAGAAAAUGUUAUUUUUAUAAUAAAAAAAGAGGUGUUUUUAUUAACAGAAAAAAAGCCAAAAUAUUAUAAAGGAUUAAAUUUUCAAAUUUAGAUUUCAAUGAACCCUUUAAAUAAAUAAAAAACGAGGGAUUAAAAUAUAAUUAUCAAAUACCUCAAGGGUUUAUGUGUAAUUUACUCAACAAAUUAAUUCACAUAUAUACUAACUUAGACUACAUACCAAUAAAGUGCUACCCUUUUUUUGACGCGUCAUAUUAUAUUGAAAUUUGAAAUCCUUUUUAAAGAGAAGAAAAGAACCUCCAACUUUUGCUCUCAUUUUUGGAAGUUAAAUUGAUGCUACAUUUUUUCUAGGGUUAUUUGAUUAAAAGGUCUUUUAAACCCCAAUUUUUUAAGUUUAACCUCCUACCCUUUUUUAGUAUCAUUUGGACAAAAAUGCCCUCAUCAUUUUUUUUUAUAAAAAUAAUCAUUUCUUUUAAAACCUACAUGUAAAUACUUAAAAUCGAAAAAAGCAUUUAUAUAAAAAAAUGAGUUACUUUUUAAAAAAACAUAGGAAAAGUUAAAUUUCCGAUUUAAGGAUUAUUUCAUCCCCUUUAAUAAAUAAAAAACAUGAGCUAUGUUUGACACACACUAUCUUAAACAAUAAAAUGAUUAACUUAAUAAAUUCAUACAUUUUUUUUCCAAUUUAGAAUUAAAUUUUUAUUAAAUUAAAAUUUUGAAAAGAUUUAAAUUAUCGUUAUUUUUGGUAAAACAUUGUUGACAUACACUUACCAAAAAUGAAAACAAUAAGAGCAAACUUGCCUACCUCAAGUUUUUUUAUUAGUAAACGUGGAAUUUAAAGAAUAUUCCAAGUAAGUCCAUGGUUAACUUGCGUCACCUCAACCUCAUCAUGGCCCAACUCAAGCCAUCCCAAUCCAACCUAUUACCACCCACCAUGGGCCGAAGUUGAAGCCUAAGGCCAAGUUUGUGGCCCGAAAAGAUAAAGGAUAAUUAAAAAGGAAAAAGGCGACAAGGCCAUCCAUAAAACUUCCGUUAGAUUGACACCUAUAAUUUUGUUUGGUGUUUUGUAUCCAAAAACCCUAAUUUCUUCGAUUUGGUCUGAGACCCUGAGACCCCUUGCCUAUACCGCUCUCCCUCGCUCUCUCUCGAUCCAUCGAUUGCCGCUGCUUCUUCCUCUACACAAGGUUACUCUCCCAAUCUCUUAAUCUGUUUCUCUUCGAUUUCGCAUUCAUGCUCAUUUGCUCAUCCAAUCUCCAUUUUUUUCAGUCUCUGAUUUUUUGGUUGUUUUUUGAAUGGAUUACCCAUGUGUUUCUUUUGUCCUGGGGUUUUCUUUUUCUGCGAAAUUAUUCGGUUGGGUUUCUGUAUGAUUUGGUUAGAUCUUUGCCCGACUGGUGUUUGGCGGUCCUCAAUUGUUGUUCGAUUUCGUUUUGGCUUGUUUUUUGCCCUCAAUUUUCGGGUGUUUCGAGUGGUAUAUCGGUGCUCUUCUGAUGAAGAUUGGAUGAAAAAUCAAGUCAAAAACCUUUUCUUUUUUUUUUGCCCGAGGAUUUUGCAUUUGAUUUUAUGGGUAUGGGUUUUUGGACAUGAAUGAAAAUCGAGUAUGGACCAUGUGAUUUUACUUGGUUGUAGUUGCUAAGUGAUUGUUAUGUUUGUGUAAUGCUGUUGGUUGAAUGUAUUCUUGUGUGUAACAUUUGAAAAUAGUAGAUUGACUUGAGCUAAGAUUGGAAUUCUAGUUCCAGUGAAUUGGUGAAAUUUUACUUUGCGUUGGGAGUUGGUUUUGAAUAGGCUGGGCUUUAUUGGGUGUAGUAUUCAUUAUAAACCCUUAAAAACUGUUGCCUAUCAAUAAAUAAAUAAAUACAAACACUUAAAAGCUGUACCUAUCAAAAAGAAAAAAUAAACCCUUAAAAGCUGUGGCAUAAGUUGUGUUGGAUUAUGAUUUUUAUCCAUCUCUUUUGUGAAUUGUUGCAUUUAUGCAUUAUGAUACAUUCCUUUUACAGGCAUGAAGUUUAUAACUGACUAAAAAUGUGCAAUUUGGCUUGUAUUGACAACUACUUGUUCUAUAUCAGUUGAGAUUACAAUACUAUUGUUUGAGUCUGUAUUUGCGUCUUAAAGAGUUUAUGCAUGUAUUUCCAUUUGGGGUUUGAUUGGAAAGCUCUUUAUUACUAUUUUUUCUUUUUCUUUUUCUUUUUUUCAGCAAUUAAUGAAAUGGAUUACUUAGUUUAUUUUCAACUAGAUUCUAUAUUACUCUAGUUGGUGUCUUACAUACUAGAAAGUGGCCUUAAGAGCUUACUAGAAACAUUUGAAGGAAUGAUACAUAUAUUGAAUUAUAGCUGAUCAGUUUAAUUUUGAGUGAUCAUUCAAUUUUGUCCAAAGUUGUGAAGGUAUUUAUUAAUUACUCACUCUAGUUGUUUGAAUAGGUUCUGCAGCCUAGGAUUGUGUAUGCUUUGGUUAAUGAGUCACUGAGUAGAACUGUUAUAUAAAUUUUUUCAAACCUUUUAGAUAGAUUGCCCAAGGUGUUAGUUUUGUCCCCAUUAAAGUAUUUAUGUGCCUAAUUGAGAAAUGGGUGCCUUCACUUGAUAAAUAUUUCAACCAUCAUUGAGGUACACAUAUAUUCUGUCAAUGUUUCUAAGUUGAAAACUUGAAUGGUGAAGAGAAGCUCCAAUGAACUUGUUGAGUGAAUGUUGUGGUUUCUGAUGUAGAAGGAGUUAAUGUUGAUAAGUAAUAUAGACUAUGAGAGGCUAGGUGUUGAAACUUCAAACUCGGACAUUUUCAGAAAUGCAAAAGAAAUCUGAAUGAACUUUGUCUAGUUAGUAAUGGGAGAAAUGUGUUUUUUGCAUAUGCGUGCAUGCAUGUUGGGGACACCUUAUUCAAUUGUUGGGUAUUGCUUAUUUUAACACAAUUUAUGUCAGCUGUAAAGUUGCAGUAUUCAAAUCACAGAUUAUGUUGUAUAAACUUAUAGUCAUCCAUAACUAUGUUUCUUACUCAAAGAAAAAGGGAAAAGAAAAAAGGGAUUAUACUGGCAGAUGUAAGUUGAUCAAUCAAAAACCCAGUCUGUGAUACUCCCCACCUCAUUGGCCAGUUUUAUUGUGUUUGAUGAUUCUGGUAACCCUCCAAUUUGAGAAGUUGUGUUCAGAAAUGGCCUUCUUUCAAAUUUGGGUAGGUUCUUUUUGUUGCCUGUGAUAUCUUGUUUGAAGAUUGUGUUAUCUGUAUUUUGAAUGUUUGUCCUUUGGUCAAAUCUAUUCCUCGUGUAAGAUGACUCUUGCAUGGAAAGAACAAAAUAUGUUUAUACAAUGAACUUAUCAUCAAAUUUAGGUUCAUUUCUUAUUGUUUGAACAUCUUUUAAUUCCAAGUUUAAUAAUAUACUCUCUUUUAAAACAAAGUUACUCCUUACAAUGUCUGAGCACUUCUUAAAAGAGAAUUCAAAUUUUGCUUAGGAACUGAAUGUAUUACAGCCCAAAUGCAGAAGCUGGGAAGAUAGUUUAUGAAUUGUGAUUGCUUGCGAAUUUAUUUGACCAUUUUUUUCAAUUAGAACAUCAAGCAUGUAAGACACAUCUUGCUAAGUUAUGUAGUCCAUACACAAUUUUCAUAUCUUUGUAUUAGUUUUAAGUUGGGAAAUAAUAUGUUUCCUUAGUUUUUGUUUCCAGUUUACUUCUCAGUACAAAAGUUAUGUUACUCAUGCGUAUUAUAUAAUACGAACAUUAUAUUAUUAAAAAUGUGUAAAUGAUUGUUAUAUUACUAUACAAUAAAUGAACUGUUAAAAACCUGUCAUUUCAAGAACAAAAUUUAUAAUAGAAAAUGAAGGCAUAUUUGCAUUCCCACAUGUGUAGGCAAAAUUGAAUUGCCUCUUUCUAUUUUAGUUAAGAGUACAAUAUUAUUACCAAGACAUUCGUCAUCUGCAUCCACUUAACAUGCAUAUAUUGUUCGUUAUCAUUGGUGCUCAUGUGAAGAUACAAGUAGCAGGGCAUCAUCUUAAACAUCAGUUUGUACAUGUAUGGUUUCCUCUAGCUGUGUGUUGUUUGUCAAUAACUAAGACAUAAAUCAUUAUCUUAAACAUGCAGGAACAAUUGAAUUAUUCAAUUCCAGAGAGAUGUUACCAGCGUCCAGAUCUAAGUCCAAGGACAAACGAGCGGGUAAGGAGCCACAGAAGGCUUCUUCCAAGCCGUCAGCACCACCUAGCACAGGUUCUGGUACCCCAACUAGUGGAUAUAAUCCGCUUUUGGGAACAUUCCAUACGCUCGAAACAGCAUCAUUGUCUUCCGCCUCAACCCUAAAUAGUAAUGGUCGCUUCCGGAACAUAGAUGAUACAGAUGAGAAUAGUGGAAGCUCACCUGGAACUGGAUUUGAAUAUGAUGCUAUUUCCAACAAUGAUAGUUGGUCGGGUGAAUCAGAAGACCACAAAGAGAAAACAUCUAAUCCAACUGGGAAGCAGGGGACAAUACCAGGGGCUGACAACGACAAGCGAGAAAAAAUCCGUCAGAAGAAUGAGAGAAAACAUCUGCGCCAGAAGGAGAGAAGAGCCCAGGAUUUGCAUGAGCGAUGCAGUGGCUAUCUAAUGUCAAGAAAGCUGGAAGUACUGGCUCAGCAGCUUAUGACGAUGGGUUUUUCUUCAGAAAGAGCCACCAUGGCUCUUAUAUUGAACGAAGGCAAAGUAGAGGAAUCAGUGGCAUGGCUAUUUGAAGGGGGUGAAGAAGCAGAUAACCACAAAGGCCAAAACCUUGAUGGUGGGAGUAAUUUGAAAAUUGACAUAGCGGAAGAGCUUGCUAAGAUUGCAGACAUGGAGAUUAAAUACAAUUGCUUGAGGCAGGAUGUUGAAAGAGCAAUUGUUGCAGGUGAGGGUGAUCUUGAGAAGGCAGCAGAGACCUUGAGAGCACAGAGGCAUGACCCACCUGCGACACCAAAGCCAGAAGCAACUGGUGAUCCUCCAAAUAUCAAUAAUGGUAGGCCCUCGGUUGCUGUCACUCAGAACCUGUUGAGGGCACAAUCAAAAUCCAAUUCAUCUUCAACAAUACAAACAAGAAAGGAAGAAAAAGAUUUCAACUACACAAAAACAGCAGUUGGAGUCCCAGCAUGUUUGGAAGCCGGGAACAAAAAUGUGCCACCUGCAAAAAGGAUUCCACCAAAACUGGAGUGGGCAAAACCGCAACAAAUUGCAACACCGGCUGAGAAAAGGUGGCCAAGUGCUGGUUCAAAUCCUUCUGUUUCCUAUUCUGUGGCAUCAUCAUUGGUGCCGCCUCCACCACCUAAGGCAGAAACCCGAUAUGUGGCUGUUGGGAGUGAACCUAAAACCCUUCAACCGGGGUCAUUGAGGGAACCAGUUAUUGUGAUGCAGCGGCCCCAAUCCAUCAAUUCUGAACAGGUCCUAGCUAGCAUAAGCUCUUCUCCUGGAGCAGCUGCUGGUUGGUACCCUAAUAAUGUUGAAGUAAUGAAGUCGAAUGGGUUGUUGUCAAACAUUAUUACCGCUAGAAGCCUCAGCCCUAACAAUUUAAGUGCAAAUCAAUUGUACCACCACCAUCACCAUCAAGCCCAACUCGUUUCAAGUAGCAGCCCGGUUGUCCCCCCAGGAGCUAUCCAGGGGAAUGAUUCCUGGAGCAGAAUGAGCACAUCUCCCAACCUUUCUGCUGCGUCCUCCCUUGGCCUUUUCUCUUGGUUGGGUUCAAACAAUUUGGCAGGUUCAUCUUCUUCAGUAGAUUGGAGCUCGGGUGGUUCAAUGAAUCAAUUAGAUUACACCAACAUAGACUGGUCUUUGGAUCGUAGUUCACCAUUGUCAACCAACUCAAGCGGGUUGUGGCAGGGGCUGGCUUUUAUGAACAAUCCCACCCCCAUGUAUGAUUCAAGUACUCCAGGAAUGGGUGUUAAGCCAACCAUGAGUACAGCUCUCCCCAAUGGAAACAUGAUUUCUAACGCACUCCUGCAGGAUGGUGGAGUGGCGUCUGCUGAAGCAUCUGCUGCUAGUUCUCGAGAGUGGACUUCACCUUUCGAAGGGAAAGACCUUUUUAGCUUACCCAGACAGUUUGUUUCUUCUCCCUCUCAGUGAGAGUGAGGCACGAAGAAUUUGAAAAAAUAAAUGGAUUAAAAAAUGAAAAGACCCCCAGAAAAAGGAAAUGCUUGAAUUUUUUUGUUGAUGUUGAUUCUUAUGAUGCAUCUGUUAGCGGAAAGAAAAGCGUGUCUGAGGGUCAUGUCCUUGAUCCCCAUUUGUACAUAAUUUUGUAUGUGUCAAGUUGCUGGCACAAAAAGAUACAAGUAGGCUAGGUUCAUUAGGAUUAAUAAUAAUAACAAAAAUAAUUGGGAUCAUCUGCGGAAGAUGAAGUUUGAGUUUAGGUUUUGACCCUUAAUUUCCUUGCUGCUUUUUUGGCCUGUAAGGAAGUUUGAGGACAGAACUUAUUUAAAAUAUAAAUCGUAGACGCAUGUGCUUAGUGAUGUAGCUGGAAUGGCAUAACGCUUUUUUGCCUUUUGGUGAGGCCAUGCUCACAAAGCAAAGCAACUAUUGUGUAGCAACCAAAAAUCUUAUAGAUGAAUCAAUUCAGGUAAAGGAGGAAAUGGAUUGCUUUGGGUUUAAUCAUAACUCUCGGGUUGAAAAAUAGAGACAUGUCUGGUCUUAUGCCUUGUCCUUUGCGCAGCUGCUCUAUUCUAAAAUUAACACUGGAUAAGCAAACAUUGGCAGGUUGGCUUGGGCAGCGUUUAUGAAUAAAUCACUCCAUGGAUUGGUUUGGUGAGUUAUAACAAGCACCAGUUGAAGCCGGUUGGGUGUACCAUUGAUUGGCUGCACGAGUGAUGAAGCUGGCUUCUGCAUUAAGAAUUUAUUUUAACUGUCAGCUUCUGUUGCAAAAAACCACCAUGGAAAUAACUUUAAACAGGAGGCCAAAGUUCAUUCAUCCUCAUCUCAUCCCUAAUAGUAGAGGUGAAAUUAAUAAAGACCAUAAUGGCUGUGCUAGUCAGCCCGAUCCCGAUCACAUCCAAUCCUAACAAGAUGGGGGCUGUCUCCAUUUUAUCUCACAGGCAAGCAGGCCUCAGUAUGCGGCAUAUGCAAUCAUGAUAACUGCAGAGGACUCAAAUACAGCUGCAUGAUUGGGUAUUUACAAGACCCCACCCCAACCCCACCACGCAUAUAUCAAGCUCAGUGAACAUAAUUAAAUAUGAAAUGGAUUGAGAGAGGUUCCACAGGAAUGAGGCCAUAAAUUCAGAAUUUUGAGCUUCAACCUGGAUGUCUUGAAGCUUAGCACCAAGUUCCAUGUCCACUACACGUACCACAACAGAUGGGGUGACUCAUUCUCCAGCUUGACUAAUAUCUAAUAAGUAACUUUGGCACAUGGUCUACAUUCGACGAUAGGAGCUCAACUUCUGAGAUAUACCCAUCAGAUUAGACUUCAACCCAAAAAUUUGCAGGGAAAUUUUAAAACACAACUUUGUUAGGCAAGGCUCAUCUAAGAUGCUAUUUUCUAGAUGGUGGUUUACAAAUCCUAUGAAACUAAACGUCCUAGAGAAAUAAAUCUCUAUAACUACUUCAUAUGUAUUGUUAUGGGCUUUAGGGCUGUGGUUUUGCAAAGAAUAUUUACAGAACCAGAAAGUACAAAGGUAACACACAAUUCAGAUGAAUAACAUGAACAUAUUACUUGAAGCUUACCUGACAAAAACACAUCCUGAUAUUCAUCAUCAUCAUAGAUAAAUUGUGGAGGAUCUGGAGAACCAAUACCCACAAUAGUGCUUCCACUGCAUCAAAUAUGUCAAAGAAAACACAGUUAAGGCUGUAUAACAAUGAUGUAAUUAAGAUGAUGAAACUUCCAUGUGGACAUCAAUUGUCUUCAUGAAUGAUCAGAAAAAGAAAUACAAAAACACAAGCUGCAACCAAGUAUUUAGACAAUUUGAAGAGCAUGUUAUUUCAUUUCCAUCUUUUCCUGGAUAAUAUGUCACCUUGAAGCCCAAACAUCAUGACAAGUACUUGUAAUAGAUUACCUUACAAACAGAAUACAUGAGAUAAACCAAUGCUUCAAAUUUAAGAGUAAGGGUUUCCUUUCAGUUAAAAAUAAAAAAAUAAAAAAAUAAAAAACUGAAAGGGGGACAGAAAAGGAUACCGAUUGUUCCAUGUGUAGAAAGAAAGAAAGAUAGAAGAACAAAACCGGCCCUAGAACCCCAUGGAGGGUAGGAAGACCCCCAAACCUUUCCAACAUUAAAGCUAUGUUUAUUUCCAGAAAGUACUAAGAAAAGAAAAGAAAAAUUCUAGGGAAAAUGACUUUCUCAUGUUUGUUUUUAUUAUGGAAAAUAAAAAGGAAAAUUAAAUAUGAUUAAAAUUAAUCAUAAACUAAUAUAUUUUCAAAUUAUUUAAUCUUUACAUAGAAACAUUAAAAUAAAUGAAAUGAAUUUGAAGUAGUAUAUAAAAAUAAUUUAUUGACUUCAAAUUUAUUUUUUGUUUUCCUCAACAUUUUUUUUUUCUUUCUACUUUUCAUCUCUAUUUUCUUUCCCUCAAAUUUUUAGGGAACUAAACAUAGCCUAGGGUUCCCCUCUAGGCAAGAUAAUCAAACUAUUGAUAGGAAAAUAUUUUCUUCCAGAUGUAUUCAAGUUCCUGAAAACAUUGAUUUUAACAGGAUGGAAUCCAUUAACUGCAAGAUGACUUCCACAUGACAUGAGUAAGCUGAACAAUUUACAUCCUGGUUAUGUUACAAGUUUGCACCUAGUGCUAGAAAAAAUGGGAAGCUUAUCUUGGAAAUUAUUUUUGAAUAGGAAGAGGAACAGCCUUAAAGGGUUCAAGUUACCCUAGUGACACCUUAAAUCAUGAUGUCCCUGUGGGGCACACACUCACGGUGACCACAGCUUCACUUACAUUAGAGGCCUGAAUCUGGACAAUUAGCUCCCAGUACUUACUAUCCUUAUCUUACAAAAUCUCCUGGAUGGGGUUCUGUGGCGGUGUUGUGAAUAGCACCACAUGAGCAACAUGUAUUCAAUGAAAGUUUGAAGGACAAGAUCUGGUGCUAAGGCUGAUGCAAGAAGUAGCUUUAAUUGUAAAAGACCAAUAAAAGAGUACACACCCUGGGAAAUUUAGAAUUCACUUUAACAAUAAUCUGUAGCAAAAUAGAAUGGACUAAUCCGAUAGCACCCCAUUGCUCUACUCUUGUCUACACAUUCCAUGAGGACAUACUAAAUUUACAAUCCUCCACAUUUAUGGCUGUGAAGAGAGAUGGUAUCUAAUCAGAUAUUCUGUACUUUGUUCUACUAUAUACUACCCAACAUCAUAUGGGGAAAAUAAGCUAUCUUUCAACUCAGUCCAAAAACAUAGGAAUUAUCUUUUCUAAUUUUCUCUACGAUUUCUCUAUAGAAACAAUGAUGUAGAUACGCUAAUUACGACCUGCCACAGGGUGGAAUGACUUGUGGCCCUCAUUAAUUGGCCACAUGGGAAGCUGGAUAGCAAGGACAAGAAUAAUGUUGGACCAGGGGCCACCUUAAAGCCUGAAACUGCCCUUGGGUGGUGAUUAUGCACUAAAAUCUCAACACUUGCCCGGGGCAGAGGCAGGGCAAGAGGGUCACCUUGCCUAUAAUAUGGAUGAGCACUAUUUUUGGUGAACCAAUGUGGAACCUGCCCACAAUUUCGAUAUAGCUCUGGAAUCCUAAGGCCUUGUCUUGGUAGCUCAAGAGGAAGACUCCAGGAUGGAUCUGUGCCCUUUCAUGCCAUCUUUCCUGGGUGUCUUGAGAAUGAGCAAGUAUCAUCCUUCUGUUUAGUGACAUCUAGCCUCAUUAAUAUGGUCAAUACUAGCACCCAUCGUCUCCCUAGGUCUAGUUAACUAGGUCUUGAGGUUUAGCAAUAACUUCCAUUCACUCAUAUGGUAAGGCCUUCAUCCACAUCAGGCCUAUAGGCCUAACUGGAGCAAGUACAAGAUUCACAUCAGAGUCUUUAUACCAAAGGAGACCCUUUUGAGCUAUUCCCACACUUUGGACCACCACUGCUAAUUAGCACUUCCUUUCCCAAGAUGAGUUGCUCUCCCUUUAAGUCAAAGCACAUUCCCAUCUCAUUACCUUGUACAAAAUGCAGAAAACCUCAGCACCCAUCUACCUAUGAUAGAUCUAUUAGGAGAAUGGAAAGGAAAAUGCAAAGUAGGACAAGGAGUCAACCACAAAACCAAAAAAAAAACAAAAAAGAGGAAAAGACAAAGAAAACAAAAAAGAAAGCAAAAUCCUUACUUGGGUUGAAGCACAAAAGCUGAAACCCCACCAGAGAUCCAAACAAAAGAGGAUAACGCACCCCUGCCUUGGCAAGGAAGUAGCUUCCUCAACCAAGGAUAUACAACCCUCUUAAAUUCCACAUCUAAGGUAAAUUUCAUGUAAUGAGUAAUCCUCCACAAUGCUAAUAGAACACCAUCUAAUAAUAGAACAAAAAUCUCUUCCCAAAGCCCACCUUAUCAAUGUUCCAGCCCAAUGUCACAGCUUCAAAAGCAAGAAUCACUGCAUUUAUGGCAUUCUAAACUCCCUCCGGCUUUCAGAAAGCUAAAAUUGCAAUCCCAAAAAUGCUCCAAUAAUGUUCCCCAGAUUCCAGAGUGAAUGCUGUCAAAGUGAAUUAUACCUACAUUGUUGGAGGAGAGAUCCAUACAUGCACAAAACACACAUGGGAAACCCGCCAUCCAACCCCCACCUUAAAACUCUUCAAGAACCAAGGAACAAAGAGAAGCUAAAAAACAGAACUUUAUCCCAAAGCUUUUCCCUCCAACACUUCUCCUAAAAGAUUCUAGCAUUUCUCUCUAUCAAUAAACCAAACAAAGCAAGAUAGGCACAAAAAUAGACUUCCACCACCAUAGCACCAUUCCCACCAAACACCACCUCCACCACUGCCACCACCAACUGUAGCCACCAUGUUGCUACCCAUCACAACCAUGACCUUGAUUGCAGCCUCCAAUGCUACAUAAAUCCCCACUACCAAACCCAAUGUUGUUGACUCAUCACCUUGAUUGCUACUGGCACCACCACUGCUUCACCAUCACUGUCUCUUCCAUUAUCGUAGUUAUCACCACACUCCUUUAUACGUUUUUCCAAAUGGCUAUAUACAACUAGUUGCUUGUGAAUGUCUAAUCCAAUGUUUGAGACUACAAUUGUAUCUUUGCAAGACUAAUUUUUAUCUUUAACAAACAGGAUUUUUUCUAUGUAGUUCAUUAUCUAACAAGAAGCGAUUAUCCAUGUAUGUGAUAAAUACAAAUCUCAUUAUCCAUGCUAUAACUAUAUAACUCAUGUUGAUAAAUUGAAUUUUCAUAAUUUACUUUAAGGUGUUAUAAUUUUUUCAAACACUGCCUUAGAGCCUUGUCCUUUCAUGAUGAUGUUCUGAAUUAUUUGAAUGGAAAGAAUGUUGGGAUUUUUAAGAGAGAGCCUCCUUGGUUUCAGGUGAUUUGGAAGGAGAGUAUUUCUUCACUUCUUUAUAGGGAUCUACUUCCAAAGAUUCUUUUUUUCUUUUCUUUUUUCCUUUUGUGGGUGUGUGUGUGUGUUCUAGGGGAGGUGGGGGAUGCUAGGAAUGGCCAGGAUUUUCAUCAAUGCUCAGUUGGAUGACCAGAUUGUGCAUGCUCUCUUAGGAGAAAGUCGAAUAUCAUCUUGCUUUUAGAAUCUCCCUCUCAUGGGGAUUAUCAAGGUUAAACUCAACAGCUGAUCUCUUGGUACUCCAGACCAAUUGAGAGUAAGUGGAAAUUUAGAUAUCAUUAUAAGAUACCCCAUCUCUCUUCUUCAAGCAGAGAGCUCUAGGGGACACCAUUAGCACUAAGGUUCUUGUGAUUUUGUUUGACUAAUGAAGGUUUUAAAUCCACAAUUCUUUCAAAUUUUCAGCUGAGAGAGACUAUAGUCCAUUAUUUGUCAGAUAGAGUCCUUUACUUUGGGUCCUUGGCAAUAUCGAAUUUACUUUGUGAGUUUGGAGAUUUUACUUACCACUUAAAUGAAGGAGUAUCAUUCAGGGGCCAAUUCAAUUUUACUCACCUAGACAUGGGAAACUAUGAAUUUACUGAAGUUAAUUUAUCCCAACCAUGAAAACAGCAUCACAUUAUCCAUGGCUUGCUGCAAUACAUGUUAUUUUAUCUUUUCAAAUACCAAAAAAGUUCAAAUGCAGGAAGCUCAGCAAAUACCCACAUAUAGAAACAUGCCAAAAUGAUGAAUACCUGGACUAAAUUGGGCACAGGACCAGUUCCAAACCUACUCUAUUCCAAUGGGGAUCUACUCCAAUCCCAUAGGACAAAUAGGUAAACAAACUUCUUACUCAGCCUCAAAUCUGAACCAGGGUUUUGGAAUACUGCAACAUAAAAUUUUAAUAAAGGUGUAACCAGAUGGUAACAAAUCGAAUGGCAAUGUUCUAAAAGAAUAUAUAUAUAUAUAUAUAUAUAGGUAAAUUUUUUGUCCCCAUUGGGACUUGAACCUAGAACCUCCCCAUCCCUUUACUACUUCAGCCAAGCCUCAAGGGCAGCAAUGUUCUAAAAGAAUUGGAUGAUGCUAAUGAUGAUGGAAUGAGUUGCCAUCUGAUUGGACCAAGGAACCAUCAAGCAUGGUCUUCACAAAGUAUGUGCUGCACAAGAUACACAAGAGUUGGAGUAGAAAGUUAGCUGAAAGCAGGCUAUCAAUUAGCCAAGGUGAACUGAUUUGGUCAAAAUUAUCUGUGGCAAUUAGAUAACUGCCACAACUACAAUGUGUGUAAAGCAAGGCCUGAUUGAUUCAGCCAAUGGUGGACAGUUGGGACGUAACUGCCAAAAAGGCCUGUUUGAACAGAUGCCUAGCUGAGCAAUCAGGCAUCCACUGUGUUGGAUUCUAGUCUGUAGUAAAGCCAAGGUUGGCUCCUUGUAAUCUUCUUGGAAGAGGUCAGUAGUGGUUGGAUGUAUACCUGAAGUUUUGUGUCUUUUGUGUUUGUGGCUUGAAUUCUAGGAUUGGCCGAUAGUAUAGAGUUAGAGCCACAAAAAGGCAAAAUAUUUGAGUCAGAAUGUUGCCUUGCUGAAGGACAUGCUUUGUUUUCUUAAUAUCCAAGGGCAAGGAAAGAUAAGAAGCAACCUCAAGGAUGCCAAUAUUAGUUAAAAACAAAUGAUGAAACACUACAUAGUUCAUCCACACUACAUAAUAGAUUAUGAAGCAUUCACUAGUCCAUGUAGUACAAAGCACAGGCAUUAUGGUAAAGCUUUAACCCUAGACCUUGUUCAGAAAAGAGGAUGGUCCUUGGCAAAUAGAUGCUUUAUGUGUCUUGUGAAUGAGGAGACCAUAGAUCAUUUGCUUCUUCAUUGUUCAAAAACAAGGGCCUUGUGGGAGUUACUCUUUACCUUGGUUGGGGUGUCUUGGCUGUUGCCCUCCUCAGUUAGAGAGACUCUUCUUAGCUGGCAUGGUUCAUUUGGGGCAAAAAGCGAAAGAAAGUGUGGAGAGCUGCUCCUCUUCAUAUAUUUUGGACGGUGUGGAAGACGAGAAAUAGAUUGACAUUUAAGGAUGACGAGUUGUCAAUCCAAAGAUUGAAAUAUUCCUUUUUUUCCUCUCUUUGGUCUGAGGCUAAGUUGUUUAUAGUUGAACGCCCUCUAACUAUAGUUAAUUUUAUUGAUUGGUUGGGAUCCUAUUAAGGUUGUUUUUGGGCUAGGUGACUUUUUGGGUCUCUUUCUUUUUCUUUAGCCUUUUUGGUGGUGGGUGUUUAGGUUUGUAUACCUUGCAUAGUUCUGUAUACCUUGAGUCGCUUUUUUUGGCGUCUCUUUUUAAUGAAUUAUCUUUACCUAUCAAAAAAAAAAAGCACAGGCAUUAUGGUACUACAGUUUAUUAUUUCAGCAAUUCAUCAUAUUAUUAUAUGAUGCCCCUGUGCAUAGAAGAUCAGACCAACAAUUCUCAGAUUGCAGCAAGAGUUUUUCAUAAGAUAACAAUGUGCAAGUAUCUAGUGCUUCACAAACUUUUGAAGGGCAAUAAAUGGAGGACUAUGGCUUUACACUGCAUUGCAAAUAAACUGUAUCAGCUAAUGCAUACAAAGAUGUGGGGAAGUUUCUAAAUAUGUGCUUUUCACAAUUCAAGAGUUCCUUUAGAAAGUUUUGGUAUCAGAUACCAUAUGCAUAGGCUGCUGCAUAGGAAGAUGCAUGAAAGUUUUAAAAUGUGGGUAACUUUCGAAACUUAAAAGCUGAUCCAGAAAUUUUUUUGUGGGAGUUGUCUUCAGUUUCAAAACUAUGAUUAGUUUAUCACUUCUUCUACUUUUAAGAUAGCUUCUAUUUAACUUCUUUCAUAAAGAAGGUGUUUGUUUUAGCAACUCACUCAGAGCCUUGGAAGCUAUUAAUCUGGAUGACUACUUUUCCAAUGAUUCAAUUUUCAGAGCGAUUUUCAAAUUUUAAGAUGUAUAUAAAUCAUUUAGGUAAAAGAGGGGCUUCAUGAACUGUGUGCGCUAUCUUCUGACAAUUAUUUAGGUGUUUGUUAAAAAACUUUAUCAUUAGGUAUUAGUGCCCAUAAAACUUAUUCUGGGCCUCAUUUUCAAGUAGACAAGAUUGUUUCAAGCCUUUUUGUUUGUGAACUGCUUUUGCUGCAACUGAGAUGAGAAGAUCACAAUCAGACUUAAGAUCCAGUUAAAAGUUCUACUAAUUGAUUGAGAAGUUGAAACGGUUGAUCAUACAUCAUGCCUCAGAAAGGAUAACCUCAGCAACUUGAAACAAUUGAUGGUUGUGAAAAAUUGAAGUACUUUUCCAUGCAUCAAUUUGGAAAAAAUUGAUUUUAUUGAAAAGUGUUAACAGGAAAAAAAAAAAAAAAAGAAAAAAAAAACGAAGACUCCUAUAAAUCUUCUUAACUACAACAUUGCUAGAUGUGGGAAGUUAUGAAUUUGAACAGGAGUUUAAAAUCGUUACUGAAUUUUAUACCUCCCAGACAUGAAAACAGCAUCAUAUUGUCCACGGCUUGCUGCAAUUAUACGCUGUUUUAAUCUUUUCAGAGAUGGGAGGACUUCAAAUGCAGGAGGUUCUGCAAAGAUCACAUAUAAAAAUAUGUCAAAAGAUGAAUACCUGGAAUAAAGAUGGCACACAGUACCAGUGUUAAACCUAAUCUAACCCAGUGGGAACGAACUUCAAUCCAACUAUAGGACAGAUGGGUAAACAAGCUUGAUCUAGGGUUUAAAAUAUUAUAAUAUAAAAUUUUAAUGGUUAAAUACUUUAGGGUAAUGCCUCAAAUGGAAAUUUUAUAAAAGAAUUAGAUGGUGCUAAUGGUUAAAUACUUCAAGGUAAAACUGAUCCUGCCCUGAGCUUCAGUUUUGUAACCAGUUCAACCAAAGCCUAUACCAACUCUCCAUGAACUAAGCCAAGCCAAAUAGAAUCAAAUUUGGGGCAGGUUACUUCAUCAACCUACCCCUUUGCCAUCCUCAACAUGUAUAAAAUUUAUAAAGAACAAAUAAUUAAAGGUAUCAAAGCCCAUACCUAGAUCAUUUAUACAAACAUCUUGAGAUAUUCUGUUCUUUGAGAUCUUCUCAAGCAAGGUUAUGGGAUCAACCUUACUAGUUUGAUCCAACCGAAGGUGCUGAGAAUCAAAACUUGUCUUAGAAAGAUAAAUUGAUCAGAAAAUAAAAACAUGGCGAAUAAAAGUCUCUUCACUAAAUUCAUCAAAUCUAUAUUACCUUGUAAACUUCAGCGGUGGAGCAUGCCUGCGGUGGCUUUACAAGAACCAUUGGAAUGUCCAAAGGUAUUGGCAGGGAAAUAUCUUCAACAACCUGAGCAAGCCAGAGCAAACUUCUAGUUCGAACUUCUUAUCACCAUGAAAUCCCAUUUAAAAAUAUUUAGAAAUUGCAUAUAUGAAUUCAUUUAGCAUGCGUUAAAACACCAUCCCCAAACAUACUUAUUAUGAAUUAGUAUAAGAAAGUCCAAUUGAUUUCCAUAAGGCUACGUUCGGUUCCUAGAAAGUACCAAGGAAAGGAGAAAAAAUAAUAAUAAAUAAAUACGAAAAAUGAUUUUAGUAUAUUAGAUGCCAUGGAAAAGAGAGGAAUAAAAUACUAGGGGAAAUCCUUCCAUUUUCCUUAGAUAAAGGUGAGGAAAGUUUGGGGAAAGUGCAUUCCUCAAUAAUUCAAUUUUCUUUCCCUCAACUUUUCUAUAGACAAUCAAGCAGGAAAAGUUUUAUACAUUUUCAUAAUCUUUUCUCUUUAUAUUUUUCCUCUCCAUUUUCUUUUCCUCAAACCUUUUAGGAACCAAACAUAGCUUAAAAGAAGUCAGCAACUUCCUUUCUCAUCCAUGACUGAACAUUGCUAAGGUGACAAUAAAGUGGUAUAAUAAAUAACAUCAAACUUAGCUCUAUAUACAGUUCUCAAAAUCCAUUAAUUUUGUGUAAUUAACAGCAAAUACAUCUACACAUAUUUGAGUGAAAACAUGACAAAGUCAUGUAGUGCUGCAAACUUAUGAUGCUUGAAGGAUCAUACAGUUUGGAUUCAAACAUUAGUAAUUCUGAAGAUGGAAAUUAUGGAAUUAAUUUGCUAUUGAUUAUGACAGAUUCAAAACCCAAACAAGCAUGAGCAGUGCCUUGGCUCUUUAACAUUUUAUUUGGUGAAUUCCACCAAUCUUAUUGCAAAAAUUAUUUUCUCAUACGAGUAUGUAAACUGAAAAGCAGAAAAUGAAAAGAAAACAAAAGAAAAGAAAAACAAAUAAUGUUCUGUUUAUAAAAAAGAACUUUAUGUUCCUGAUGUCCCCAUGUGACCACCUUCCAACAUUAAAAGAGCUGGACUGAAUUUUGCAUCCCACAACUUCAUUGUUCUUUGGUUGGCAUCAUUACCACAGGCCAUGAGCAAUAUCACAUGGUUAUAUAUGCUUUCUAACAUAGUCCAGUUCGCAAGCUAUUCUUAAAAUAUGAAAACGUUUUGCAAUAUGAUUUUGUGCAGCCAUAAAGUUUGAUGAUAACAUUGGAAGGCAACAAUUGUCAACUUUGAACUACAUCCCAUGUAAGAUGAAGACAUACCUCACCUCUGCCAGUACAAAAAGCUGCUCCAUUAGAGAAGAAGAAUGGAAUAUCCGAACCAAUCUCACUUGACCAUUGUUGGAGUUCCUUCUCAGUGGCAAGGCAACCACUAAAUUGAUUUGCUGCCCACAGUGCUGUUGCAGCAUUACUGCUGCCACCACCAAGCCCUGCCCCAGUCGGCACCUUUUUAUCAAGAUGAACCUGCCCACAGUUUUGAAAUGGAUAACAUAUUCAGAAUCAAUUCCUAAAUAAAAUUUUCAUCUCAUAUGAAUAGAUAUCAUUCUAUGAACUCUUUUAAAAAAGGGGAAAAAAUUAAUAAAAUUCAGAUGAGUUGCUUUACCCAAAAGUAGUUAUCAGUGCCAGUUUUUUUCCUGUAAAGGUUAAGUGCCUUUAUGAUCUGCAAAAUGGAGGUCGCAAAUGCAUAAAAUUCUAAUAUUAUGAUCACAAAUAAGAAGAGAUAUACAACAGAAUAUAGUAUGUUAUGGCUUACCAAAUUACUUUCAUCAAGGGGGACCCCUGGCACAUUGGUUGAUAAGCGAUCCUUUGUUUUUGAUGGCGACAAAGAGAACUUAAUUAUAUCUCCUAAACUGAUUACCUUGAGGAAGAAAAUGGCACAUGAUCGAUUAUUUGCAGAAUAAUAGAAGAUGUAUUUGCAAAACUAGAAGUGAACUCAACAAUAACGAACUUCUCAAUCAACAGCUGCAAAAGGAAAUGGACUCCUGUUUUUUCUUAGUCACAGGUUAGAUAACAUUUCAAAAAUAAUUUUUCCCUGCUAUAAGGAGUGAAAAUAAAAGCCAAAUUUUGCCUUCUUCAAAUGGAAUUAAGAAGAACUUCCAAGAUGCUGUCUAAAAAAUGCCUUUGUUAUUUUGUUCAAUGACUAAAACAGGAUCUGGAAUAAAAAAAAAAAAGUAAUCAAUUGAGCAUACAUACAUGAAAGAGAGAUGCCAAAUCAUGAAAUCCAUCUGCUCUCUUACCGGUUAUUCUCAGGAAAACAUUAAUCUGCACUCCACAAAAUACCAAAUUCAACUUUCAGCCAAAAAUUGAAGUAAGUUCAACUCAAAGUAACAUAUGUCGAUUACCUUGCAAGGUGAAAAUAGAGUGAGCCUUGAAAGCCCAGCGUUCUUAUCCACUUCAUCUGCUAGAUUGUUUAUCCUUUCAUCUGGAUUAUACACUAUCUAUAAACUCACCAAGAAACAAUUAAUCGGGAAAUUUUUCAAAAGUUUCAUUCAAGACAAAAAAAAAUUUCUGUUUGGUCGGUCAGAAAUCCCAAGAAAAAAAAAAGGAAGAAAAAAAAAAUCCCAAGUUUGAAGUUUUCAUUUUCUUCCAUUUUUCUCCAGUUUCUCAGCAACCAAACAUAGAACUAAUGAAAACCCACAAACCUCCACUUGUUUUCUACCAGCAGAAGCCCUGACUCUGAGAAAUGGAGUCCUCUGAAAUUGGGGUUUUGGACGAAAAGAAGAUGACCCAUGUGGUCUAAAUGAAGGGAGGGUGGUUCUUCUGAUGGAAUUGCAGGAAGGGUGAAGUUGGUGAUCGCAGAAGAAUUGUGAUGAAGCCAUAGCCAUGGCUGCACUUCAGUUGUUGCAGACAAACCCCACAAAACCGGAUGUGAAAAAGGAUUUGGCAAAUCCAAUUUUCCUAUUCACAAUCUAGACGUAGUUAAUGCCGAGCAAAACUGAUUUUUGUACACUCAUUGGCUUUUUCCAAAGUUUCUUACUCUAUAUUUCUAUAUUUGUGAAAUGAUAUUUUUCCUUGUCGAAAAUUUUCUUUUGCCUUUAAAACUCAUUAAAAAAAAAUACUAUCCCAAAAUAUUAAUUAUGACUAAUCUCACGGAGCCCUGAAGUUAAGAUAAACCUCCAGUAGCCCCAGAGGAGAUUUGAAUUGGUGACCAUUGGAGAGCAAACCCAAGGGUGGACCAAUUGAGCUACCUAUCAAGGUUAAAUGAUAAUAUUAAUUAUCAACCAAACUUAUUUGAUUUUAUUAAAAAUGAGAAGGUAUAAAGAUUUUUUUACCUUUUAAUUUAAAUUAAUAAUUUGUAUCUAAUUCAAUAUAUAAAUAAUGUAAAUUUAAUAUUUUGAAAAAAAAAUUACUUAAGACCCAAUUUAGGAUAAAUUUUUAUUUUUUUUAUUUAAUUAAAAGCUAGUUCAAAAGUAAAAUUUUUAAUUUUAAAAGAAAUAAUAAUAUUAUUAUUAAAAAAAUUAUUAGAUAUAAAAUAUUUUUUAUUGAAUAAAAUAAUAGCUUACAAGAGAAUCAAUAAGGACAUGUUUGAUAAUUAUUUUCGAAAACAAUUUUGAUCAAUAAGGAUUUGUUUGAUAAUUAUUUUCAAAAAUAGUUAUAAAAAAUAAUUUUAAAAAUUAUUUAUAAAAUACAAUUUUUGAAAACUAUUUUAUGAUGUUUUGUAAAACAAAAACCAAUUUAGAAUUUAAAAUGUUUUUGACUUAUUUUAAUAUUUUUAAAUAUAUUUUAAAAAUAAGUUUUAUGUUUAGUGUUUUAUUUUUAAUCAUUCUAUAUAUUUACAUAAUUAUUUUUAUAACACUCUUUAAAAAACAAGUAAAAAUAGCAUAAAACAAUUAAAAAUAUUACCUAAAAACACUAUUUUUUGUUAUUAAAAAUAGAAAAUAGAAAAUAAAAAACAAUUUUUUAUUAUCAAAUAUAUUUUCUUUAUUUUUUUAUUCUUGAAAAUAGAAAAUUAUUCUUGUUUUCAAACAACUCCUAAUUCUUUUUAACUUUCAAAGGGGAAAGUUCAUCUUAAAAAACUAAAACAAAUAUAUAAAUUUUUAUUAAAUUUAAAACAAUUUAGUAAUUUAAAUAUUUAAAUUAAAAAUAUAAGUUGCUACAAAAAGCACUUCAAUGCCUAAACCCUAAUUCUUUUUAACUUUCAAAGGGGAAAGUUCAUCUUAAAAAACUAAAACAAAUAUAUAAAUUUUUAUUAAAUUUAAAACAAUUUAGUAAUUUAAAUAUUUAAAUUAAAAAUAUAAGUUGCUACAAAAAGCACUUCAAUGCCUAAACCUCAUCCAUUAUUAUGUCUUGUUAUAAUCAUGGAGGAAAAUAUCACGAUAUUUCGGCGAUAUAUCGUGUAUCGAAGGGUUUCGACACGAUAUUUCAUGGAGAAAUAUCGGUCCGGUGAUAUUUUGGUAUUUAUCGCGAGAAAUAUGCGAUUUCUCGCGAUAUAUAGGUAAUUUGGCAAUAAAUAGGCUAUUUCUCGCGAUAUAUCGUGUGGUCAACACAGGUCAGACCCGUUACAGUGCCCGUCAACGCGCUACAGUGCACCAUUUUCUUGCCACUGAGAGGAUUUGAACCCCAAACCAAAAGGUUUGGGGUUCAUCCACUUACCACCUGGGCAAAGUUACCCUUUGAUACAUAAUAUGCAACAACUAUAUAUAUACUUAAAUUCAUUAUAUAAAGAAAAUAUAAGAAUAUUUUAAAUAGCAAAUUAAUUAUAAUUAUUUUAUAAUUAAAUGCAAAGUCUUUUAAUUAAUUACCAAAAAUAUAAAAAUUAUAUAAUUUUCUUCAUAAUGUUUUUAAUAUCAUUAAUAAUUAAUUAAAUAUUAAAAAAUUAUAUAUAUAUCAUUAUUUAUUUUAUAUUGUUUAAUUAGUAUGUUUGCAAUAUGGAUGAUUUAAUGUUAUUUUUACAUUCAAUUGUAAUUAAUUUUUAUAUUUUUAUUGAAUUAACUUAGGUUAAUUUGAUUAUUUAAUUAUAAAUUGAUAUGUUUAUUUUAGAUGAUUAUUUGUGAUUUAUUUUCACAUUUAGAAUUAAAUUAAACUAGUUAACUUAGCUAAAUUAUUUAAUUAAUUUAAUUAACAUGCUAAAUUAUUUAAUUAAUUUAAUUAACAUGAAAUAGUAUAUUUUGAAUAUGAAAUAUGUUUAUUUAAUGAAUUUAAUGUGUACAAAUUAUUGAUAUUUAAUGAAAUGAAAUAUUUUAUGUGAUUGAGAAUAAUUACAAAAUUAACAUUUCUUAUAGAUCGACAUGAUGUAAUUACAUCUAUUAUCGUAAAUUAUAUCAUAUAUAUAUAUAUCAAUUUUUUCAAUAAAACAACUUUAAAAUGUCAAUUAUACUUCUAAUUAUAUUAUUAUGAGGUUUUUCUUGCAUUUUCAUGAGUUUUUAACAAUUUUAAGUCUACUGAUAUUUUUUUCCAGAAUAUCCGCCGAUAUAUCUCCGAUAUAUCCGAUAUAUCCGUAAAAUCGAAGUACCGAUAUAUCCGCAAUUACCGAUAUUUUCUUCCAUGGUUAUAAUAUCAAAAAAAAUAUUUAUUAAAAAGUAAGAUUAAUCACAUUAUAUAUAUAUACAUAUAUUUUGUUCACGUUUAUUUAUACUUUGCUUUUAGUCUUGUCUCUUUCGACCGACUAAAAAUUUUAAUAUUUACAAAAAUAUUAUAAAAAAAUAGGAAAGAUCAUUGAAAUAUUACAUGUAACUAUCCUAGUGGUGGUGCUUUUGUGCAUGGUACCGAAGGGUCAUAUACCAAGGCUAAGAUGUCAAAUCACAAUGAGAUGCAGAUGAUGUUUGACCAUAUUGAUGAACAAAGUGGGCAUGAUCCAUGUGUAACAUAAUUUCAUGAUGUGGUUGGUGAUUAAUUUGAUUUGUUGUUGGGGUGCUAAACAUAUGGCUGAUUAUUACUUUUUAGUAGAGAGUACAAACAAAACAUUGGUCAAGUGAUCCACUUGUUUACAGACCAUAGGCCAAGAAAAAUAGAACCCCUCUUAAAUAAACAUAGAUUCAAUGGCAAAGUCACAAUAGGUGUUCUUGAUUAAAUCAAGGUGGUUGUUGAAGAAUGCUGGUGAGGGUUAGUCAGCAAUGGAGUGAAAAGGGUUAUUUGAUUAAAAUCUUUAUAAACAUAUAUAUUUUAAUUUUUAUGACAAUAAAUAUUCUUAUUUCCCGUUUUUUGGUUAUAAUUCAAAUACGAUAGAUCCAAACAUGUCCUAAGAACGAUGUGGCUGAAAGAAUUUGUUUUGUUGACACGAAUGUGAAAGAAUCAUGUGAUGACGAGAUAUGAGAUAUAAUAAGACGUGGGAUAGUAAAUUUUAUUUCAAGUAUGUUUUGAAAUGAGGUAAGGACAGUUAGUUCAAACUAUUUAUAAUUGAUGAAAUAAUAAUAAUAUUAUAGGUAAUCCUAUGAAAUAUGAUAAGUAAUGAGAUAGUACAUGACAUAAGAUAAAUGAUAAGAUAAUUCAUGCGUUAAUUCACGUGUCUUUUAAGUGGGGGAAUUAUGCAUAUUCCAUGAAUUAUAAUUUUUUUUAUCUAUUUUAUUUUAUUUUAUUUUUAAAAUUUUUUUAUGUCAAUUAAUUUAUGAAAUAAUUUUUUUUUAUUAAAAAAUUAAUUUUAGGUUUGGAGAAGAAAUGAAUUAAAAUAUAUAUAUAUAUAUAUAUAUAAUAUACCUUAAAAUAUUAAAUAAAAAAAGAAUAUGUUAAUAUUAAAAAUAAUUACAGAAAAAUCUCCAAAUAACUCUAAAAAUGAGAGAAACUUUUACGAUUUAUUUUGGGAUUUAAAAAAAAUAUAGUAAUUUUAAAAUAUAUUUUUUAAAAUAUGAUACUUUUAAAACUAUUUUCAAAUCUAAAAUAUACUUUGUAAUAUUAAUAGAAAGUUCUCUUUAAAAUAAUUUUAAUUUAAAUAUUAAAGUUAUGUUUUGUAAAUCCUUACUUUCUAUAAAAGGUAGACCUACUAAUGGAAUGCUCCUCCAUACUUUCUAUAAAAGAGAGACCUACCAAUUGAAUGCAUAUACCAUUCUAAGCAUUGUAAUUUGUUUUUCUUUCAAUGUCAUCUUCUUCUAUUUUAUUGCUCUUAAUUUUAAGAUUGUUUGUUUCUUUUCAACUUAAAUUUCAAAUCAAGUUGCUACAAGAUUUAAGUUCAAAGUUUCAAAAAAAAAAAAAAAUUACUUAAGACAAAAUUGUCUUGGAAAAAGUUAAUACUUAAUAAUAUUAAUUAUUAUUUAGACUUAAUUAAAUUAAGAUUUAGAUUUUAGACCCAAAAAAAAAAAUGUCAACUAAGUGCAUAUUUGAAUACAUUUCAUAUUUCUAUUUUAUAAAAGCAUAAAUUAAUAGUAGCUUCUACAUAAAAUAUAGUACCUCUAAUGUAAACAAAAUAUAUGAACUUACCUUAUAUUUUCAAAUUUUUAAAAAUUUAAUUUAGUAAAAAUGAAUUUUUAAUACUACAAUUCUUUUUAAACAAUUUUUAAAAGUUGUUAUUUUAAACUUAAUAGCAUAGUAGAAAGGAGAAACACAAGUUGUGGUCAUAGUAAAAAAAAAAAAAAAGGUUAAGUAUUGUUAUUGUUAUAAAUAGGAACCCAUUUAUGUAAUGAACUUACAUCACCAAUAUUUUUGUAUUCUUUUUUGCUAUUAUAGCCAUAAAACACCAACCAAACCUAGGGCUCCAACUGGGCUUAUUAGGGGAAUUAGAGGGCUAACUUACAUUAAUCUUGCUUAUUAGGGUUGAUUGUGUGAAUUAGAGCGUUAAUUUUACAUUGAACUCGCUUAUCAAUAUGUUUAAGUUGUAUCAAAACAAACUUGAGGUGCGGUAACGAAUUCCUAACCAAACUAAGUGUGCGAACAACUCAAGUUUCAUAGGUUUGUAUGAAUAAGAAAAAACUUAGGUGGUGUUUGUUUUUUUACUUAAUUCUAAAUAGAACUUUAAUACUUAACAGUGUUAAAUAUUAAGUUGUUUUUUUUUGUAGUAUUUUAUUUCUAUUAAGUAUUAGAAAGUAAAGAAAAACCAAUAUGUUAUUUUUCUACUUAGAAAAAACUACAUAUUUUGAUUUUUUCUAUUUAAUAAAAAGUUUAUAUUAAGUUAUGAAAAAGUAGAAAAACAAACAACCUAAAUUCUAAAAGCAAAUUGCUUUCAGCAAAAAGCCAAAAAAAUAAACACCACCUUAGACCGGAGUUUCUUAAUAAAUAAAAAAAUUAUUUUAAAAUCAUAAAUAAGAUGUUUAAAGCUAAAUAUAUCUCAAAACCAUAAAAUAUAUUUGUAGAUAUUAAUUUAACAUAAAUGAUAACUCUCAAAAUUGAAUUUUGAUAUUCAAUGACAUCUUAACAAUUCAAUCGAAAUAAUAAACUCAUUAGCUUUAUAUAAUUAAGAGAAGGGAAAGUUUAGAGUUUUUUCCUUAUCAUUUUUUAUUAUUUCAUAUCUUAAAUAAAACAAUGAAUAAUAUAAUUCAAAAAAUAAUAAAUAAACAAAUAAUAAUGUUUAGUUGAGUUUUGAUGGUUCCCCAUACCAUUAACUCGUAGUAACCCUAAUAUUAUUAGGUUGAUAUUUUUCUAACCCAAGUCCAACCCUAAUUGUUCAAACCUUGCCCACAUCAAUUGGAACCCUAGGUUAGGCACAAGUUAGAUUAGCUAAAGCCUCCUAAAUUGCUAUCUUAAUCAAACCUCUUCUAUGUUUUGGUUGCAUUGUUCUUCUCUUUUUUCUAUGUGUUUACUCCAUCAUUGCUUCAUCAAGUUUUAAAUCUUCAUUCAUAUUAUCCUUAUCACAAACUUUGUUUUCGUAAAACUUAAUGACAACAAUUAUCUUUUAUGACACUGACUAAUUAGACUAAAUACUUAUUAUAAUACAUCUUAUUUGAUGGCUCUGUAGUACCACCUACACAAACUCUUCCUUCGUCUAAAAAUCUACCUACAUUUCAACAUAUAAUUCUUAUAUAAAGUCAAACACUUUAUGAAAGCUUGCAUACUGCUAUAAGAAAGGAGUCUUUUGUUGGGAUUAAGCUCUUAAAAGCAAGACAUAAUGUAACAAAGUUAAAAUUGACUAUUCUCUCGCUAUCCAUUUUUAUGCAUUGACAUUGAUUUGAAUGUUUAGCCUAUAUCACUUGUAUUGUACAUGACUUGGGUGCAUUAAGGUUGCACAGAGGAUAUAAGGCAUUGGUUCCUUGUAAGAUGAUAAGUUGUUCACAAUCAGUUCAUGGAUUUGGACAAUCCAAUAGAGAUUGCAGUGCACUACCUCAUAAUUGGAGGGAUGACUUGUCUUGACCAUCAGGAUAAGGUUUCUAUGGUAAAUACACUAAUGUGUUUGGUUACACAUUUGACAAGACCUACAGUGAAUCAUGACGUAAGGUUAUCGAAUUAUCAUGAUUUACUAAGCUACUAUAUUGCAUGGACUCUCAACCUUAAGAUGAUAUUAAGUCUAUAUUAAAAUCAAUAGGAGGCUUUAACCUAUGGGUGAGACCUUAAAAUGGUCAUAAAUUCUCUACAGAUUGGAUCACUAUUGAUGAAAGUUGGUGGCAAUAGGUAUUCUCAAUAGAAGUACCAUGAUAUUUUAUAGGAUUGAGGACAUGUGAUCGUGAAACCUAUGACCGUAGUAAUUCCUUUAGUGAAAUUCGACAUAUACUCCUUAGAGUUAGAGUAUGUCAGUUGAUUAUAUAAUAGAUAAAUCUAUAACUCAAUGAUUGAAGAGGUAAUCUUGAUGGGUUGAUAAAAUUUGUUGACAUUGAGCCCUAUAAAGUAUGACAUGAUGUAACAAAUAAAGAUUCAUUUAUAAAUUUAUUUUUAUUUAUGUUUCUUAGUUUCCUUUUAUUAUCUCAAAUCCAUUAAUUGGUUAUUUGAGCAUACAAGCUCAUAUCACUUGCAUUGUAUAUUGCUUGAGUGCAUUAGGAGUUGUACAAAAGAUCCAAAUUAUAGGUUCCUUACAAAAUGAUGAGUAGUCCACAAUCAAUUCAUGGAUUUAGGCAAUCCAUCCGAGACUAUAGUGUACUACCUCCUAAUUGGAGGGAUGACUUGUCUUAGUCAUCAGUAUAGUUUUCUCAUGGUGAGCGUACUAGUUUAUGUGAUAGACACUAGACAAGGCCUAUGGUGAAUCAUGACGUAAGACUAUCAGUUGCUAUGAUUCACCAAGUUAUUAUACUGCAUGAGCUCUAUAUCUUAAGACGAUAUUGGGUCUAUGUGAAAGUUAAUAGGAGUUUUUAACAUAUGAGUAAGACCCUAAGGUGGUCAUAUAUCCCUAUGGAUUGGAUCACUAUUGAUUGAGGCUAGUGACAACAGGAAUUCUCAAUAGAGGCACCAUGAUAUCUCAUGGUUUAAGACAAUGUAUCCUCUUAGGUGAUCUAAAGGACAUGUGAUCUAGAAGACUAUAGUUAUAGAUUUUCUUUAGUGGAAAUUUGACAUAUGUUUCUUAGAGUUAGAGUAUGUCAACCAAUCAUAUAAUAAGUAGGAUAUGUAACUCAAGGAUUAGAUAUGUAAUCUUGAUAAAUAAUAACACUACCUUAUUAGAUUAUAAAAGUGGUUAGUAGGUCAUAAACCCGAGUUUCGUAUUGUUGUUAUUUAUAUAAGCUACUAAAAUGCACCUGAUUCUCUAUAUUGAGAUGUUGAAUCAACUUCAAAAUUGGAUUCUGAGGGAGUUAAUACACCUAUGAGUCAUAGUGGUUUCCACUCUAAGCUCAUAUACCAUGUUGGCAUAGUUUAUGAGGGUUGGGUUAGCUUUAGGUUCACUCUUGUGCAUAAGGGUGUUUUGGUAAUUGUGCGAGGUUGCACAUGGAAUAGUGAACAAUGUCUCUGAAUUGGGCUAAUUGAUUAAUUAGAUGGUCAUGUGUGGUUAAUUAAUUAGGCCCCAUUUUAGGCUAAAUUAAGUAACCCAAGUCCAAGUAAGCUCAAGUCAUUUAUGUCCAUUAGGGGAACCCUAUAAGUACCUCUUUAGGUGUUAGGGUUUUUAAAGGAUUUUGAUUGUCAUCUUCCAUUUCCAUAAAAAAUGAAAGAAAGUUAAGGCAUUCUUCCUUCCAAAGUCCACUCUUUGGAGUGUCAAUGUUGUGGUUUGAGUCAUCGAGUGAAAAACUUGGGUGUAUGAGAUCUCUAAAAUAUUCAAACAUCUUUUUCACCGCAAGGAAUCGAUUUAGAAACAUUUAGAUCUAGCUAAAAACAUCAUAGCACUAUUUUUCUAGUCCUUCAUUAUUAAAAAUCAUAUUUUCGCUUCCAUUGUCAAGAUCUAGAAACCCUAAGAUUAGUUUCAUGUACCUAACCUAAGCUUGGGAUAGAGAUGGAGAAAUUUAGGAUUUCCUACAACACUAUCUUGUUAGAUUAUGAACUCCAAUUCAUGGCAAGUUUGCAUGAAAUGGAUAGUAGGUUACGAACCCGAACUUUGUCUCGUUGUAACUUUAUAAAAUACUAUAGUGUAGUUGACUCUCUUUAGUGGAGUAUUGAGUCAACUUCAAAAUCAAAUUUUGAGGGAGCCAAUAUUUUCCUAUGGGUCCCAAUGGUUCUUACUCGAGCUUUUUUGUUCAUGGUGGGAUACUUUUUUAAGGUAUUUUGGGUAUGUUAUUCAUAAGUAUGCAUAAGAGUGAUUUAGUUAAAAUGUAAGGUUGUGUUAAAUCUUAUGAAUUAGUUUUUUAGAAUGAGAUAAUUAAUUAAUUAAAGUCCAUUAGGGCAUAUUAAUUAAUUAGGACCCAAAUGAGCUAAAUUAGGUGACCCAAGCCCAAUUUGGGCUCAAGUCACUUAAGGCAACAUGGAAACCUAUAUAAACUCUCUUAAAGAUUAGGGUUUCAGUCUUGCAUUUCAGUUUUCUGAAAUCCCGAAGAGAGAAACCCUAGACACCCUUUAGAGAGAGAAAAAUCUGGCAUUCUCUCAUGCCAAGAACUAUGGAAUGAGAGAUUGGGUGAAAAAUAGUUGGGUAGACAAAUUUUACAAUGAUGACCGCGGUUUCAGAGUCUUCAUCGGAUAUAAACCGAUCUAGGAACAUCCAAAUUGCAGGUAUGAAACUUAAAUCUCUAGAUCUAAUAUGUUUAUAAUUUUUGAAACCAUUAUUUUCCAUUACGUUAGAUUUAGAGAAGCCUAAGAUCGUUUGCAUGCAUCCUAUGUGAUUCAGCACAAGGAACGAAGUAAUCCAAAGUUCCUAGCAUCUUUAACUACUUGCCCUUAAAACUGAAAAAGAGGAAUGGAAGACACUUGAAAAAAAUUUCAGCAAUUGUUAGCAACAAGGAAAACUUAAUUUCUCAAGGAGCUUUAAGGUAUCUUUAAGCGAACAAGCACUACCAACAAUUCUCUCUCAAAUCAAAUCACUUUUUGAUUCUCUUGCUAUCAUCAAUAAGUACAUAAAAUAUUCAAAUGUGUUCACUAUACCUUGAAAGGUUUAGAAUCAUAAUAUCAUCGUCUUGUUUUAGUAAUCAAGCAUCACAGUCCAUUGAUAAUUUUUAGUAGCAUAUGGUAUAAUCUUCUUAACUAACAAUAAUGCUUACUCAAGGUUAUGGUACUCCAAACUCAAAAUUCUUAACCUUCCCUCAUGCAUUUUCCCCACAAUUUUUGAAGCCCUAACAACAUUCCACUAAAAGCAAGGUAAGAAAUCUUGCACAAUCUCUACUUUUGAGCACUUUUGGACCAACAACACAUGCAUUCUUUCAUGUUUCAAAAAACCAAAAAUGUGUUAGCAAUUUUAUUCUCAACAUGAUAGCAAAUUCUUUUCAUUUAGUUACAAAUGGCACACAUGAUCGCAACCUAUCAAGUAAUAAAUUUGCUCCAAACUUGGUUAUGCAACAAGUAAAUAUCAUUUUAGGAAUGCUUCCAAUUAGACCAACAAUAAUCAUUAUUAACAAACUUUCUCUAAUCUUCAAUUAACACAAUCACAUAUUACCUCGAAGCUUUUUGUAGACCCUUAAUUUUAUCUUUAGUAGCACAAUACAUACAUACUCGUCUAUUCUAUUUGUAUCAUCCUAUUUCUUGACUUUGUGGGGGUAUUGAUCUUAGUUUCCAAGGGCUUUUGCCAAUUUUUUAUUCAAAGAUCGACUUAAGGAUUCCCGAGUAGUGUGUAAAGAAUGAGAUGAUUGAAAAAUUGCAUAAAUUCCAAAGUAGUGAAUAUUGAUAUCAAAAGUAAUAUUGAGGGCCUCAUUCUAAUCUCAACUAGUUCCAUAUUAAAAUAUCAAUAUCAUAAGGAGAGUUUGACUUCGAGGCCUAAUGUCAGUUUUGGUAUCGAUUUCAUUAUUCUUAUAUUGAAAUUUCCAAUAUUAUCUAGGAAACAUGUUUAUGCAUAGCAAUUACUAAUUUUGGUAUUGGUUUCACCAUUUUCAUAUUGAUAAUUUUUACACUAUCUAAAGCCUUAAGAUUUGUAAUGGACAUGUGUCACAAGUCAUGAACCCCCUUUUCCAAGCUGCUUGAGAUGAAAUCUGCUUGAAAAUAGUAAUAAUGAGGGAGAUGACAUGUUAAAAAUCUAGGUAAUAACAUUUGGUGGAAUUUUUCAUGGAGCUUUAGUGCAAUGACCUGAAGAUUAUGAAAAGUCUAAUAAUGGUUUGCUUAGUCUAUUAAUAAAGAUUACAACUCAAUUAUUGAUUUGAUUAGUUACUUAAUUGUGGGACUUGAGUAGUUAGGUGAUUAGCAUAAGAGACUAGCUGUGAAACAGCUUAAAUGUGGUGAGCCAUAAUGAAAUUUUUAUACAACAUCAGUAGCACUUAAGCAGACAACAUAGUCAACUGCUCACUUGGUUUUGUGUAGUUAAGACUCAAGAUAGCUUUAUCCACUUUACUUGGUUGUUGUAGGAGCCAUUUAUUUCUAUAGGAUUUAGUUAAAAAAGAAAAAAGAAAUUUUUUUAACUAAAAUAGGUGUUAUAACCCAGUGGUUAGUAGGACACUUACAUGCGCUUCAAAAUUAAACACUUAGUAGUAGCUUACCUAAGUUCAACAAUUGCUUGCAAAAUUUAUAAAAGAGUUAAGGAGACUUGGAAACGUUGAUUUUUUUUUUUUUUUGAAAAAAAAUAAAAUAGCUUCUUAACUCAUGGUGCCAAGUUUCAACUCUAGUGUGAGUCAAGUGGAGAAACUAGAGUUGAAAUAAUCAACUUGUAUAAUAGUUAGAGAACUUGAUGCUUUUAAAGACUUUGUUUUUUGGAUUACCUUCCUUUAUUCUAAAAUUAGUAUUUAAAUGAUAACUUCAAACCUUAUUUAGGUUGAAAAAAAAAAUGAUAUACUAAAUUAUUAUUAUUAUUAUUUUUAUAAAAUUCUCGUUAUAUAUGAAGAAAUCGAUCUCAACUUAAAUACCAAAUUUGUUGUUCUUAACUCCCUUAAACUUUAAAUUGAGGUAUAUUUUGUUUUGUUUUAAAAACUAACUUGAUAGCCAUGAUGGAUGACAUUAUGAAAAGUAUUAAGGGGAAACAACCCUAGGUAAGAGUUCCUAAAGGGAAAAGGGUAUAGUACGUUAGAGUGACAUACCUAAAACAUUUUCAAGAAGAUAGAUACAUUGAUAUAAAAGGGGUAUAGACAUAUGUCCUUGGGUGAGUCCAUAAAAUGUAGGUUUUAUGGUUGUAAGCAACUUAUUAUAAGUUCAAGAAAGGUAUCUAAAAGCCUUAUGAAAGGUAAUAUGCUAAGCUAAAAAAUUAACCAUCAUAAAAAUGCAUGUAUAUUUUAGGUGAUGAUACAUGCCUUUGAAUAAAUUCCUAUGUAGUAUUAUUGAAAAUUAUUGAAAUGGUAUUUAUAAAUCUUUUUUUAUUAUAAAUAAACUAUUCUCUAUAUGGCUAUAACUCACAUUUCCAAAUUCUAAUUUUUUAGACAAAAAGGAAGGUGUACAAAAGGAGAAACACUUAAAAAUAUUAUGUGAAGCUUGAAUAUUUUGUUUUUGGUUGUGUUCAAAAUGGAUUUCUUAUGUAUGUUUUACUAUUUCUACCACUUAGUUAUUGUAUUAUAGAAGAAUUAGAGGGUUAUAACUAUAAUACUGUAAAAUGUAACUAUUGUUUAUAAGAACCUAGUUUUUGUAUUAAGGAAGAAUUAGAGGGUUGUAAUUAUAAUAUUGUAAAAUAUAACUAUUGUUUAUAACAACCUAGUUACAGGUUUGUUGGUUUGUUUGUUUGUUUGUUUUUUUUUUUUUUUUUUUUUUUUUUGAGGUGUAUAAAUUAAUUUUGAUUAUAUAAAAUUUAAGGGUUAGUUGUAAAUAAGUUGUUUGAUUAUAUGAAAUUUAAGGUUUAGUUUGUAAAUAAGAGCUUGUUUGGCCAUGUGAUUUAAAAACAAUUUUCUGUUUUUAAAAAUAUAAAACUAUUAUUAAAAAUUCUUAACACUAUUUGGUUGUUGUUAUUUGAAAACAAUUUUUUAAAAUAAAGUGAAAUAUAUAAUAACAAUUUUUAGAAAAUAAGUAGAAGUUAUUUUCACUAUUUUUUAAAAAUAAAAGGAAAACAUAGAAAAUUUUAAAAAACCAUAAACAAACAAAUAAAAUUGAGCAUGAUAUCAUUUCCUUUUUCUCUCCUCAAUAAAUCCUAAGAUAUAAUCUUUCUUUAAAUUACACAUACUUUUCUAAAUUAGUAAAAUUUCUUUUGUUACUUCAAAUAUCUUAAAUAAUUAUACUUGUGUUAUAUAUAUAUAUAUAUAUAUAUAUAUAGAUAUAUAUAUAUAUAUAUAUCUAGUUUGUAAUUUUAAUUUGUAGAAAUUUUAAAUUUUGUUGUUAAAAAUAGGGAAAAAAAUCAUAUUUGAUUUUUUUGUAUCAAAAUAAAAAUAAAUUUAAAAUAUUGGAAUAUAAAAGAAAAUGAAAUAUAGAAAGUACAAUUCCUUUAUUCAACAUUUUAAUAAAUUACAUGAAAAAAUGAAAAGAAAAAAAAAUGAGAAGCAAAAAAGAAAAAAAAAACAAAAACUAAUAUUUGAACUAUCCAGCACAAUGGACCAAACGAUGGCAUGGCGAGUCAUAUCCUUAAGUCUAGCAUGACCCAAUAGACCAAGUCAUGUCGACAUAACCUACUAUAGUAAUUGGGUCAUGUUGGCCCAACCUGACCUUUUAGAGUGUCAACUCGACCCAACCUUUUAGCAUGCCGAGUUAUGGGCCAAACUAGGGUGCCUGACCCAUUUGACACCUCUAAGUCCAUGUAACAUAGUAGCUUGACAAAUUUUGACAACUCAAUAGCCUAAUGUCAUGAUUCACCAUAGAUUUUGUCCAAUAUGUAAAAUCAUCUCUCUGAUUAGGAGAUAGUGCACUACAGUCUCUACUAUACAUAAAUCGAUUGUGAACAACUUAUCAUCUUGUAAGCAAACCAUAACUUGUAUACUUUAUAUGGAUCCUAAUGCAUCCAAGUUAUAUAGAAUGAAAGUGAUAUGGUGUUGAAUGUUCAAAUCAAUAUCAAUACAAAAAUGAAUAGUAAGUGGAAAAUCAAAUCUAACUUUUUACAUCAUGUCUCACUUUUAAGAGCUCUAUCCCAACAAUUUUUUUAUACAUCUUGAUAUGGAUGUGUAAUAUCAUUUGUGGAGAUUACAUAAAGAGGUAGACAUGGAUUUAAUGCCAUACUUGUUGUCUUUUAGAUUAGGCAAUUUCAUAUGGUAUGAAAAUAUUUUUUCAAGGAUAGAUGGUAAGCAAUAGUUUUUCAACCCUACUAUUUUUCUUUACACCCAAUAGGGUUAAAAAAUAAUAUAAUUUUUUAACAAAGUCAUUUCAAAAUUUAUAGCUAACUUUGGAAAAGAUUUUUGAUGUUGAGAAGUAGUUUUUAUUCUUCUUGGGGUCAUGAGAACAAGGUUAUCUCAAAGGAAGCAACAACAACUUUAAUAGGAGUAAAACAUGCAAAUUUAACUUUUUCCUUACAAGGUGAACUUUUAUUAAACUCUAUGUAGUUUAAUUCUUUGAUUUGAUAAAAGAAGAGAUAAAAGGUAAAGAUGGUCCCAAAAGCCACUAUAGACAUAAAAAUUUAAGUAGACUAAAUUACCACUAAUUUGGUCUUCAAAGUAAAUAAACAAAAAAAAAAAUAGAUAUCCUCUUAUGGAUAAGUUUCCUAAAAAAAAAACUAAUCUCCAACUAUAAAAAAGAUAAUAAUAAUAAGAAGAAAAAUAUUAUUAUUAUUAUCUUGUUGGUAAAACCUCCUAGGAAAGAAAAAUUGUUAAAAUCAAGGAACUAAAUCCCUUGAAUUAAGCAACCAAAAUCCGAGAAUUUGAAAUUCAAAUUCCUUAUCCCUAAAAAUAAAGGUGUCUUCUUUCAAGAAAUGGGGGAGAAAUUAAGAAAUUGAAAAAAUCCUAAGGAGAAAAUCCAAAAAUGACUUUGUACAAGAAAAGAGGUUUUACAACAAAAGAAAAAGUUUCAUCAAAUCUCCCUAGAAGUUUGGUAAAUGGCAAAAAACAUUGCUACACACGUUCUUCACUAUUCAACAAGUUCAUUCGGGAAUAAGCUACUUGUGGCCCUUGAUUGAUCUUCGAAAUCAAGAAAACAUCAUCGUCAUCUUCCAAAUUAUGAUCAAGGCAAAAAAAAAUUAGAGAAAAAAUAUUAUUUUGUAAAGAAUAUUGUUUUUAUUGUACCCCAUCAUAUUUUAAUUUUAAUAAAUAUUUUGUUUACAUUAUUUUCCUAUUGUUUUGCUAAUUUCACAAGACUUUUACGAAAUUUGUGCAUACAAAUUUCUGGCAUGCUCGAUGGGAUGUCUCUAUCUCUCAUCUCUUUUGUUAGAAGAUUGAUCACUAUUACGUCAAUGGCAUCCAAAAGAACUCAAGUUGUGCAUGUCAACAAGGGUAGUGACAAGAUUGUCAUUGUGCAAUCGACACUCAACAUCGCGACAAGCCCCAUGACUCGUAGUAAAACAAAAUCAACAUCUUCACUCUCAACAAAACAAAUAAGUAAGUUUACUUAUUUGCGAAAACCACUAAGAACGCGUGAUGAGAACCAACCAUUCAUCACUUUGGCCUCUUUUGGGGUAAAGAGUCAUAGUCCUCGUAAUAGGGGAAAACUUCCUUUAACAUUAAAGGACUUUGGGGAUAAAUCUCCUUACUCUAUUACCGAUGCCAACUCUAGUAUCGGCUCACACUCUGGAUCGCCAACUAAAAUGUUAAAAAUGGAAAACUACUCCAAUUUCUGACUCUUUUACUUCUCCCUUCUUGAUGACUAUGUUGGUAAUGGCAACCGACACUAUAUCCAUAGAUGAAUAAUUGGCAAAAAUGGCUCGCGCCAUCGCCAAACUCACUAAGACUGUAGAGGAAAAUGAUAUGUGGAUAAUUUCCCUCAUAAACAAGGUCGAUGCAUAAGUACAAAAUGUGGGUGAGCCAAAUCAAGGUCUCAACUACCUUCUAAAUGUUGCAUUUCAUCUCGAUGAUGCACCACAUACGUCUAGGAUAGUGCAAGUCGAAGAACAAACGGCAGAAUCUACCUUGGUGGCAUCAUUAUUUGUCCAACAACUUCAGGACAUGAUAACUAACACCAUUAGAGCAUAGUAAAGUGGACCCUCACAGAGUACACUUAUGUACUCUAAACCUUACACUAAGAGGAUUAAUAGUCUACGUAUGCCUGUGGGCUAUCAAUCUCCAAAGUUUCAAUCAUUUGACGAGAAGGAAAAUCCAAAACAACAUGUUACCCAUUUUGUUGAAACUUGUAACAAUGCAGGUACAAAUGGUGACUUGUUAGUCAAACAAUUCGUUCAUUCUCUUCAAAUGAAUGCUUUCGAUUGGUACAUAGACCUUGCACUUGAGUGUAUUGAUAGUUGGGACCAAAUAGAAUGCGAAUUCCUUAAUCGUUUCUACAACACUCGACGAAUUGUAAGCAUGAUGGAGCUUACUAAUACUAAGCAAUGGAAAGAUGAGUUGGUCCUAAACCACAUUAAUCGUUGGCGUUCCUUAAGCCUGGACUGCAAAAAUAGAUUAUACAAGGUGUUAGUUGUGGAGAUGUGUAUACAAGGAAUGCAUUAGGGUCUUCUAUACAUUCUCAAAGGGAUAUGACCUCGCACCUUUGAAGAGUUAGCUGCUAGAGCACAUGACAUGGAGCUCAACAUAGCCAACCAUGGUACUAAGAAGGACCUUAUCAUUGACCAGCAAAGAGAGAAACAUGAUGGGAAAACAAGUGAUAAACCUUAAUAAAACUCAUCCAGGAGUCAAUGAUGGUAAAUACGACUCCUAUCGAAAUCUCAACAAGAGAUAAAAAUAAUGAAGUAAAAGAGGUCGAACUAACCCAGGAAAAUGAGGCGUUGGUUCACCUUGAAGGAAUUGAAGGAGAAGAAGUAUCUUUUUCCUGACUUUGAUGUGCUUAACAUGUUGGAAGAUCUACUCUAGAAAAGGUUAUUGAGCUACUUGAGUGCAAGCAUCUAGAAGAAAUAGGUCGUGUUAAUGAUCCGAACUACUGCCAUUACCAUCUAAUCGUCAGUCACCCUGUGGAGAAAGGUCUCAUCUUAAAAUAUCUUAUAAUGAAACUUGCAAAGCAAGGAAGAAUUCAUUUGGAUUUGGAUCAAGUAAUAGAGUCAAAUCAUGUUAUAGUCACAUUUGGGUCAUUUAAUCCUAUUCCAUUACACAUUCCACCUAAGACAUUGGGGGCAUGCGCCGGUACUAUCCAAUGUGAGUUACCUAGGUCAAAGCAAACACAAUUGUCACGCUAAGACACCCUUCUUCACCUUUGCUCUGAUAAUGAAUCAAUGUCAUAUAGCAAAGAAGGUUGGACAUUGAUGACAUGAAGAAAACCUUGCAAGAAGCAAGAAUCUCAUCCAUACCCAAAUCUUCUUAGGAAGGAAACACGUAAGCAAAAUAUUCAUCGACAUGCGAAGAAGAAAGAAGAAAAGAAACUCAAAAGAAAAUAAGUGAUUGUACAGGUUGAUGACCUCUUAGUAAAAAAGCUUAUCACCCCUAUCACCUUAAGAGAAUACCUCCCUUUAGAGUGCUUCAAUAGAAAAAUGAUAACAUCAACUCAUAUGGUCUCUUGUCAUGAGACUUUAGUAGAAAAUAGGUCAAGUGAAGAUGAACAAAGUGCUAUUGGUUUAAAGUCAAGCAAAACCAAGGAAGAGGAUAAGGUAGUAGUUGCACCUAUUGUGUUUACCCUCAUUUUUCAAUAUCCAUGAAAUGCUACAACUUCUUGAGGAAACACGAAUUGCAUUAAUCCAGACACUUAAGAAUCCAUCACUCUAUGCCACAAAAAUAAAGAAGACAAAAUGAUUUGAAAACAAAGGUCACAAUUUUGCGACAUGUUGUGCAACUAUCACUUUCACCAAUGACGAUGAAAAGAGCGUGACAUCAAAUUUUACCAUAAUUGUUCUCAAACCUCGACACUCCAAUGAUGUUCCUUAAAGCAUGAGCCUAAACGGCAUAUUUCUCAUAUCCUACAAGAGCUUAAACUGUAGUAACAAAAAAAAAAAAUCAAACUUAUGCAAAAAAAAAAAAAAAAAUCUUUUUUGGCAAACUUCUUAAAUUGGUGAACAAACUUUUUUGUAUUAAAGAAGUCAAAUUCGGAGAUUAUAAACUAAAAUCUCCAACUUCUUUAAAUACAAGUGUUCUUUUCUUUCAUCAUGAAGCACUCUUAAAAGGGAGAUGCAACUUAGAAGCUAAAUCCAAAAAUGAAGUUUCAAAAGUCAAGAUCAAACUCCAAAUAUUUUUCAACAAGUUUGUAGAAUAAUAUCAAACACAAACAAAAGUGUCAUUCAUCCACCUUCAAAGUUAAAGAAAAUAAGGUUGGGUAUUUCAAAACACUUGAGAAAAUUAUUGAUAAGUUUACUUGAAAUCAAAUCAUUAUUGACCCUCAAUUAAACUUUGCUCCAAAAACACAUGUUUACCACCCUUGGAUUAAAAUCAAGUCCAAACUUGACACAUUCUUCAACAAGCCUAUGGAAGAAUAUCAAACACAAUACAAAAGUGUCAUUCAUCCACCUUAAGGGCUGAAAAAAAAUCAAGACGAAUUCAAAUGAUCUUCUUUUGUUCUCUAAAAUGCUUAAGAAAAGUCUUCACAAGUUUGGUUGAAAAUAAGUCAUCUUUGACCCUCAAUUGAACUUUGUUCCAAAGAUAUGAAUUUAUCACCCUUCGAUCAAACUCAAGACAAGUGGCAUUCAUGGCCCAUAUAAGCAUAAACUAUGUAUAGUGCACAAAAAAUAAAAAUAAAAAAAAUCAGCUAAGUUGAAAACCUAAAAAAGUGACUUAGGCAAAAUUAGGACAUAUACUCGCAAAAUUAAAUCUUUCUCUUAGUCUUAGCAAAAGUUAGAGCAUAAAAUAAUAAUAAUAAUAAUACCUCUUCACCAUCAAGUUCCAUCGGUUGAGUAGAAGUUGGAACGUCAGCAAAGAGGACAUCUGCAUCAAGAGGGUGAGAGUUAGUCUCAUCAUAGUACAUGAGGUUGUGUCUAAUCUUUCGGCAUUUGAAGUGACAUUCACUUGUAUCAUUAGAGUCAUCAUUUUAUACAUGAAGACUUUGUGCAUUGUUAUGUUGCUUAAAAGUCUUGUGACAGUGACCACUACCACAAUUGAAAAUAGUUUCCUCAUGCUCCAAGUGCGUAGAGGUAUUAGUUUGAUGACUACCCAUUAAGCGCUUAGAAAAAGCACUUGAAUCAUCAGGUAAAUCAUCAAAAUCCUUCUCAACACUGUCUCUAAUGUUCCCCUUAGUAGAAACACUUGAGUCGAAUUUACACAUUCUACUCUCUAAAGACUUUAAGGGUAUUUGUCGAGAAAAAUCAAGAGGAGGCUCCAUACAAGCAGCAAUAAGAAUUUCCUUAUCAGGAUUGUGCAUUUUGAUCCACCAAUCUGCAUUAGCCUUGGUGACUCAAAACUCUUCAAGACUAUGAAAAUCUAGUAUAGUAACUUUGGAGUAUGUACCAAGCCUAGUGCAUGACUCCCAAUGUUGAUACACCACCUCUAAAGUUCCAACACAAAAAAUCUCUGGCAAACCCCUAUGAGGUCUUGAGGAUACCCAAACUGCUUGGAAAACUGGUGAGGAUAAUACGAUUAGAUCACCUGAUGGUUACUUUGUCACAAAGACAAAUAGCUAGAGCAAAGACUUGUGAGAUAAGAAGCUUUGGUAACACUAAUAGAUUCAUUAUCAAUCCAAUGCACACACUCUUUGUGUCACAAUGCCAAGUGGUCCAGUUUUAUGUCUUUACAAGAUAUUAUCAAAGCCCGAGCUUGUAAAUCAUCGAAACACUUAGCAGAAAACUCGCUAGCGUAAUAAGUCAUUCGUGGGAGAUGGUUCCAAGAAGGAGAAAUGAAAUGGGUAUCGAAAUAUUCACCUAACCAUUCGUAUAAAUAAUGAAUAGGGAAAAUAAAUGCAUUAGUCUUGAGAUUCAAAGAACAAGUUAUUUCAUUUAAAUCGUUGUAAAUGCUUACUAACACCGGAAUAACAAGACUAAAUGUCUCACCUUAAGCCAUUCUACUAGCUACCUUAAAGACUCCAAAACGAAUCAAAUUGACACCCCCAAGGAAGAAUGAACUUGCAUAACCAACAUGCUAUGAAAGCAACCAAGUAAGUUUCCUUAACAUCUGCCUCGGCCACACCAAGGUCGUCAAAAACUUCCGUCUCUGACUGAGUACAAGAUUUAAUAGGAUCAAUAUCCCCGAAUGGGUUAUAAGUAUCCUUAGGCCUUUGUGUCUUAUUCCUUAUACUCUUCUUUUAGGGUUUUGCAUAAUUCAUGGAGCCUUUGUACCAAAAUGACACCCAAUAGGCUAACUUGACUAAAGACUUCCCCUUCAUCUCAGAGCAAAUUCAAUGAUAUACAAGGAAUAAGUUUCGACAACUUGGUGGGAGUGAGGAAUUCAUUGCAUCAUUAGAUAACUCUUCCGAACUUGGUACCAUCUCAUCAUAAAAAGAUCCAAUGAUGGGUAGUCCAACAAUACGAUACAAGUCCCAAAGAUAUAUGGAAACCUCUUCAAUGGAAGUAUGCAAGGUGUUAAGGGUAGGACACCAACGUUCGCAAAAGGCCUUAAUCAUAGAAGCAUGACAAUCAUAGUUGAAUAGGGAUGCAAAAAAUAGCUUCAUAAAGUUUGUAUACUUUAAGAAAUAGUCUAUGCCGACCCAUUACCUCCUCUACUCAUUCCCAAUAUCCUUCGGUAAAGAAAGAUUCCCCAAGUACCUUAAAGGAGCUUCCCCAUUUAGCUUCUCCGUCACAAACAUAAGAGCCUAUCAAUCCAAAUUCAUCAUGAACUUCAAUAGUAGUUGGGUGAGAGAAUUCAGUAGUAGAACAUCAAAAACAAGUUUCACUUUAUUAGGUUUUUGAAUUGUUGAUAUUUGUAAGCUUGCAAGAUGCAACUCGAGACCAGGAAGAAAUGUGUAAUGGAUCCUUUGUCACUGGCACUGACAAAGAUUGAAGGUUAGUAAAUGACUUAUGCAUUGACAAGGUAAUCCCCUCAUCAAAAUCUUCACUAUCAUCCUCAAGAAUGGUUACAGUAUUCUCUUUGAAACAUUUGAAGAACUUCGUUCUACACAAAGAAAAAAGGAAGGUAGAGAAAGAGAUGAAUAAAAUAUGGGUCUAAGUUUUUAGACACCACUAUGCAUUUAAGUCAGGCCAAUUUGUAUGAGUGAAGACCUUAGCACUUAAGUCGUAUUAAGUGCUGAAAGUACAAAACCGCAUAGCAUCAAAGCCAUAACUUGUUACAUAAACGCCAAGUAUUAUUCUAGUUUUAAUUAAAUGUUAAAACUUAAACACCACUAUGCAUUCAAGUCAAACCAAUUUGCAUGGAUGAAGACAUUAACACAUAAGUGCUGAAAAUAUGACACUGCUUUGCAUCAGGGCUACGACUUGAUUACAUGAGGGUCAAAUUUUAAAUAUUCAUAUUUAAUUUUAUUAAAAAUUCACUCUCAAGUAUUAAGGCAAAUUUUUGAAAAAUUAAUUAAUUACCUGAUAUCAAAUUUGUUUCCACGAAUGAUAAAGGUCAACAUGUGUUUGAGAAAGGUAAGUCUUUUCAUUCUUUUUUUUUUUAAAUGUAAGCCAAAAAAUAAAUAAAAUAAAUAAAUUGGGAGAUCACAUGUCAAUAUAUAUAUAUAUAUAUAUAUAUAUAUAUAUAUAUAUAUAUAUAUAUAAACUUCCCAUAUAUAUAUAAAGCUAUCAUCCACUGUUAGCCAUUCAUAUGUGUGUGUGUGUGUGUGUGUGUGUGUGUGUGUGUAUGUUGGUUGUUAUUGCUUCAUAACCCCACGCAUGCCACAAAUAGGCUCCUAUACUCAGCCACUACUGAUGUCUCCCCACAACUUGAUGUUGAAUGCUAUGACAUGAUUUCCAAUGCAUUUAUAAUACCCAAAAAAAAAACUUACAGGUUUGGAAAUGGAUCCAAGGUUGAAGAUGAUUGAAAAAAUGAAAUGAUUCCUCGUGGAGAACUCAAAUCGAGUUCCUUAAAAUUAGGUUGAAGAUCACCUAAAAAUUGAAAUAAUUUUUAAAAGAAUUCAAGUUGGGUUUCUCAAAUUGGGUUGAAGAACAUCCAAGGAUCAAAAGAGCUCUCUGAAAAAGUUUAAGUCUAAUUUCUCAAUUAUUGUCCCUUUUAUAUAUAUAUAUAUAUAUAUAUAUAUAAAACAUAUACAGAGAAGACAAAUUGGAAGAUGAUUCAAAGUGUAAAGCAAGAAGGAAAACAAAGUAGAGUUUGAAAAAAAAAAAAAAGUGGGAAAGAAAUAUUUAAAAAAAAAUAGGAAACUUCUUAUUAAAAUAUUUCUUUGAAAAAAAAAAUACUUCAAGACUCACCCCAUCUACAUGACAAUGCAUGUACAUGAUGUGUCUUGAAGUGGAGGCAUUUGUAGAUUAAAAAAAAAUUAGUGGACUAAAUUACCACUAAUUUGGUUUUCAAAGUGAAUAAAAAUAAAUAAAUAAAAAUUGAUAUCCUCUUAUGGAUGAGUUUCCUAAAAAAAAAGAAAGAAACUAAUCUCCAAUUAUAAAAAAUAUGAUAAUAAUAAUAAUAAGAAAAAUAUUAUUAUUAUUAUUAUUAUCUUUGUUGGUAAAACCUGGAGAAGAAAAUUUGCUAAAAUCAAUGAACUAAAUCCCUUGAAUUAAGCAACUAAAAUUCGGGAAUUUAAAAUUCAAAUUUUCUAUCUUUACCUAUAAAUAGAGGUGACUACUUUCAAGAAACGGGAAAGAAAUUCAAAAAUCAAAAAUUGAGAAAUCGAAAAAAUCCAAAAAAAAAGGAAAAUCCUAAUGAGAAAUCUAAAAGUGACUUCGUAUGGGAAAAUAGGUUUCACAAAAAAUAUGAAAAGUUUCAUCAAAUCUCCCUACAAUUUUGAUAAAUGGUAAAAAGAAAACGAGUUCAUUCGGGAAUAAGCCACUUGUGGCCCUCGAUUAAUCUUUGAAAUCAAGAAAAUGUCAUCGUCGUCUUCCAAAUUGUGAUCAAGGCAAAAUAAUUAGAGGAAAAAAAUAUUCUUUUAUAAAGAAUAUUAUUUUUGAGAUUAUACCACAAUAUUUUUUAUUUUAAUAAAUAUUUUGUUCGCAUUAUUUUCCUAUUGUUUUGCUAAUUUUGCAAGACUUUUAGGAAAUUUGUGCGUACAACCACAUUUGUGCACAAUUUUAUUUUUUAUUUUUUUUAAAGAAAAUUUAUGUGGUCAUAUAGAAAUUUUAUUGAUUUAAAGAAUAAUAUAGAUACAAUCCCUAAUAUGUUCUUGGAUUCUUCUUCUCCUAGUUGUCAAACAAGGGCUUGAAAAAGCUUAAUCUUGAAUACAAAGUUUGUUGAAAAUUUGACAUCAUAGGAGCAUAACUUGGAUUUUGACUUCUUAUGGUUUGAGUUUUGAGUUUACUUAGGCUUUCACUUGACUUGAGCUUUGGCUUAACUAAGCCUUUACUUGAAUAGGGCUUUGGCUUAACUUAGGCGGUGUUUGUUUUUUUGGCUUUUUGCUAAAAGCAAUUUACUUUCAGAAUUUAGGUUGUUUGUUUUUUUUAAUUUUUAAUGACUUAUUACUAAAUUUUUAAAAUUUUUGGCUCAAUGGAAAAAGCCAAAAUAUUUGGUUUUUUCUAAAUAGAAAAAAUCAGUUUUUGAAACCUCCCCAAAUACGAUUUUCAACCCAACACCCGACCUUAGCCCACCCAUCCCUUGUAGCUUUCCACAACCGACAUCCUCAACCCUCACCUCAUCGAUAAUUUCUUCAUUCUCCUCAUCCAUCGCUCUCUAUCUGAGACUACACAGUUGGAAAGACAUUCCACUUUCAUUCGACAUUGUUGAUCUGAUCGAAGCUAACCCUCAACCCAAAUUUAUUUUGAGUUUUAGGAUUUUAAUAGAGCAGUCAAGUCUCAUUUCCUAGUACUUCUCUCUCUAAAACUCUCAUUCUCUAUUCUAGUUCACAUAUGCAAGUGCUCUGUUUAGGGUUUUUGAGUUCACGUGUUGCAGGUCCUAAGAUAAUUUUAGGAUUUCUAGGCUCUGUUAGAGGAGCUGUGUGGGUGUUUCUUUUGUUUGAGUUCAUUUUUAGGAAAAAAUUUCUAGGCUACUGAUUUUGUUUGAGAUUACAAAGAAUAUGGGUAUCGGGUAUUUGGGUUUUUUUGUCUCAACAAGACCAAAUCAGGAGUAUUCAAUGAGUGGUUGGGAUUUUAAUUUCUAUCUUUUGCAACCCUUCCCCUUUUGUAGGAAUCAACUGGAGCAUAAAAUAAUUCAAGACUUCUUGUCUGUUUAUUGAAAUAUAAGAGAUUGGGUAGAUGGAAUUGUAGGGUACGUUUGAAACAUUACCAUUCUUUGUUCCUUUGAUGAUUAUAAAAUUUCUAGAUUUUGGUUGAAUCGAUAGCUAUGUGGCUAUGCCACUAAGGUUGUCCUAAAUGAUGAAUUUAACAAUGGGUCUUCUUCCAAUUCAAGAGCAUCCACAAGGUUUGAAGGCUUAGAAGAAAAUACCUCAUCUAUCUCUAAUUGAGGAAAGUUUUUGCCCCCAUAGAGCACUCUCCCUUUUCCAACUUGACUAUUCUUCUAGAGUUGGGUCUUUUCCCCAACAAGAAGUUGCCUGACAAGACAGAAUUAAAGGAGCUGGUCUCCUCAUCAUCACAUUUCUUCGUGUCAAUACUUAUUGUUUCAACCUUUCUUUUUCCUUUUACAAGGGUAAGUGAUCUUCGGCUUGAGUCUACUUCCUCAAUAGAAGUCCCUUGUUGUGCCUUUGGAGUACUCCCCCCUAUACUUUAAUUUACUCUCGGCAUCACUCUAUCACAAAACUGAAAUCGUUUAACCUCUGAUGGAGCAAAUUUUGUUGUCUAAGAUCAAAGACUUGGAGCCCUUCUUGGCUCCUUGCUACAUAAUGGGAAAGUAAAGGAAUUAGGGCAUUGAAAUUUAAGAAGCCCUAAUGUUGAAAGUCAAUUGUCAGUUGGAUUAAAUAAAAGGCCUAACCUCAUGGGCUUUGCCAAGUCAUGGUCCCUUGAAUUAUGUGGUCUGGCUUUGCUUGAGGCUCUUACUAAGGGCAUUGAUGCCCCUCAAUUUGGAGGCAAGAGUCAUUCAUCCCCCUAGGACAUCUCUUCAUUCGAGAAAUAAUAAGGAGAGUUUUUUCUCCUUUGAUGACAACACUGAGCAUAGUAGAAAUCUACAUGCAUUGUUAUUGCAAAGGUCCAACUUGUAGUCUCUUUGCAUAAGGUUUUCACUAGGCUACCAUCCCUUGGCCGAGAAAAAAGAGUUUGGCUACUCUACAAUGUUAGGCUUAAUGUCAUUGGGCUUAGAAAAUCUUCUUUAGUUGAUCCCCAGGCACAAAGUAUGGCCCGUCACCCUGAAAUAGAUCUUGAGCACCUUUUUUUGGGGCAAAAGGUCCAUUGUCAUCCUUGUUUAAAUUUAGAAAAUUAACCCCAGUUGGCUUACCCUAGUUGCAGGUUGUCCAUGGUUAUCCAUACUUGUGCACCUUUCAACUUGUUUAUAGAGUUUGCAGGUUUUCUAACUUCUGCACUGCAACCCCAACCUCGUGCUAAGGGUAAGCUAAAUGGUUUAUCAGGUUGCUUUUGGAAAUCUUAGUCAACUCAUCCCUUCAACUUGUUUUUGAUUCGUCUUUGGCCUCCAAUACUUCUAAAAUCAGCAACAGGAAAAAAAUCCAUCUACCAUUCACCUUAAUUGAUGUCAAUAAGAUCUCCCAUUUCAUCAAAUGUGACAUAUUAUGCAAGUACACAAUUCAGUUAAGGCACCAAAGGAUUUCAAAAUGGCUUCAAAAGCUCUCAUGUCCAUAGAUGGAAAGGUAAGCCUCUCAGCCUCUCAAUUCAACCUAACCACUCUUUAAGUCAGAUUCAUAAUUGUAUUUGUUCUUGAACAUCACCUUCCCAAGCAAACUUUACUCUUUUUGAACCAUAACCUCUCCUAGAUUACUUGAUUCUUCUGCUACAUUUGUUGAUUUGAUCCAAUAAAAAUGAAUUUCAUGGCUAAAAAAGAUAAAUCACUAGAGACCUAUUUAUUCCUAUAGCAACAGCUAGCCUAUGAUCAAUUGUUUCCCACUCAAACAAUUGGUUACAAGAUUAAUUUUUAAGCAUGGUUACAAGAUUAUUUUAUAUUAUAAAGAACAUAAAUUUUUUAAUUUGUUGUGCAUUGUUCCAAAUGUUCCUAUUUACUCCUUAGCAGGCAAAGCUUGUUCCUAAUGUUCAGCUGUUUAGUCAUAUCUAUUAUUUGUUGUGCAUACUGAACCAAUGACUUUGUUUCACUUAUGACCAUAGUUUCAACUCCUUAAGCGACUCUUGUUCAUACUGUUUGACAAUUUUGUCAUUUAAGAUUACUUUCUGUGCAUGAUAAAUUGUUGGCUUCACUUGAUUUACGGUCUCCAUAUCAGAAAUCAUAUUCUGUGCAUUUUUUUUCUUGUAUCAAAAGGAAAAAGACAUAAAAGAAGCUGCAUAGGUAUUAUGGAAACUGCAUAUUGCUAACAUUUUCAGUUUUUUUUUUUUUUUUUUGGAAGGAAAAGUAUAUCUUGAGAAUGGAACCAGUGGCUUUGAGCACUACUUUGAUGAUAUAUUUUUAGCAAAUGGAGAUUAAUGCUUUCUAGAACUUUUUUUUUUAUAGGCAAUGCUUUUCAGAACACAAAUUAUGUUAUUUGAUGAACAGUUGUCUUCCACUGUUAUACUUUGAGAUGUCACUUCCUAGGAAACACUUCAUCCAUCUCUUGUUCUUUCUGAUGUACAAAAAUGCACGUACACAUGUAUGUGAGCAUUCAUGUAGACAUGUAUUGGCAUAAAAAGAAGUGAAUAGGCUGGGUGUAAAUGAAUAUGCUAAAAUAAGAAAUAAGAGCCAAUGAGAUAUAAUCAAUGAAAUGUAAAUAGAGUUUAGGCUCAAAUUCACAUAAGAAGGUUACACUAAGUAUAUUGCAAGCCAUACUCAAACUUUACAUUCAUGAAGAUUUUUAUUUUAUUGUCUCUAAUUGAAAAUUGAAAAUUAAUCAUUAAUGUUGGUUGGUUUUUUGUAUAGUAAUGAGUCAAAAUGUUGAGAUUAGUAGGGCAAAUUGGACUGACCCCAUCCAAAGAAAGCACUUUAUUGAUCUUUGUCUUCAAGAGGCAAACAAAUGCUUUAGAUCAGGUGAAGAUUUAAAGUCUAGUGCUUGGCCUCAAAUUGCUGAGGAGUUGGAGAAGUUACUUGGAAAACGUUAUACUUCAAAACAACUUAAGAAUGGGUGAGAUUACAUAAAAAGACAAUAUCUCAUUUGGAGUAAAAUGAUGACUAUGACAGGACAUGGUUACAACUCUGUAACCAAAACUUUUGAUUGGCUAGCUAAAAAAUGGGAAGAAUAUCUACAGGUAGUUUUUUUUAUGGAUUUGAGUGAAUUUUAAAAAUAAUUGUCUUAUAUAUGUAUACAUGAAAAAUUUGUUGUUUAUCUUGCAAAAUGGAAAUAUCCAGAAGUUAAACAAUUUUGUUUUAAACCAUUAGCAAAUGUAGAAGAAUAAGAGGCAUUGUUUGGAGUGUUAGCUACUGGGUCUAAAAAUUGGAGCUCUGGAGGAGUGAUAGCUUCUGGGGCUGAGGAAUCAUCAACACAUUCUACAUCUAUGCCUAGCAAAACUUCAAUUAGUUUAGAAGAAGAUGAGGAUUUGCCAAGAAAUACUAAUGAUAAAGCAGAAGGUUCUAAGAAAAAACAGAAGAAAGGAAAGAAAGAGCAAACUUAAGAAGAAAUGAAUAGAAUAAUGAAUGUGUUGGAGAAUUUUGAAGGACCCUCAGUCAAAUAAUGCAUGAAGAUUUUGAAGAGGCUCUUGACUUAUGAGGAUCCAUUAUACUAUGUAGCAAUUAAUGCAUUUUGCAAGAAAAAAUAGUACAGAGAGGUGUGGAUGGAGAUGGAAAGUGACGAAGAGCGAACGGGAUGGAUUCAAAGCUUGAGAAAAAACUUUUUAAAUAUUUGUUUUAGAUUUGUGGAAUGCAUAAGGUAUAUGACUAAUAUGAUGAUUUUAAUUUGGUACAUUUGGUUUUUUGUUUUGGAUAUUUGAUACAUUUAAACUUUUCCAAUUAUAAGACUUUCUCUCUACAUUUUAUGGAUAUUUGUUUUGGAUAUUUAUUACUCAUACAUUGUUAUAACUAUUUGAUUAUAUUGUUAUGCUUUUAUUCCAUAACUAUUGUUUUUUUAUAAUAGAUAUUCUUAUGGAGAAUCCUUCACAUCACUCAAAUAGUUCAAGUUCAUCAUCAUCAAGUGAAGAUGAAGAUACAAAGUUAGAAGUGACAAGAGUUUUAAAAAAAAGAUUGGUUGUGUUGUUGCUCAAAUUAUUAAGUGACUCAUCCAUUAAUAAGGAACGAGUCUCUACUUCAUCAUUUACAGGUUCACUUUUCAUUCAAGAGCUUUUAAAUGGUUCAUUUAGCACAUGUUAUGAACUAAUGCGGAUGGAAAAACAUGGAUUUAUUUCUCUGUCACAUGUUUUGAGAAAAAUGAUGGCUUGUUGAUAGUAAACAUUUGAAUGUUGAAGAGAAAAUGGCCAUGUUUCUUAUGACUAUUAGUCAUAAUCUUCGGAAUCGAUUGAUUAAGAAUAGAGUCCAACACUCAAGUCAAACAAUUCACAAAUCCUUCCAUGAGGUUUUAGUGGCCAUGGUGAAUUUCUCAAAAGAGAUGAUUACUCCUCCAUCAUUCAAUGAUAGUUCAAAUGGUAUCUCUAAUCGUUGGCUAAGACAAAUUUUUAAGGUAUAUUAUUUUUUUAUUUCUAAUUAUUCAUAUCAUAUUUGUAUUAUUCUCAUAUAAAAAUAAUUAUUUAUAUUUUAAAGAAUUAUUACCAUGUAGGAUGUUGUUGGUGCAAUUAAUGGAACUCUUAUCCAUGCAUGUAUUCCCACUAAUCAACAAUACCUUAUCAAGGUCGUGAGAGAGGAGAAUGUUUUCAGAAUGUUAUGGCAGUUUGUGAUUUUGACAUGAUAUUUAGGUUUGUUGUUGUUGGAUGGGAAGGAACAACUCAUGAUUCAUCUUGACAGAAACUAUUCGUAACCCGUAACAUAAUUUUCCAAUGCCCCCAUCAAGUAAAUAUUUUAUUUUCAUUUCAUUUAAUAUAAUUUGUAUUUAUUCAUUAAAAUAAUCAACUCAAUCCUUUUUUUCAAAAAAAUAUUAUUUAGUAGAUGCAGCAUACACACACACUCGAGGUUUUAUGGCACCAUAUCGUAAUGUGCGCUAUUGGUUGAGUGAUUUUCGUAGUGGUGGUAAAGCUGUAAGAAAAGAGGAGAUAUUCAACCAAUGUCAUGCAAGAUUAAGAAAUGUCAUUGAACGUGCUUUUGGUGUUGUUAAGGCGUGUUUCCCAAUAUUGAAGAGAAUGGCACCUUAUUCAUUUACUACUCAAACAAAAAUUGUCAUGACAUGCUUCUCCAUUCACAAUUUUCUUCGACAAAUCUCAAUUGCAGAUAGAUUAUUUUCAGAAAAUGGCAAUGAAGUGGAAUUAGAAAGUGACAAUGCAAAUCAAAAUCAAUACUCAACUACAAGCAGUUUUUUUGCAGCAUCUGAUCAAGAAUCAUGCAACAGUUCUGAGACCAAAUCGCAAAUGAACUCUUUCAAGUGUUAAGUUAACUUGUCAUUUUUAGCUUUUUACCAUUGUAAGAAAUGCAAUGUUUAGAUAUUAGCAUAAAAUGUGAUGUCUUCAAAUAUUUGAAAAUAUGUACUUGAAUUGUUAUGUUUUUUCUUUAAUUUGAUUUAGGUUUUAUCAAUCCAUUAUAUUUCAUAUUAUUAAGUUUAAAUAUUUUAUUUUAAUUAUAUAAAAAAUAAAUAUAUUAAUUAUUUUUUGUAAGAAUGAUAAUGAUAAAUUAUUUAUUAUAACAAUUUUAUUAUUUUGAACUUUUUAGAAAUAAGUUAAAUUAUAUUUUUUAAUACAUUAAAAUAUUAAGAUAUUGGUUUUUAGUAUAUAAAAAAAACAAACAGCUUAAUACUUAAUAGAAAUAAAAUAUUAAAAAAACAAAUAACUUAAUACUUAAUACUAUUAAGCAUUAUUUAGUAUUAAGUUAAAAAUAAGUUCUAUUUAGAAUUAAGCCAAAAAAAUAAACGUCACCUUAGGCUUUGGCUUUGACUUGGGCCUUAGAUCACUUUUCUCAAGGUUUGAAAUAUUGGUAAACACAGAUAUAACAUUAACGGAUAUAUCGAAAAUAUUAAAGAAAUAUCAAUAAGACAAAAAUUAUUUAAAAUUCAUGGAAAUAUUUGGAGAAACUCCAAAAAAUGAUAAAAUAAAUAAAAAUACACAUAUUAAAGUUAUUUUUUAAGUGUAAUUGAGAUAGGUAUGGUUAAAGAGAAAAAUAUCGGUAAACAAAGAUAUAUCGGUAUUAAUAAUUUAUUAUUUAUCUAAUCAAAUUAAUUUUAAUUUAUAAAAUAUUUGAACUUGAUUAUUAUUUUUAUAUAUUUUAGUAUUUUUUGAAUAAAUGUAUAUUUUUAAUAUUUUAAAAUAAAAACGUUCAAAAUUAAAUAAAAUUAAAAUGAUAAAUAUAAAAAAUUUAAAAGUGAAGUGAUAGUAAUUUUUUAAAAUAUGAUUAAUGAGAUAAUGAUAAUACAUUUAACAGUAAAACUAUAAUUUAUUUAAUUCAAAUGCAUUCAAUAAUGUAAAAUAAAUGAUGAUGCUUAUAUGAAUUUUUAAUAUUUAAUUAUCAUAUAAAUGAUAUUAAAAAAUACUUGUUAAGAAAAUUAUAAUAGUGGUUUUAUAUAUUUAUUAAUUAAUUAAAUAAAAUUUAAAAUAACAUAAUUAGAAUUUAUUUAUUUAUUUUUUAAUAAUAAACUUUAACAUAUUUAUUAUGUUUAUAUAUUAACAAAAGAGAAUAUGGCUCAGUGGUAACUAAGCUUGAACCCAAGAAUCUUGCCGAUAGCAGGCUAAACACAAUUGAUGGAGGGUUUUGUGGCAGGCUAGGUGUAGGUGAAAAAAAUGAAAUAGAGGCUUUGUGGCGAGCUAGGGCGAAAAAUUAAAUGGAGGGCAUGCAAAAACUAGCGCAUUGACCGGCAACGAAUGGUGUUUGUCUUCCCAAAAUAUCAAGAAAUUUCUUGAAAAAUCAGUAGAAAUGUUGAUAAACGUCGAUAUUUCGUCGAAAUGUUGUAUCAGCUUUGUCAAAUAAGCGAAAUUUGCCGAUAUUUUGACAAAAAAUCACGACAUUUUAAACCUUGCUUAUGCCUUGGUGUGACUUGAGUCUUGACAUGGCUUAGACCUUAGUGUGGCUUAGGACCUGGUCUGAACAACAUUGAUUGAGAGAUUGGAUAGCUUGAUCUUGAAUCAAAGAGGUUUUUUACAACUUUCGAACUUGAAACGUUAAAAACCUUAACAAUUAAGAGAUAGUUAAAGAAAUUAAAGAUUUUUUAGCAAAGCUUUGAUGAUGCCAAAAUGAUUUGAAGUCUUAUUUGAAGAUUUGAAGAAGCUUUGAUGUUAGAUUAAUUUUUGUAAUUAAUCUAUAAUUUGGGCCACACAUGUAAAUAAUUAAAAUGUGUGUGCUAUCAUUUAAUUAAGCCUAAAUAUAGUGAUCUAAUUAAUAAUUGAUUAAUUGGCUUAAGGGUAUAAUUGUCAUGAGAUUAUUGUGUAGAUACCAUUAGACAAUUAUUAUUUCUAUGAGGGGCAGAAAUAUAAUUGUGAUAAAAUUAAAACUGCCCUAACGGUUUAUAAAUAGGGUUAUGGUCCCCAUUCUACGACUACGCAUUCCAAUUUCUGAAAAUCCUCUCAGAGAGAAAUUGACACAGAAUCUAGUGGCUAGAAUUGGAAGACCAUCUCAAAGGGUUUUCUUCCUAUAAGGUUUCUCCUUCAAUGGAUUUAGGUAUGCUUCCGCUAUUAUUUUUCUACUCAUUGUUUUUUAAUCAGGAGAUUCCAGUAUAUAUGAAAUUAGGGUAUUCACCUUGUUAAAUAUUCCAGUAUAUAUGAAAUUAGGGCAUUUACCUUGUUAACUAUUCCAGUAUAUAUGAAAUUAGGGUAUUCAUCUUGGUUGAUUUUAACAAGACUAUUCCAGUAUAUAUGAAAUUAGGGUAUUCAUCUUGGUUGAGUAUUUUAACAAGUGGUAUCAGAGCCUACUCCUUGAUUAAUUCUUUGAGUUAUUAUUUUAAUAUAUGUCAAUGGAUUAAGAUUUAUUAAAUAUUGAGUUGAUAAUUUUUUUUUUUUAUUAUUAUUAUUAUUAUUAUUUAAUAGCAUUUUAUGAUAUUAAUAUUUAAGUUAUUGAUCUAGCAUUUUAAAUAGGCUAAUUAAAGCGGAAAAUCACCAAAGUGACAUCUUUCGUGUAGAUUAGUCUGUUCGGGGUGUUAGAUAUUUGUGUAUGUGAUUCAUGCAGGUAUUGACUGGCCCAAAGGAAAGUUAAUAUUUGGUCAAAUUGCAUACAUACCUGCGGUGAUAAAUAUGUGAUGAUUAUAAAGGUAACUUAAUGUGAAUAAUAAAUCAAUCCAAAGAUAGAUUUAUUAUUUGACAUAACUUAUCAUCAAUGUUUGAUCACUACAACAAGAGUACCACUCACAGUUAAUAUUAUUGUCCAAAGACUUGAUAUUAAUGUUGUGCUAGGUAUCUUGAAAUGUCAUAAUUUGCUUUUAAAUUUAAAGAUUAUGUGUUUAAUUGCUUAUUUUAUGUGAGCAUGAUGGUUUAUUUGAUUCAUUUUAUUUUGUUCUCGAUUCAGCUUUUAUAUCAACUACUUCUAUAUCUGCCAACAUCAAUAAUGUCCCUAUGUUAAAUGGGACUAAUUUUAAGGACUGGAAAGAGAAUAUGAUGAUUCUCUUAGGCUGCAUGGAUAUAGACUUGGCCUUGAGAAUGCCCAAACCUGAUGAACUCAAUGAGCAAAGUACUCAAGAGGAUGAGGUUUAUUGGGGUAAGUGGGAACGUUCAAAUAGGCUAAGUCUUAUGAUCAUGAAGCGCGGCAUUCCAGAAGCUUUCAGGGGUGCGGUAACCGAUGAGGUUACUAAUGCCAGUGACUUCCUUACGGAAAUUCAGAAACGUUUUGCCAAAAACGAUAAGGCUGAAACGAGCACGCUUUUAGCAAGCUUGAUUUCAAUGAAGUAUAAAGGCAAGGGUAAUGUUCGGGAGUACAUCAUGGAGAUGUCUCAUCUUGCUUCAAAACUUAAGGCUUUGAAACUCGAGUUAUCUGAUGAUUUACUCGUGCAUUUGGUUCUCAUCUCUCUUCCUGCACAAUUUAAUCAAUUCAAGGUCAGUUAUAACUGUCAAAAGGAUAAAUGGACUCUUAAUGAGCUCAUUUCAUUCUGUGUGCAAGAGGAAGAGAGAUUGAAGCAAGACAAGACCGAAAGUGCUCAUCUGGCUAGCACUUCCAAGGAUAAGGGCAAACGAAAGAAUAAGGAUAAUAAGGUUGCUGCUUCUAAUGGUCCAGAACAAAAGAAAUAGAAAGUUGAGGUAACAUGUUUCUUCUGUAAUAAGCCUGGACAUACUAAGAAGGAAUGUACCAAGUAUGCUGCUUGGCGUGUUAAGAAAGGUAUGUUUCUUACUUUGGUUUGUUCUGAAGUUAAUUUAGCUUCAGUAUCUAGAAACACAUGGUGGUUAGAUUCUGGUGCUACUACUCACAUUUGUGUUUCUAUGCAGGGUUGCCUGAGUUACCGAAAACCAAGUGAUGCUAAAAGAUGCAUCUAUGUCGGAGACGGUCAGUCGGUAGAAGUAGAGGCAAUAGGGCACUUUAGAUAAUUAUUGAAAUCUGGUUAUUUUUUGGAUUUAAUAGAUACUUUUGUUGUACCGUCUUUCAGACGGAAUUUAAUUUCAGUUUCUGUUUUGGACAAAUCAGGUUAUUGUUGUUCAUUUGGAAACAAUAUAUUUACAUUAUCUAUUAAUUCAAAUGCUGUAGGAACCGGUUUACUUAAUGUUUAUGAUAAUCUAUAUUUGUUGGAAACUAUUCCGUCCUAUAAUGAAACCUUGCAUGUGGAAUCACGAGGUACAAAACGUAAAUUGAAUAAAGAUAAUUCGGCCUCAUUGUGGCACAAACGCCUAGGUCAUAUCUCUAAAUCUAGAGUUGAGCGACUUGUGUCGGAUGGGAUUUUGGAUUCACUUGACUUUUCAGAUUUUGAUAUUUGUGUUGAGUGUAUUAAAGGAAAACAGACCAAAACAAAGAAAUUAGGUGCCAAUAGAGCUACAGACGUCUUAGAAUUAAUUCAUACAGAUAUCUGUGGACCAUACCCUACGACAUCUUGGAAUGGUCAACAGUACUUUAUAACAUUCAUAGACGACUAUUCAAGAUAUGGCUACCUAUUUCUUAUACAUGAGAAAUCACAAUCAUUGGACGUGUUCAAAACAUUUAAAGCAGAAGUUGAGUUACAACUCAACAAAAGAAUAAAGAGCGUCAGAUCUGACCGUGGUGGUGAAUACUAUGGUAGAUAUGACGGAUCAGGUGAACAACGUCCAGGACCAUUUGCUAAAUACCUAGAGGAAUGUGGGAUCGUCCCUCAAUACAUCAUGCCAGGAUCACCUAGCAUGAAUGGUGUAGCAGAAAGACGAAACCGAACCCUUAAGGACAUGGUAAGGAGUAUGAUUAGUCAUUCUGCUUUACCCGAAAAACUCUGGGGUGAAGCACUCAAAACGGCAGCUUAUAUCCUAAAUCGGGUGCCAACUAAAGCGGUUGCUAAAACGCCUUAUGAGCUUUGGACGGGUCGAAAGCCCAGUUUAAAGCAUUUUCAUAUUUGGGGAUGUCCAGCUGAAGCGAGACCUUAUAAGCCUCAUGAAAAGAAAUUGGACUCUAAAACAGUUAGCAGCUACUUUAUUGGCUAUGCAGAGCGAUCAAGGGGUUUUAAAUUUUAUGAUCCUGCUAUUAGGUCAAUUUUUGAGACGGGAACUGCAACAUUUUUUGAGGAUGUUGAGUUUGGGGAGAGAAAUCAGGCUAGGAAUAUUGUCUUUGAGGAGGAAGAGGGAUCUACUAUUGCUUUUGAUAAUGUACAGGUUUCACUACCUAUCAUUGAUCAAGAAGUAAAUUUGGAUCCUCAACCAACAGACAAUAUUGUUCAACCCUUAAUUGCAAAUGAGGACAUUGCUCCUAAAGAACAAACUCAACAACCUCGAGAAAAUAUGCCAUUAAGGAGAUCCACUAGAGAAAGGAGAAAUGCAAUUUUGGACGAUUAUAUCGUAUAUCUCCAGGAACGUGAGGUAGAAAGUGGAAUGAUGGAAGAUGAUCUAAUCAACUUCCAGCAAGCCAUGAAAAGUUCCAACUCUCAGAAAUGGAUUGAAGCCAUGAAUGAAGAGUACAAAUCUAUGCAAGACAAUAAAGUUUGGGAACUUGUCCCAUUACAAGUUGGUACGAAGCCCAUUGGUUGUAAAUGGAUAUUUAAAACCAAGCGGAAUUCAAAUGGUAAUGUAGAAAGGUAUAAAGCACGUCUUGUAGCUAAAGGCUUUACUCAAAAAGAAGCAAUUGACUUCAAAGAGACCUUCUCUCCAGUUUCUACGAAGGACUCUUUCAGGAUAAUCAUGGCACUAGUUACACAUUAUAAUCUUGAGUUACAUCAAAUGGAUGUUAAAACAGCGUUUCUCAAUGGUGACAUUAAUGAAACAAUUUAUAUGGUACAACCAGAAAACUUUGUGUCCGAAGACUCAAAGAAUAUGGUUUGUAAAUUAACUAAAUCCAUUUAUGGGCUCAAGCAAGCUUCUCGUCAGUGGUACUUCAAGUUUCAUCAAAUUAUUGUCUCAUAUGGUUUUGAGGCAAAUCUUAUGGAUGAAUGUGUGUAUCACAAAUUCAGUGGGAGUAAGUAUAUUUUCCUGGUUUUAUAUGUCGAUGACAUAUUGCUAGCCACAAAUGAUAUUAGCAUAUUGCACGACACCAAGAGAUUUUUAUCAAAACAUUUUGAGAUGAAAGAUCUUGGUGAUGCCUCCUUUGUCUUAGGAAUCCAGAUACACCGAGAUCGUUCUAAGGGUAUUUUAGGAUUGUCACAAAUGACCUAUAUUGAUAAAGUCCUCCAAAGGUAUGGCAUGCAAAAUAGCAAACCAGGUGAUACCCCUGUCGCUAAAGGAGACAAACUCAGUCUUAAUCAAUGCCCUAAAAAUAGUUUAGAAAGUCAAGAAAUGCAAAAGAUUCCUUACGCUUCGGCUGUGGGGAGUCUAAUGUAUGCUCAAGUAUGUACACGUCCGGAUAUUGCGUACAUUGUUGGCAUGUUAGGCAGAUAUCUAAGUAACCCUGGAAUGGAUCAUUGGAGAGCAGCCAAGAGGGUUAUGAGAUAUUUACAGAGAACAAAAGAGUACAUGCUUACAUAUAGGAGAUUGGAUCAGUUAGAGAUCAUUGGGUAUUCUGACUCCGACUUUGCUGGAUGCCAAGACAGCAGAAGAUCCACAUCAGGCUAUAUUUAUCUGUUGGCUGGUGGAGCAAUUUCAUGGAGGUCUGCCAAACAGACACUCAUAACUUCAUCCACCAUGGAAGCAGAGUUUGUAGCAUGUUAUGAGGCAUCCAAUCAAGGAAUAUGGCUACAAAAUUUUGUCACUGGGCUGCGUGUUCUGGAUGGUAUUGAAAGACCACUGAAGAUAUUUUGUGACAAUAAAUCAGCAGUUUUAUAUUCCAAUAACAACAAGAGCUCUACAAAAUCAAAAUACAUUAAUAUCAAGUUCCUAGUUGUAAAAGAAAAAGUACAGAGUGGACAGAUAUCCAUAGAGCAUAUUGGAACAAACUCCAUGAUAGCGGAUCCGCUUACAAAGGGAUUACCACCCAAGGUCUUUCAUGAGCACAUUGCUCAUAUGGGUGUUGUCUCAUUUGAGGAUAUCCAAAUUUAGUGGGAGUUUGUAUUAUUCAUUGUAUAUUGCUCUAUGUUAUGUUUAGACUUUAUCUACNNNNNNNNNNNNNNNNNNNNNNNNNNNNNNNNNNNNNNNNNNNNNNNNNNNNNNNNNNNNNNNNNNNNNNNNNNNNNNNNNNNNNNNNNNNNNNNNNNNNNNNNNNNNNNNNNNNNNNNNNNNNNNNNNNNNNNNNNNNNNNNNNNNNNNNNNNNNNNNNNNNNNNNNNNNNNNNNNNNNNNNNNNNNNNNNNNNNNNNNNNNNNNNNNNNNNNNNNNNNNNNNNNNNNNNNNNNNNNNNNNNNNNNNNNNNNNNNNNNNNNNNNNNNNNNNNNNNNNNNNNNNNNNNNNNNNNNNNNNNNNNNNNNNNNNNNNNNNNNNNNNNNNNNNNNNNNNNNNNNNNNNNNNNNNNNNNNNNNNNNNNNNNNNNNNNNNNNNNNNNNNNNNNNNNNNNNNNNNNNNNNNNNNNNNNNNNNNNNNNNNNNNNNNNNNNNNNNNNNNNNNNNNNNNNNNNNNNNNNNNNNNNNNNNNNNNNNNNNNNNNNNNNNNNNNNNNNNNNNNNNNNNNNNNNNNNNNNNNNNNNNNNNNNNNNNNNNNNNNNNNNNNNNNNNNNNNNNNNNNNNNNNNNNNNNNNNNNNNNNNNNNNNNNNNNNNNNNNNNNNNNNNNNNNNNNNNNNNNNNNNNNNNNNNNNNNNNNNNNNNNNNNNNNNNNNNNNNNNNNNNNNNNNNNNNNNNNNNNNNNNNNNNNNNNNNNNNNNNNNNNNNNNNNNNNNNNNNNNNNNNNNNNNNNNNNNNNNNGAUUAAUUUUUGUAAUUAAUCUAUAAUUUGGNCCACACAUGUAAAUAAUUAAAAUGUGUGUGCUAUCAUUUAAUUAAGCCUAAAUAUAGUGAUCUAAUUAAUAAUUGAUUAAUUGGCUUAAGGGUAUAAUUGUCAUGAGAUUAUUGUGUAGAUACCAUUAGACAAUUAUUAUUUCUAUGAAGGGCAGAAAUAUAAUUGUGAUAAAAUUAAAACUGCCCUAGCGGUUUAUAAAUAGGGUUAUGGUCCCCAUUCUACAACUACGCAUUCCAAUUUCUGAAAAUCCUCUCAGAGAGAAAUUGACACAGAAUCUAGUGGCUAGAAUUAGAAGACCAUCUCAAAGGGUUUUCUUCCUAUAAGGUUUCUCCUUCAAUGGAUUCAGGUAUGCUUCCGCUAUUAUUUUUCUACUUAUUGUUUUUUAAUCAGGAGAUUCCAGUAUAUAUGAAAUUAGGGUAUUCACCUUGUUAAAUAUUCCAGUAUAUAUGAAAUUAGGGUAUUUACCUUGUUAACUAUUCUAGUAUAUAUGAAAUUAGGGUAUUCAUCUUGGUUGAUUUUAACAAGACUAUUCCAGUAUAUAUGAAAUUAGGGUAUUCAUCUUGGUUGAGUAUUUUAACAUUUGAAUCUCCUUUGAAGAGCUCCUCUCUAACUUUUAUUUUCUGAAUUCUCUUUGGUAAUGUUAUUCUCAAUCUUUUGAAUUUUAGAAUAAGCUCUCUUUAUGACAAUUUAAAUGAUCGUAUUUGGGAUCGAUUUCUAUUAUUUAGAAAUAUUACGUCUUAGUUAAAAUUAAUAUUUAGGAAGAUUUGAAAGACUAUAUUCAAUGGUCUUAAUCCUUGAAAUAUUAUUCUUCAAUAAAAUAAUAUUUAAGGAGAUUUCAUAUAUUAUAUUUAAUAGUUUUGAUUUUAUUUAUUACUAAGACUUGACACUUACUUUUUCAAUUAUGAAUUUUUUUAUUCUAAUAAUUAUAUGUCAAAUAUAUAUUUUCAUUUAUUUAAUGGAAGAUAACUUAUCUUCUCUACAAGGUUCAUACUAAACACAACAUUAACUUAUUGGUAAAAAAAAUUAUGUCAUAUGCCCACUUACAAGUGCACGGUGGUUGGUGGGAUUUUGGGUCCUCAAAUUCCACAUAAAAAUUUUAAGAGUUGCACAUUGUGUGGUCAUGCAACCUUCAAAUUUAUUUUGUGAAUGGUAGGAGAGGCUAAGAGAUGUCUUGUACCUAUGAAAAAAACCCAAAAAUUAUUUUUUUUAAAUCAAAUUUAAAAUAAGUCUAUUUUCAAUGGAUUUUUUAGGCUUUUCAAAAAAAAAUAAGGACAUUAAAGCUAUGUUUGGUUCAAAAAAUAUGUCAAGAAAAAUGUUUUUCUUAUUUUUUAUUUUACCACAAAAAAUAUAAAAUAAAAUUAAAUAUAAUUAAAUUUUGUCAAAAUGUAUAUAUUUUUAAAUUAUAUAAUCUUUAUAUAAUAUAGGAAAAUAAGUAAAAUGUGUUUCAAGAAGCAUAUAAAAAAUAAUUUAUUAAGUUCAAACCUAUUUUUUAUUUUCCUUCCCUUUUUAUUUUAUUUUUUAUAGUUUUCUUCUCUAUUUUCUUUCCUUCACAUUUUCCGGGAAGCAAACAUAACUUAAGGUUAUGUUUGAUUCCUGAAAAAUACCAAUGAAAGAAAAAAAAAUGCGAAGGAAAAUGGUUUUCUCAUUUUUGGUUUCACUAUAAUUUUUUUAAAAAAAAUAUUAAAUAUAAUUAAAAUUAGUUAGAAAUUUAUACAUUUUAAAAUUAUUUCAUCUUUAUAUAAUGGAGGAAAUUAAGUGAAAUGAGUUUGAAGAAAUAUAUAAAAAUAAUUUAUUAAUUUUAAAUCUAUUUUUUUAUUUUUCAUUCAAUUUUUCUUUCCUUCCACUUUUCCUCUUUAUUUUCUUUCCCUCACAUUUUCUCUCAAAUUUUCCAAGAAUCAAACAUAGCCUAAAGGAAAAAAAAAAUUAAGAAAAAUGAUUUUUUAUGUUUGAUUUAUCAUAAAAAAAAUAUUUAAUUAAAAUUAAUUAGAAAAAACUCCUAUAUUUUCAAAUUAUUGAAUCUUUACAUAGAAAAAUAAAAUGAGUUUAAAAAAGUUUAUUAAAAUAAUUUAUUACUUUUAAACUUUUUUUUUUAUUUUCCUUCAUUUUUUUCUUUCCUUUUAUUUUUGUCUCCACUUUCUUUCCCUUGUACUUUUCCAUAAAUUUUCUAAUAAUAUAUUUACCCUUGUGGAGAGUGUUUGAACUAAAAAUAUUUACCUCAUGUUUGGUUUUUGGAAAAUUUGAGAGAAAAUAUAAGGAAAAGAAAUUGGAGAAGAAAAAUAUAAGGAAAAAAAAAUAAAGGAAAAUAAAAAAUAGUUUUAAAGUUAAUAAAUUAUAUUUACAUGUUUCUUUAAAUUGUCCUCACUUACUUUUCUUUUUCUAUAUAAAAAAUAAAUAAUUUGAAAAUUUAUAAAUAUAUAUAUAUAUCUAUUUUUAAUUAUAUUUGAUCUUUUUUCAUUUUUUUUGUAGUAAACGAGAUAUAAGAAAAUUAUUUUACUUAUUUUUUUUUUAAAUAAAGGGAAAUUAUUAUUAUUAUUAUUAUUUAAUAUUUGGUUUUUUGAUAAGAAUAUGAAAGAAGAUCAAAUAAAAUUAUAAUCACUUAAAAAUUUUAAAUUAUUUAAUUUUUAUAUGAAAUAGUUAAAAUAAAUUAAAUGCACUUGAAGUAGCAUAUCAAAAUAACUUAUUAAUUUUAAAUCUUUUUUUUAAAUUUGAAUUUUUGGAUUUUUCUUGCAUUUAGAUAAACAUUAUUUUCUUUCACUUUUUAAAAAUUUUUAAAACAAAUAUCCAUUGUUUUUAAUUAAUUUUUUUUCCAAUUCAAAUUUAAAUAUUAUUACAAAAACUUUGUUGACGGAAAAAAGAGGGAGUACUUGAUUUGGGUAAUAAUUCUCUUUAAGAAAAAUUCAUCAUAAUUUUAAUUUUCAUUCUUAAUAUAUUCAAUAGCAUAAUUUAAUUAAAAUAAUUGUAACAUAGAAAGUUAAAUAUUAUUACGAAACUAUUUAGAUAAACAUUAUUUUAUUUCACUUCUUAAAAAUUAAGUAUUGAGAUUAUGUAAAGCAUUAUAAAUUUAAAAUAAGACCCAUAUUUUUUAAAUCUUUGUUAUCAAAGGAAAAUCAUUCAAAAUAUUCACGAUUAAUUUAUUAUCAUAAAAAUAUAGGAAUAUGACUUUAUUAUGAAUUUAUUUAUUAUCAAUAAUACAUGACUAUAAAUUAAUUAUUAAUUUAUUAAUAUAGAGAAUUACUCAUUUAACUAAAAACUCUUUUGUUUAAAAAAUUUUAUUAUAUUUUUUCAAAUUAAUCAGUCAUAACACAAUUCAACAAAGAAGAUGUGCUUAAAAAUAAAGUUUUAAUUUUUACAUUAUUUAUAAGAUAUUUUAUUUAUUUUUAUUUUUUUGGGUGAGACAAGGUGACAAAGCAUAUUAUUAUAGUUCUUUUAUCAUUAAAUUAUUAGUCUUGAUAAUAAAGCCUAAUUAAUAAUAUUAAUAAAAUAAGUUGGGUAAGUAAUUUAAUGAUGUAAUAGCUCUUAAGAGGUUCCAUUUUUUCAAACCUUCCAAAUCAUCCCGUUUAUUUUAAUUGUUUUCCAAACUUUUCCAUGAACAUAAAUGAUCCAAGUAUUCUUUCAAGUUUAACUUUAAACAUUAAAACCAAAAAUAUGAAUUUUGUAAAAGAAUCCCAAACCAUAGCAAUAAUUUAUAGGAUAUAUCAUAAAGUCAUGACAACUCAAUUAAAUCCUAGAGCUGUAUGUCAAUUUGUUAAAGAUGAAACAUUAUUAUUACAAUAUAAUCUUAACAAUACUCAAUGGGAAUUAAAAGAUUUAACCCAUCCAAAACCAAUUAAACCUUUAACAACUCCUUCAAAAAUUAUACAACAUACAAAUGACACUGUUCAAAUAGAAUUUAGUCCAACUUCUAGAUAUUCAUUUACUCAAUAUUUUAUGUCUGCUAGAUCUUCCACUUCAAAUGCAAAUUUAAAUGGUGUCGAUUUUACUCCAAAAAUUUCUAUUCCUGUAUAUCAGCAACAAGAAUCUCCUCCUGUGUCAGCUACUCAUUCCAAUAUGUAUCAUAAUCAAGUUNNNNNNNNNNNNNNNNNNNNNNNNNNNNNNNNNNNNNNNNNNNNNNNNNNNNNNNNNNNNNNNNNNNNNNNNNNNNNNNNNNNNNNNNNNNNNNNNNNNNNNNNNNNNNNNNNNNNNNNNNNNNNNNNNNNNNNNNNNNNNNNNNNNNNNNNNNNNNNNNNNNNNNNNNNNNNNNNNNNNNNNNNNNNNNNNNNNNNNNNNNNNNNNNNNNNNNNNNNNNNNNNNNNNNNNNNNNNNNNNNNNNNNNNNNNNNNNNNNNNNNNNNNNNNNNNNNNNNNNNNNNNNNNNNNNAGAAAUGCAUUAAGAAAGCAAUAGGAAAAAUAUAUGAAUCAAAAGAAAAUGAAAAGUCCUUUUUUCUAUUGGUUUUUCGUAUUUAGAAAACAAAUAAAACAAAUUAUAACUUUAAGAAAUGAAGAAAGACAUCAAUUAACCAUAAAACACUCAGAAAAUGUUCAAAAAAGAAUUUUAACAAUAACCUUAGAAUUAGGUUCCCAACCACCCUUAAAUAAUCAUCAAUUUAAUUUUGAUAAUAAUUCAAUUUCUGUUUCACCCUUCAAAAUUCCAAGAAGCAAAGAUGAAUAAAGUUCCAUAAUUUACAAACAUAUUAGACAAGUUCAACAACAAUUAAAUUAUACAAAUCAUUCUCUUCAACAUUUAAAUCAACAAACAACAAAAAUUUCUCAAUUUUUGUUUUCUUCUGCCCCGAGAAGGAAGAUAGGAGAAACAUCAAAAUCAAAUUUUUCUUCAAACCUUUCUCCAACUUUAUCAUCAUCAUCAUCAUCUGUCAAGACUUUAGAACAAUCUUUUAUUAUUCCUAUAAAUGCUACAAAAUCAAAUAUACAACUAGCUACACCAACAUAAACAAUGUUAAAAGAAAUACAACUUAAAUUAGAUAAACUCAGUAUUAAUGUUAUUAAUCAAAAUAAGAAUCAAAUUCAAACUAUAACAAAAGGAAAAUCAGAAAUCAAUAAAAUAGAAGAACAAUUCAAAAUGUCUCCUGAUUCAAUAGUUAAACCCUCUACAACAGUCAAUGCAAUUUCUAAUAAUUUUGUAAGCAGAAAAAAUUAUUAUUCAAAACCCUAUUUUCCUGAUGUUCAAUUAGAAGAAAGAAAUUAUCAAUUAGUUGCUAGUUAUGAUGGUAGUAGUUUUUAUGAAUGGAAUAUAGAUGGAAUGAGUGAACAUCAAAUAAUUAAUUUACUUCAUGAAAUGAUGAUGACUGCUAAUGCUUAUAGAAUCAAGACUAGUAAUUCUGAUUUUCAUGCUGCUAGUGCCUUAGUCAUAGGAUUCACCGGUUUACUUAAAGGUUGGUGGGAUCAUUAUUUAAGUCCAAAUGAUAGAGAAUACAUAUUAAAUGCAAAAAAGACAAUAAUCAAAGAAGAAUGAACAUUAGUCCAAUCUUAUGAAGAAGAUGCUGUCAAUACGUUAAUAUUUGCAAUAACAAAACAUUUUAUAGGAGAUCAUGUCUACUUUCAAGAAAGAACUUCUGAAAUCCUUAAUAAUCUUAGAUGUCCAAAACUUCAAGAUUUCAAGUGGUAUAAGAUAUGUUUUUAGUCAAAGUUAUGUCAAAACAUGAUUGUGAAAGUCAUUAUUGGAAAGAAAAAUUUAUAUCUGGUUUACCAACUUUAUUUGUAAAAAAUGUUAGACAAAGAAUGAUAAAUAUUCAUAAUGGAUGAAUUCCUUAUGAGUCAUUAACAUAUGGAGAAUUAAUUACUUUCAUCAAUAAUGAAGGUUUAGCUCUUUGUACAGAUCUCAAAUUAAAGAGUCAAAUGAAAAAGAAAAACAAGAUAGUAAAAAAGAAUUAGGAAAAUUUUGUUUGUAUUAUGGUUAUGAUACAAUAAUAGCUCAUUCAAAAAGAAAAAAUAAACAAAGUAAUAUAAAGGGUAAAAAAACCCUCAACAUAGUCAAAAUUCCAAAAGAAAUUUAUAAAAUUUAAUCCUAAUAAAUCAAAAUCUUCAAAUAAAUCAACUUUAGAAAAGAAAACACCCACAUGUUAUAAAUGUGGAAAAGUGGGUCAUUACUCAAAAGAUUGUCAAUUAGAAAAUAAGAUUAAUUCAUUAGAAAUAAGUGAUAAACUAAAAAAUUUAAUAAUAUGAUUAAUGAUUGAUAAAGAAAAUGAAGAUUCUAGUGAAAAUUAUGAAUCAGAAGAAGAUAAUCAAAUAUUAAUAACACAAAAAAUAUCAAGUGAAGAGUCUAGUCAAGAUGAAGAAAAAUCAUAUGAUAAAAAAUAUUGUGAUGGUAUUUGUGAAUGUUCAUAUAAAUCAAUAAAUUUGAUUUCAAAGAAGUCAAAAACUCCUUUAAAUAUUCUUAUUCAUAAUUAUGUGCCUCUUAUCAAUUCAAUAUAUUUUCAAUUUUGGUAUAUUAAAGAUAAACUCAUUAGAUAUCUUAUUCAUGCUUCAAAAGAGGUACUAAACUUUGAAUUUUAUAUACAGAUGGAGCAAGAACGGAUUAAGUUUGGGAAAUUCACUCUUCUAGUGUUUCCUAAAAGUAAUAUAUCAUUUCGGAUUCAUAUAGAUAUAGAAGGUUUAGAUAGAUCACAAAAAUGCAUUUUAAACAACUUCUGGAAUGCAAAAAGUGAUACUCAAAAGUUGGAAGCUUUAAAUGCUUUAUCUUCUUAUUUUAAAUAGAUAAAUGAUGAUUUAGACAGUUUUCCUAACCCUUCAAGUUCUAAUAUACAUUGCAUCCCAAUGGAUACAGAUCUUGAAAGUUUCAAUUGCAAGAAAAGUCCAGAAUAAUCUAAAGCUAUAGUUUUAAAAUAUUUUCAAAAUGAAUUUCAAAACGAAUUUCCAACACUUUCUAAUGAAAACUUAGGAUUUCAAAAAUCAAAAUUAUCAUUUUUCAGGUAAAAGAAUUUGAAUCUUCCUCAAGACCUUAGACAGAUAAUCAGUCAAAAGGCUCAAGUUACAAGGAAAGCUAAGCAAAAGCAUAUCAUGCAAUUUCUUGCUGACUGUAACACUUUUGGAGUUACUAUUUAAGGGAUAAGUUUCACUUGGAUUACUCACUAUGGAAACACCAAUAAUAAUUGUCCAAAGAUUGAUCCCUUGUGUAGGGUAAUUCCACUGGAACAGCGUGACUGUAAGUGUGCUCUUACUUACAAUAUUUGCAAAGCCAACAUUAACUUAGACAGUACAGAUCAGUAGUCAUCAAAUUUAAUAAUGAGUCAAUAGAACUAACUUUUUCUCUCCUCAUGGAUUAUGUAGUGCUUUAUCAACUAAUUUUCUUCUAUCCUGAUCAAACUGAUGGAUUUGGAAGAAAGUUAGCAGUUUGUGUUUCAAAUGCCUUCAUCAGAAAUUUCAAAUCAGUUGAACUCAUUAUCGAAAGAAAGUCUCCUGAAUGGUCGAAUAAUGGAGGAGUUUACCCUGCUCAACAUCUUAUCCUUCUCAAAGCCAAGCAAAGAAAACAUCAAUUGUUUGGUACAGAGAUCCUUUGGCCCUAUACUAAAUUUAGCUUCAAAAAACAAAUCAGACAUUGGAGGUUAAGAAUGAUUGUCAGAAACCUUAAUUCCGAGAUUUAUAGUUCUUCUAACUAUAAUCUCAUUAUUGAAGACAAUAUUCAAAAGAUCAUUUCUGCAAAUGAUUUUCCAUAAGUCAUUUUUUUUUGUUCCAAACUCAAUUUUCUUAUCUUGUUGAUAAAUACAAAAAUGAUUACGUCCAUGAAAAGGAAGCUUAACAAGUUUUUGAGAAAUAUCUCUUAGAAAUGCUCGGUUAAGAGAUAUCAAGAAUCUUUUCUAAAUAUGUAUCUUUGUACAUUUGUCUCCUUGUAUUUAUCUAGUAAAAAGAAAUCAUAAAGUAAUGAAUAGUGUUUUUGUAUACUAUUAUGACUUUCAAAAAGCUACAGAAGAAAUGGAAGAUGAAGAGAAUUUAUUCUUUUUUGACAAUAGAAAAGAAUCUCACCUCCUUUCUACAGACUUCAAAAACCAAAGCUCCAGUUGUCCUAACACGUGGUGACGGAUUUCAAAAAAUUUUCAAGCAUGAAGACUCAAGAUCGACUCAAGUCUGAUUUCAUCGUCUAUAAAUAGAGAAGCCAACUUCCUCACAAGGCAAAGUUGAAAAUCCAGAGAGCUCAAGCGUGCAAGCAUAGAGUGUUCUUAGAAAUUCUCUCUUUUGCUUUUUGUAAUAUGCUCUUUCAAAAAUUCAAGUCCUUUGUAUUCAUCUCUUUAGUCAUCCCUCUACUGUCAACAAGCAUGUAUUCAACAACUCUCUGUAAUCAAGGUAUAUUUUCAAUAAAAGUUAUUUUCAAAUUCAAAUAUCUGUGUUUUUAUGUUUAAAUUUCUGCAAUAAAUUAGACAGAAUUAGAUAGUAACAUUUCUGUUUUUAUGCUUAGAGUUCAUUAGACAGAAUUAAUUUGUUGUGUGCAUAAACUGUUAUAUGUCCUGGGUGAAAACAGGGACCAUCACAAACGGAUCAACACGGGACUUACACUCCUUCUGCCCUCAAACACCGCUAUCUAGGUUGACUAAGCCGUUCACAAGAAAUUCAAUUCAAACUAAGUUAGGACUAAAUUAGUGAUUAAUUACGACAUAUAACAGUUCAUGCACAAACUGCAAAUUAAUUCUAUCUAAUNNNNNNNNNNNNNNNNNNNNNNNNNNNNNNNNNNNNNNNNNNNNNNNNNNNNNNNNNNNNNNNNNNNNNNNNNNNNNNNNNNNNNNNNNNNNNNNNNNNNGACAUAUAACAGUUCAUGCACAAACUGCAAAUUAAUUCUAUCUAAUGAACUCCAAGCAUAAAAACAGAAAUAAUUACUAUUUAAUUUUGUCUAAUUUAUUGCAGAAAUUUAAACAUAAAAACACUUAUAUUUGAAUCUGAAAAUAACUUUUAUUGAAAAUAUACUUUGAUUACAUAGAGUUGUUGAAUACAUGCUUAUUGACAAUAGAGGGAUGACUAAAGAGAUGAAUACAAAGGACUAGAAUUUUUUAAAGAGGAUAUUACAAAAGCAAAAGAGAAAAUUUCUAAGAACACUCUAUACUUGUACUCUUGAGCUCUCAGGAUUUCCAAUUCUGCCUUGUGAGGAAGUUGGCUUCUCUAUUUAUAGACGAUGAAAUCGGACUUGAGUCGAUCUUGAGUCUUCAUGCUUGAAAUUUUUUUGAAAUCCGUCACCACGUGUUAGGACAGCUAGAGCUUUGGUUUUUGAAGUCUGUAGAAAUGAAGUGAGAUUUUUUUCUAUUGUUAGAAGAGAAUAAAUUUUCUUUUUCUUUCUUUUCUUCCAUAGCUUUUUGAAAGUCAUAAUAGUAAACAAAAAACACUAUUCAUUACUUUAUGAUUUUUAUUUAUUUUUUACAUUUUUCAUAAUUUUUUUACAUAUUUUUUUUCUAAUUUAUUGUAGAAAUUUAAAUAUAAAAACACGGAUAUUUGAAUCUGAAAAUAACUUUUAUUGAAAAUAUACUUUGAUUACAAAGAGUUGUUGAAUACAUGCUUAUUGACAACAGAGGGAUGACUAAAGAGAUGAAUACAAAGGACUAGAAUUUUUGAAAGAGGAUAUUACAAAAGCAAGAAAGAGAAUUUCUAAGAACACUCUAUGCUUGCACUCUUGAGCUCUCAGGAUUUCUAACUCUGCCUUGUGAGGAAGUUGGCUUCUCUAUUUAUAGAUGAUGAAGUCGGACUUGAGUUGAUCUUGAGUUUUCAUGCUUGAAAAAAUUUUGAAAUCCAUCACCACAUGUUGGGACAGCUGAAGCUUUGGUUUUUGAGGUCUGUAGAAAGGAGAUGAGAUUCUUUUCUAUUGUCAUUAUUAGUCUUGAUAAUAAAACCUAAUUAAUAAUAUUAAUAAUAUAAGUUGGGUAAGUAAUUUAAUGAUGUAAUAAAUCUUAAGAGGUUCCAUUAUUUUUUUAACACUAUCAUGCAAUGUAUGCACAAUUAAAAUUAAAAAUUAUACCAAUUUUUUAUACGGUGAUGUUUUUCUUUUCUUUUUUUUACUUAAUUCUAAGUAGAACUUAAGACUAAAUAAUGAUCAAUAAUAUUAAGUUGUUAUAUUCUUGUCUAAUUUAUUGCAGAAAAUUAAACAUAAAAACUCAAAGAUUUGAAUCUGAAAAUAACUUUUGUAUUGAAAAUAUACCUUAAUUACAAAGAGUUGUCGAUUACAAACAAGCUUAUUAAUAGUAGAGGGAUGACUACAAGGAGAUAAAUACGAAGGGCUAGAUUUUUUGAAAGGAGAGACAGGUUCACACAACAAAUUAAUUUUACAACAAAUUAAUUCUGUAUAUGAACUCUAAGCAUAAAAACAGAAAUAAUUAUUGUCUAAUUCUGUCUAAUUUAUUGUAGAAAAUUAAACAUAAAAAAGCAAAGAUUUGAAUAUGAAAAUAACUUUUGUAUUGAAAAUAUACCUUAAUUACAAAGAGUUGUUGAUUACAAACAAGCUUGUUGAUAGUAGAGGGAUGACUACAAGGAGAUGAAUACUAAGGACUAGAUUUUUUUUAAAAGAAAGAGAGGUUACAAAAGCUAAGAGAAAAUUUUACAGAACACUCUUUGCUCGCACUACUUACUCUUCCACUCUUGAGCUUUGCCUUGUGAUGAGGGUUGCGUCUCUAUUAAUAGAGAAAAUGUCGGACUUAAGUCUUGAUGAAAUCCACGUGCUUCAAAGUUUUGAAAUCCGCAAUCAAAUCUUGGACAACUGGUUGUAUUCUUGAAGUCUGCUGAAAAAUGUGAGUUUUCUUUACUUGUGUCAAAGAGGUGUUAAAAGAAAUCAAAAGAAAAUAAAUUUUCUUUCUCUUCUCUUCUCUUCCACAUGUCUAUUAAUUUUAAAAAAUAACUUGGAGUACAAAAAUUAAGUUAAUUAAUAUCAUAUUUCUCAUGCCAAAAUUGAUUUAAAGGAAAAACUAGCAUAGUUAUUCAUAUGUAGUUUUAUUCCGAGAAACUUUGAUAUUAAUGGCUAAAUUUUUUCCUUCCAAAUUAUUAUUAUUAUUAUUAUUUUCAAAUUAAUAGACUUGUUAAAAAAUCCAACUCUUUAAGCUUCAUUCUAGUGAAUCUUUAAAAUAACAUGUUUCAUUGUUUAAAUUAUUUUAUGUUAUUAUUUACUUUUGAUGGAAGAAUAUAGUUAUAAAUGUUAAUAAAAAAUUGAAAUUUUUAUAAGCUUUUUGUAAACGAUAAAAAUUUAAAUUUUUUAAAGCAAAAAGAUUAAAGAAUUUAAAAAUGGUUGAGUGGGUUUGUAAAGUUUAAAAGAUUAAAAAAAAUAGUGUUUAGGAAGAUGAUUGGGUUAUCAAGUAGAAAAGAUAAAAAAUAAAAAAUAAAAAAGAAGACAAAAGACAAAAAUAAGGAUACAUUUAGAAAGAUGAAUGAGUUUAUAAAGUAAAAAGGAUAAAAAUAUUAAAAAUAAUAUGAGAAGGAUAUAUUUGGCAAUAUAUAUGCAUUUUUAAAGUAUAUUAAAAUUUAAUAAUUAGUUUUAGGCAUUCAAGUGAAUUAUUUUGAAUUUUUUAAAUACUUAAAUGCUAUGUUCGACUGGAAAUUUGAAAAAAUGCGAAGGAAAGAAAAUAGAGAGUAAAAAUAGAAGAAAAUAAAAAAUUUAGGAAAAUAAAAAAUAUAUUUGAAAUCAAUAAAUUAAUUUUAUAUACUAUUUCAUUUUUUUCACUUAUUUAAUUCUUUUAUAUAAAUAUUAGAUAAUUUUAAAAUAUACAAAUUUCUUAAUAAUUUUAAUUAUAUUUGACUUUUUUUUUCGUAUUUUUCAUAAUAAAAUCAAAUAGAAAAAAAUUAUUUUUCUUAAUAUUUUUUUUCUUUCUUAAUACUUUUCGAGAACUAAACAUAACCAAACGUUUAGUAUGAAUGAAAAUUUAGACCAAAAAUAUGCAAAAUAACAAAAAAAAAUCAAAUUAAAAUUUGUAAAAUUUUGAAGCAAAAAUAUUUUAUUUACUUCCAUAUAAUAUAACUUUAUGAUAUAAUGAAUGCCAAAGAUUAAUUUCAAAAUAAAUUAACAUUUUUACUAGACUAGUAAAAUUUAUACAUAUUUGUAAAGCCUAUGUGUGUGUUCCCUUUUUGUCUAUUAUGAAAAAACAAAAAAAAUCGAACCUAAAAAGAAAAAAGAAAAAAGAAAAAGAAAAAUCCAAAGGACCCAUGGGGCGAACCCAAAGGCCCACGCGACCUCCGCUCGUGCGGUGUCGGGCGUCCUCGGACCACACGCGGCUCAUUAUUUUCCCUCUUUCAAUAAUUAAUUAAAUAAUAAUAGUAAUAAUAUUAAAAAAUAUUAGAAAUUAAUUACAAAGGUAGAAAGGAAAAAACAGCAUAACAUAAUAACACACCUCAAUAUCGAUAUAUCAUUUUCUCUCUCCCUUUCUCUCUCUCCAUUUCUUCAUCUCUCGAUCCAUUUCGCCAAUCUUCUCGUCUUCUUCGUGCUUUCCAACGGGUACUUUCUCUCUCUUUUUCUGCCCUACUCUUGCUCCAUGUGAUUUGUUCAUCUCGGAUAUCUCAGAUUUUGGUUUCGUUUUUCUGCAUGAUUUUAUGUUAGGGUUUUGCGGUUUUUGAAUUCGGAUUGUCUUCUCUAUGUGCCGUUAUGUAGGAUUCAAAGCGUUUCAUGGAUCUUUGAUUCAAUCGUUUCUUGAUCUGUGGUUUUUUUUUGGGUUUUUUUUUUCUUGUUUCCUUUUUUCCUUGGCUGAUGAAUUGAACUUCGUUGGUGGUGUUUUUGAGUCGGUGGAGGAAAUGGAUUAUUAAUGUGGAUUCUACGUUGUUGUGUAUGUGUGAGAAGGAACUUUGUUUGUUUGGCCAUUUUGCAGCGGCUUUGACUUUUAUAGCUGUUGUUUUCGUUUUGAUUUUUGGUUAAGUAUUGUGGUGGUGUUGUAUGUUUCUGGUUUUUGCCGAUUUAUCAAUUUGAAACAUUAUUUUUUUCACCCCAGAAAUAGAGAAUUUUGACAAGGAGGAAAAAGAUUGUUUGAUAUGCUAUAGAACAUUGGAGAUAAUGUGUAAUGUGUUGUAAUUGAUCAAAUUGAUGAUGCCAACAUUCUGUUUCUGUACUGUGAAUGCUGUAAUAAGGGAAAUGAACUUACAGUUGAAAUAAUAAUUUGAGUUUUUCGUUUGAUGGGUCCAGAUUUAACUGGCGGCUCAAUCCCAAUGAAUCCGUUUACAAUGGUGGAAGAUGAGAUGAUCUUUUGUUUUAUUUGGUUUUUUCGUGUGGUUGAUGUGAUGUUUCAGUGUAAGUGCGUCCCACUGAAAGUGGGAGUGAUUUUCAGAAACGGAUUUUUCUUAUUAGAUUUGAAUGGGUAAGCUUUGCCGCAUGUCUCAUUCUUUCAUGUAAACAUGUAUUGUGAUUGUAUAUCCCCUUAUACUACAACUUCAAUACUUAGAAGCAUGAGUUGAUCAUUGUUGGUGGACAUCUAAUUUGACUUUAGGUUGACAGGCAGUUUCACUGUCAAGAGGGUAGCAUUACCUUGAGAAUAGCAUUCACCUCAAAUAUGGUGAAAUGACAUUACUGAUUAAGUGGGAGAGAAAGAAAGUAGGCUCAUUAAUAACUUUCUUUUUUGUCGUGUACUCUUAUGUCGUUGUAAUCAUUUAUUUAUUUUCUAAGUAAAUGUUAAAUGAAUCUACUUGAUGUGUUAUGUCAUAGUUCUUGUUACCUAAAAAAGCAAAGCAAUCACUCAAUAAAGUAUGACCUUAAGUACAUGCUAGAAAUGUGUGAAACACCUCAAAGAACUUCUUAUAUGAAGUAAACCCUGCUUUGGUGUCCAUUUCGUGGUUCUUAUAAGUAAACAUUGUGAAGUGCCAAAAACCACGAUGUAAUUCAAUACUAGAAGGAUAAAUAAUAAAUUUAUAGAAGCAAGCAUUACUACGACCUGUGUAUAAUUACUGUUUAGUUUAUUGAAGUUCUGUAAACUAUGCUCUACGGUUCUGGUUGUUGCAAGGCUGUCAGUAACCCGAGGUUUGGGUCCCCAUGGAAAGCCCUAAGGGCUUGGCCAUGGAAGGUUCUUCGGUUAUCAAAAAAAAAAAAGGUGGCAACAAGAAGAUUUCUCUUUUGAAAUCUCUUCCUAUAAUCUCUUUUCGUUCCUAAUAGCUAAGGUUUCCCAACUUGUCAACUAUCCUGCGCUCCAAAUGACACAUUUUACUUUUUGCAGCAUGCAUAUAUAUAUGACUUCCUUUGUAGGCCGCAGCUGAUGGUUUUUGUAUUCCCGUGCUUCUUUUGGGUUUUUUGAUUGCUUUGUAUACAUCGUGUAUACUUCUUUUUAUUCUAAUACACUUAAACUCAUAAAAAAAAUAUAUGCAUGACUUCCUCUAGUAAUAAAUAAAAGAAGUUAAGUGGGUCUUAUACGUAAGAUUCAAUUUAUUAUGAACAUCAAUCUUAUAAGUAAACUCAUUUCUCAUCUUUAUUAAGCCACUGACAUUUUAUCUCAUAAAUUAAAUAUUAAAAAAAACUGGCAGUAAAAACAAUGAAUCUUACGAACAACAAUCUCAUAAAUAAACUCAUUUCUCAUCUUUAUUAAGCCACUGACAUUUUAGCUCAUAAAUUAAAUAUUAAAAAAAAAAAAAACUGGUAGCAAAAACAGUUUUUGAACAACUCUCAUCUCAAACCCUAAGGCACAUUCCUCAUUAUUGAAGCAUCAGCUGGAUAUCCUUGUUUGAAAAAACAUGCAAAAAUUUUUUGCAAACAACUCCUAUCUCAAAUCCUAAGAUGCAUUCUCCACUAUUCAAGCACCGGUGCUUGUCCUUGUCCAACGUUGAUUCUAUGUUGAGAUUGAUAAAUCCUUUCUUUCUUUAUCAAUCUAUAUGAUUAUGGAUUCAUGCAUGCUUGAUGUUAUGAUAGGGUUUUAUAGGUUCUUCUUCUUCUUCAACAGCAUGCUCUCUUUCUCUCUGUCUCUCUCAUACUUCUCUUUGUGUUUGAUUAUCUUAGUGUCUGGAUUCAUGUGUGCAUGACAUUAUGUUAGGUUUUACAACUUAGGUGGCUCAUUUGUAGUUUGAAAUAGAUAGGCUGUUCAAUGUUUCAUCAUAUAAUAAAAGUUUGAUUGGAUCUUUGAUUUAAUCAAGCUCAAUCUAUAAUAUAUCAUACUUUUUUUUUUUUUUGGUGAGAUCUAUUGAACUACUACACUAUUGUAUGAUAUUUUCAAGCCAAUAACAUAUAGUUGUUAUUCGAAAUCUCAUUUUUCCUUCUAUAAAAAAAGAAAGAAAGAAAGAAAGAAAAAGAAAAAAGUUCUGAUUGACAAUUGCAGAAACCUUGACUCUUAUUAGAGUUGAUUUUUAAGUGUUACAGCACCAUUGGAUUUUUGUUGAUCUUUAGGAGUUCAUUUUGAGAAUAUUUCAAAUUCUGGCUUCCCUAUGUACUUUAUUGUAAUUACCAAAUAGAAGGUGUUCAAAACUUUUUUUUUUUCCUUUGUUAAUUAUUUUUUGUAAUAAAAGAAACAAGCUUAAAGUUUGCUCGUGGAAGGUUCCUUUUUGCGGGAGGUUGGCCAUGUGGAAGAUGAGAUGUCUACACAUAGGGGAGCAGAGCAGGUUGAAAGGUCAGAGGGAGUUGGAGAGUAUGUUAGUGGGUCCUUGAAGGGUCUAUCAAGUAGAGCUGCCUUGGAAAUUCUUGAAGAAUUUUGAAAUUUGCUUGAGACCUGGGAAUUUUGAAAAAGUAGAACUACAUCUCUCAACUUCUCAAGUACCUUGGGUAGACCGUUCCUCUAAGUAUUACAUUCUAUAGUGUUGCACAUGCACAAAAUGAGUGGUUAUGCCAUAUAUGAAAUGAAAUUUUUAUGAACAAAGUUAAUACGAAAAAAAAAAUUCUUCCACUUCCUCAUUAUGAGCAUCAUCUCAAUGAUUUCAGUAAUUAAAGAAUUCCUUACAAAACGUUAACCAUCUCCUUAUUCAUUGUACAGUGGCUAGUGUGUUGUGGGGGAUUGUUCUUAGUCUGUUUGGAGCCUAGUGGGUCUUUCCAGAAACUGUAAAGGAGGCGGUUAUCAGCUGGAAGGGUUUUUUUGUGGGUAAAAAGAGGGAGAAAAUUUGGAGAUCCAUACUGUUAUUUAUUUUUUGGACGGUUUGGAAGGAGAUGAAUAGAUUAGCAUUCAGGGGGGGGGGGGGGGAGUUAGCUAUACAGAAAGUUAAAAAUUCUUUUGUUUGUAAUUUGUGGGGGUGGGCAAAAUUGUAUAAUGGUGCGGAGCCUCGUUCCCUUAUAGGUUUCCUGGAGUGGAUAGCCUCCAGUUAAGGGUUGGUGGGUUUUUUUUGCUUCUUUUGGUUGUUGUUGUGAGGUCUUCGUCGCCUCGUAUACUACCUGUAUGCUAUGCGGCACUUUGCCUUUUGCUAAUAUAUGUGUUUACUUAUCGAAAAAAAAAAAAUUAAAGAAUUCCUUACACCUCCUUCAUUACUGUGCUAGCUGGAUCUCCUUGUUCCACAUGUCACGGAGACCCAAACUGAUAAAAUCAAUUUAUUUUCCUUUUGUGAAGGUAAAAAGAUACAUAAAUCCUAGAACAAUUAAUGUCAACCAUAGUAAUCUGUUUUAGUCUUGCCAUACCCAUCUCAAUCUCUCUCUCUCUCUCUCUCUCUCUCUCUCUCUCUCCCUAUCUUGCUCACACACAGGCACAUAAUUUUCUCUAUAUUAGGUAGUUUUAGAUUUUAGAUUCAUCCAUGCUUGAUUUUGUGUUAGGGUUUUUUAUUUUGAUAAUGAAAAUUGGGUUUUGUUCUUUUCAAUUUAUUUUCCUUUUUGUGAAGGUAAAAAGAUAUAUAAAUCCUAGAACAAUUAACGUCAACCACAGUAAUUUGAUUUUAGCCUUGCAAUACCCAUCUGUCUCUCUCUCUCUCUCUCUCUCUCUCUCACAUGCACACAUGCUUUUUUCUCUCUGUUCAAUUGGUUUUAGAUUUCAGAUUCAUGCAUGCUUGCUUUUAUGUUAGGAUUUUUUAUUUUGAGAAUUCAAAUUGGAUUUCAUUCUUUGUUUCAUAUAGGAAAUUUUUUUAUUGAAUUGUGUCUUGAUCAGAAAUUAUAUAACUUCAUACUUAUUUUGUGUUGUGGCUGAUGAAGUGAGCUCCUUGUCCAUGUGCUUGAUUUUAUAUUAGGAUUUUUUUAGUUUGAGAAUUAAAAUUGGCUUGUCUGUUCUUUUGUCAUUUAGGUAAACUUUGAUUGAAUAAUGUUUUUAUCUGAUGUGCUUUAAUUUCAUGCUUAUUUGUAUUAUGGCAGAAUAAAUUGAGUCCAUUUGAUACACUAUUUAUUCAGAAAAUGAUAUCAGAUUGUAAAUUUUCCUUAUAUGUACUUUCUGAAAGUCUUUUUUUUUUUUUUGGAGGAUUUUGUAUUUCCUGGAAGGAUUUCUCAUCCUUCAUUAUACUUACUAUUUUAAUUCAAUGAAAUCUUUGUUUUGGAUCAAACAAUUGUCCUUAUGUUUAAACAUAUCAUGAAAGAAAGCUUUUAUGUGACAGUUCGGUGGACAAUUAUGUUUCUUACCUAAGUUGUUUUUAAUUCAAUUUCUGUUGAUAAUAAUUUAUUCAAUAUUUAGUUGGUAGCAUUAAUUUGACCAUGAAACCUAAUAAAUGUCACAAAACCACCUCAAGUCAAGAGCAUAAACCCAAUUUCCUUGUAGUCCUCUUUUCUUGGCUUAAAUAUCUACAAGCACAUGUUUAAUAAUUGAUGGAGGACGUUUAGCUUAUAAAUCCGUCAACAAUAAAUAAUAUAAUGUUUAAAAUACUGAAUCUCUCUCUCUCUCUAAGUCAUGAAUGAAUUAGAUCAUUUUUUUCCCCUUAAAAUGUUUCCAAAUCGGGUGAUACAUCACAAUCUUGUCAGGUGAUGCUCGACAACUAAUCAAUAGAAAAUGGCCUUAAGCACAUGAUGAUAACCCUCUCUUGGAUAAUGUUGGGCCCUUCUUGCUGUUCCCUUGGUUUUCCUCUUAUGUGAAACACCACAAAUAACCCUUUCUUAUAUAAAGCUAGAUUGAAAGAACAAAAAACUAUACAUUCUUUGAUGUUAUGCAUUGCAUAUGACACUUACUCUCAUACUAGUAGUAGUGCUAUAUAUAAAAAAACCAAUACUAAAUUUAUUUCUUAGUCCUUCUGUAAAUGGUCAACAUUUCAACAAUUCAAUUGAAAUUUAAAAAAAAAAUGUGAAGAAAAACAUUUUUUGCAAGGUCCUUAGUUCUCAAACCCUGAAAUUGACCCCCUCAACUUGUGGGAUUGGCUGGAUCACUUUGUUUUACAUUAGAAGAUUGAUAAUUUCCUUUGUCUUUUUAAUUAAUCUAAAAAGAUUGUUGCCUAGAAUAAUUGAUAUUAAUUGCAUCCAUCUCUCAAUAUUCAUCUCUCUCUCUCUCUAUCUAUCUGUCUCAAUCAUCUCCUUGAUGUUUCUCAGAUUCUUUCCAAGUGAUACAUUAUAUUAUCUUUGUGUGUGCGAAUGCUUCAUAUGUGCUGUCAUCUCUUGUGGUAAUAAAAAGAAAAAUAAGUAUUGCUUCACCUACAGAGGGUUUUUUUUAAUUAAAAAAAAGAUUUACUAAUUGAUUAGUUUCCUUUUUUCAUGUUAAACUACCAUGUCAAUGAUUUUGUAGAUAAAAAACUGCCCCGAAAAAACUGUUGGCAUACAAAUAUUCAGGACCAUCCCUAGCCUGGCCUUGAACCCCACCUUUUCAUGUGUGCCCCGGCAGGAUCUCCUUUGAAACACACCUGUGUACACUUAGGUAGAAAUCCAUAUUAAGGUAAAACCUCAUCAAUGCUAAAAUGUUGAAAUUCAUCCAUUGAUUCCUUUUGAGCUUCCCAAUGUCCAUCUCUCUUUCUUUCUCUCCCCCCCCCCCCCCCCCCUCUUUCUCUCUCUCUCACACACACAUAUUCAUAUUUUCCUCUCUAUCUGAUGAUAUUUGAUUGUUUCCUUUGGACUCAUGCAUGCAUUUUGUUAUGUUAGCUUUGUAACACUGGUACAAUAUAAUAUCAAAACACUGUUUCUGCUGUGACUUACACAUGGUUUAGUUUGUGAAUCACUGGAAUACUUACACUGCUAUAUAAACUAUUAGUCAUUAGUUUAUUUAUAUGUUCUUUGAAGUUGAUCUGAAGUUUUCCUAAUUUGACCAGUUGUUCCUGUUCAAUAUGAACUUGGAAAGUGAUAAGUUUCAAAUACGGGGAAACCCUGGAAUUAUAAAUGGGCAAUCCUGGCAUCUGAGAAGAUCUCUUAUAGACUGGUAUGGUGUAAAAAUGUUUUGACUUGCAUAAUCUUUAAGCAGAUUUAUAAUGGCUAAGACUCAGACAAGGAUGCUUGAAUAAAUUGUGCACUUCUAGAGCAGAAUAUGAGACUAACAGGAGAUGCUUUAGGAUAUGCACUCUGAGAGUACCUAAAAUCACACAUCCAUACAUUCUAGUUCAUGCAUCUCAUUUUGGAAUUGUGCUUCCUAUUAUCACAAGCACGAAUCUAAAAUUAUCAUUUUUUAGAGGUCUGCAUUUGUUUCGCUAGAUUGGGGAAAUUCUGAAGCAGAUUUUUGUUUAGCCUAGGGAGGAGGCAGUACUUUAGAGGAACACUAAGGGAAUUCUGGGCCCUAUUCUUAGGACAUGCUUUUCUUAUUUUGUUUUGUGGUUUAUUGGCUUUUUUUGCCCUUUAUUUUUCUCUCUAAAGGGAUAUUAUCUUGUUGUCUUUUUCUUGAUAUAUAUAUAUAUAUAUAUAUAGAUAUAUAGAUAUAUAGAUAUAUAUAUAUAUAUAGAUAUAUAGAUAUAUAGAUAUAUAUUUGGCAAAUAAUUGAUAGAAGGGUUUUGAACAAUUGAAAGGCAAUAGUUGAUGUCCCUUUUGGAGUGAUCUAGAGUCUGGUUUAGGAAUGGUUAAUUGCUCUUUGCUUGAUUUCAUUGAUGACUUAAGUAGAAGAUAUUUGGUUUUUGUAUAGUUUCCUAUUUUCAUUUGCAUUGUGGUUCCCAUUGUGUACUUCCAGUUUAUGUUGUGUGCACGAACCGUUUUGCUAGGCUCCAUUUAAUAUAUCUGCAUUUGCCUAUUAAAGAAAGAAAGGCAAUCAUGAAUGUACUCAAUCUUGACAAUCUGGAAGGAAAGAAACAACAUAUCUUUUGAUAAUUAAAAGAACUCUAUUCAUAGACUAAAACAUUCCUUUGUAAUAUUUGGACUUGGUCUAAGUUGUUUUUAGUUUUUAGUCCCCCCCAUCUGUAGUAGAUUUUGUGGACUGGUUGGGCUUGUUGUGAGAAGGGCAUUGUUUUUUGUUGCCCCUCUAUUUUGGAGGUGCGUUGAGGCAGUUGUUGUAUGUGCUCUGUGUACUUUGGGGCGCUUUGUAUGCAUCUUUUGUUUAUGAUAUUCCCUUGCUUUACUCAUCAAAUAUAUAUCUUGAAGGCCAAUUUCAUUAUUUUUGACAAUUCUCAAAGCCUAUCUUUUGAGUGUUUGUUCUCUUUUGAUGUUGUGUCAUCACAUCCAUAUUUGGAACGCUUCUUUCAUACUAGUUAAUCAUACUCCCAUCCAAUGUUUUAAAAGGCUAUUGAGCCUCAAGGUGAGGCUUUGAAAAUUAGCCAUGAGGCUAUAGCCUCAAUUAAGGUAAUUAAGGCUUAAGCCUUACCAUGUCGAGGCUUAAGCCUCAUAGGUGCCUCAAGGUUAUUGAGGCCUAAACCUCAAAUAUCCUAAAGGUUUUCGGUCAUUGUGGCCUUUUGAUAUAUAUUUUCUAAUAGGCUUAAGCCUCAAUAUUCAAUGAGUUGUGAUGGGAUAUAUUAUCAUCUAUGAUUUUGUGGGCUUUUAAUAUAUAGAUUUUUUGAGUUUUGUAUUGGUUUCCCACAUGGUUAAACCUUUUUCAAAAUAAAACCUUAAUUGACUUUCAAUUAACCUUUUAAAUGAAAGGGAAAAAGAGAGUUUGAGAAGAAAGAAUAGAGAAAUUGUUACCAAAAAAAAUAGUAAAACUAUUGAUUGUCCUGGUGUUUGAUUUCAUAUAUAUAGAUGUAAUUUUAUUAUUAAUAGAUCAGAAAAAAUAAUGAAGAAGAAGACUAGGUGGAUAUUUUUUUUUUUUGAUAAGUAUGAAGACUAGGUGGAUAUUAACACUAAUUGGGAGGAUGAUAUAGCAAUUAGAUAUGAUUAUAUCCCUUGGAGGAUCCUACUAGUGAUAGUGAUAGUAAUGUUAAAAAUUAUUUGAUGAAACUAUGACAGAAGGUAAAAUGUUAGAAGAGAGAAAAAAUGAACUAAAUUAGAAACUAUUAACAAAAUAACAAAGAAGAAGACUUGGUGGAUAAUAUAACAAUUAGAUAUGAUGAUAUUCCUUGGAGGAUCUUACUAGUGAUAGUGCUUAGUGAUAGUAAUGUUGAAAAUUAUUUAAUGAAACUAUGAGAAAGGGUCAAAAUGUUAGAAGAGAGAAAAAAGAAACUGAAUUAGAAGCUAUUAACAAUGACAAAUAAUUAAUUUUAUUAUUAUGAAGUUUAUGUUUUCAUUUUUAUUUUUUAUUUUUCAAUUUUCUUCUGAAUUUAUGAGUACUUUUCUGAUUUUUUUGAUAAUUUAUUUAUUAUUUAGUUGUUUAAGUUGAGUCUUAUACCUCGUUUUGCCUUGAGGCUUAUGCCUCCCCUCACUUGGGCAAAACACCUCAAGACCUCCUUUAGCCAUUUAAAACAUUGCUCCCUUUUUUUCAUUAUGUCAUGCUUGAUUAGUAAGAUAAAAAUGAUACUUAGGUGAUUUGUUUUUUUAACUUAAGUCUUAAAACCAGUUGUUUUAAGAUUUAAGAUAAGUAAAAAGAAUUGCCUUUUCCAUUAAGACAAAAUUGUUUUUGAAAAAAUGAUAGGUUAAAAAACAAACAAUUUUAAAAAUGACUUAGGUCUUUCUGAUAAAAGAAAAAUGACUUUAAGUCUUAAAGCAACUUGCUUUAAGACUUCAGGCAGAAAAAAUAAAGAUAAAAUAAAAAAUUUAAUACUCAGUACUAUUAAGUACUAUUUAGAUUUAAGACCAAAAAAAAAAAAAAAUAGUCACCCUAGACAAUGCUUUCAAUCAACUUCUUUAUGUACCCUUUCUUUUUGGUUAGCAACUUCACAUAUAAAUUUAGGACCAGAAUAAACUCUGUUUAGAUCAAAUGUUGCUUCUUAUUAGGCUAGACAAGUGAUUUGUGAUUUGCUAAAGAAACUUUAUGUGGUAUGGAAGCAUUGCCUAGAUAAGUUGUGUGAAAUCAUUUUCUGUUUCUCUUGUAUUGUUAUAUGAGUUUUUGGUUGGGAAGUAAACAUACAACAUAUUUCUCUGGUUUUGUAUGCCAGGAUUAGGGAUUUGCUACAAUACAUUCUCUUGAGUAUAAAUGCUAGGUGUCUGUUUGAAAAGGAACUGAUUUACUAAGAUUCCCUUGAAAAGAAAAUGAUACUGUCUGUUUUUGUGAUGGUAGAGACAUGGAUUAUAGUGUUGAAUAAACAUGGGCUAUUUGGACUUUGGAGCUUAAUCCAUUUUCAUGACUUAUUUUAAUUGUUAAGGUUGUUUUCAGAAUUGCUUUGAAAAAGCAAAAUUACACUCUCAAUUAACAGGGGUUGGCUGUAUCCCAUCUUGUUAUACCUUCAUGCCCAUAAAGGCCAAAAAAAUAAAAAACUUUUUGCUUAUUCAAUGAUGUGAAAACAUUAAGAAAACUAGCUAGCCCCUUUCUGCUACAUCUCUCUCUCUCUCUCCCCCUCUCCCUCUUACACACACACACACAUUCAUUCAUGAAGAUCAUUUGUUGCUUCUUUUGAUGUUGAUUUAUGCUUCAUCAACAUCACAAAGGUAUUCAUCUCCUAUAUCCUUAUGGUAUGCAUAUAUACUUUGGUACCGCUGUGCUAUUGUGAACUGAUUGGCAAAUCAUUAUGUUAAAGUUUCUCUUCAUUCUGAUGUUUUGUAUGAAGAAUGCUAUGUAUGCCUAGAUAAUGUGAUGAUAUGUUUGUGCUAUUGUGGAGAAUUGAAUGGCAAUUCUUGGUCUUGAACAUAAUCUCACACCUGUGUGGUUUGCUCUCAUGAUGAUGCUAUUUGUCAAAACUGAGAAAUUAAUUAUUUCUUUCUAACAGUAAAAGAACAUUUCAUCCUUGUCCUUGAAUCCCCAGGAGAUGUCUCCAGCAUCCAGAUCUAAGUCCAAAGACAGAAGGGUGGGCAAGGAACCACCGAAAGCUUCUUCAAAGUCUUCAGGACCCGCCAAUGCUGGCAGUAGUAUCCCAGCCAGUGCAUAUGAUCCAGUUUUAGGAACAUUCCAUGGCCUUGAACCAACACCAGUGACAUCUGCCCCACCUCUUCAAAGUAAUGGCCGUUUUCGUAGCAUAGAUGAAACCGAUGACAAUUGUGGGAGCUCACUUGGUACGGGAGGUGAAUAUGAUGCUGCUUCCAAUAAUGGUAGCUGGUCUGGUGAGUCUGAAGAUCAUAAAGAAAAAGCAUCUAAUCCACCUGUCCGACAGGAGGCAAUACCAGGAGCUGACAAUGACAAAAGAGAAAAAAUCCGUCAGAAGAAUGAGAGGAAGCAUCAGCGUCAGAAGGAGAGGAGAGCCCAGGAACUGCAUGAGCGAUGCAGUGGCUAUCUGAUGUCGAGAAAACUAGAAGCACUUGCCCAACAGCUUGUGGCAAUGGGGUUUACUUCUGAACGUGCUACAAUGGCUCUCAUAUUAAAUGAAGGCAGAGUAGAAGAAUCAGUUUCGUGGCUGUUUGAAGGGGGUGAAGAAGCAGAUAAACACAAGAGUGAAAACCUUGAUGGUGGGAAUAAUUUGAAAAUUGACAUAGCAGAAGAGCUUGCUCAGAUUACAGGCCUAGAGAUGAGGUACAAGUGCUCAAAGCAGGAAGUUGAAAGGGCUAUAGUUGCCUCUGAGGGUGAUCUUGCGAAGGCAGAAGAAACCUUAAGGGCACAGAGGCAAGACCCACCUUCCACUCCACCAAACUCAGAAGAAACUGAUGAUCCACCAACCAUUACUAAUGGUAAGCUUCCAGUAGCUGUUAGCCAGAACCCUUUGAGGCAAUCAACACAGUCCAAUUCAUCUUCUACAAUACAACAAAGGAGAGAUGAAAAAGACUUCAACUAUACAAAAUCACCUGCUACUAUAGGGACAUCUUCCGAACCUGGAAGUAAAAAUGUGCAACCUUUGAAGGGAACGCAACCUAAGUUGGAGUGGGCAAGACAACAACAAAUAGUAAUGCAGGAAGACAAAAGGUUGCUGACUGCUGGGUCAAAUUCUUCCCAUUCAUACACAAUGGCUUCACCCCUUCAGGUGUCACAGCCACCAGCCAAGACGGAGACCCGUUUUGCUGCUGUUGGGAAUGAAUUUAAGAACCUACAGCCAGGACCAGUUAGGGAACCAGUUAUUGUCAUGCAGCGGCCCCAAUCUAUCAAUUUAAAGCAUGUCUCUUCUACAAGCAUGAACUCAUCCCCUCCAGGAACAGCAGCUGGUUGGUAUCAUAGUAAUUUUGAAAUUGCCAAGUCCAAUGGGUUGUCACCCAACAUCCCUAGCACCAGAAACCUCAACCUGAAUGAUCUUAGUGCAAAUCAGUUGUACCACCAACAUCAUUAUCAAACACAUCAACAACUCAUGUCCGGUUCAAGCCCAGCAGAGUCCCCAGGAACUCACCGGGGAAAUGGUUCACGGAGCAGAAUGAGUACAUCUCCAAGCCUUGCUGCUGCCUCCUCCCUUGGACUUUUCUCUGGAUUGGGUUCAACUGUCUCGUCAGGGUCCUCCUCUCCUGUAGACUGGAGCACUGGUGGCCAAAUGCAACUGUUAGACUACACGAGCAUAGAUUGGACGUUGGAUCGGAAUUUGUCUAAUGGGAGACCCAGUGGGGGAUUGUGGCAAGGGAUGGCUUCUCUGGUGAACAACAAUGCUUACAUGCAUGAUUCAAAUGCAUCAGUAGUUGUUGGUAAUCCUACCAUGAGAAUCAUUCCUCCCAAUGGGCCUGGAAUCCCAAUUCCAGGCCUGCAGGGCGGUGGAUCUGCUAAUGCCGAAGCAUCCGCUGGUAGCUCUCGAGAGUGGACUUCUCCUUUCGAAGAGAGAGACCUUUUUAGCUUGCCCAGAAGGUUUGUUUUUUCGCCUACUCUGUAGAGAGGAUGAGUGGGAGGGAGGGGUCUAGAAGAAUAACAUGAAAAAAAAAAAAAAAAAUGUGCUUGGAUUUGAUAUGUUGAUGUCGUUCUUGUAAUGCAGUCGUGUCGUGUAUUGGUGGACAAUCUUUUAAAUGCAAAGAAAGCUUCUAAGAGUCCUUUGGUUGAUAGGUCUCUUUCACUACUUGAUGCUUUUAUUUGGUGUGGAGGGAUGUGGUGGCGAAUGCCAUCUUCUGUGUAAUGCAUUUUUUCAGCCAUCACUUUUAAAGCCAAUUGGUCUUCUCAGUAUAUAUGAGACAGACAAAAGCUCAAUCAGAAUUAAAUAAAUAAAUAAAUUAUCAUAAGUUUUUUUACGUGGUUGUUUUUGGGCUCAUUUUUCAUCCAUUUGUUACCAGAAGGAAGUGCGCCGGAGGUAAUGCAAAAUUCAAUCAAUUUUUCCUAUUAUCAUUUAAAUAAAUUUUCAAAAUUAUCUCAUGAUAAAUCUGGGUUUUAUAGUGAAAAGUGUGUUGGAAUACAAUUCAGAAAAUGUUGGAGAAGAUGAAAUGUUUUAUGUUUUGAGUAUUUUUUAAAAAUAAUUUUUAUAUGUAAUAUUUUAUUUUUAAUUAUGGUUCAUAUUUAUAUAAUUAUUUUUUUAAAAUAAAUAAAAAUAAUUUUUAAUGUAUAAGGGCAAGUGUUCAAGUCUUUGGGCUUGGAUCUGAUUUUUAAUUUUAAAACAAAAUAAUGAAGAGAGUGAGGAGCCACACCCACAGAUGAAAGGUUGGGUGGGCCACAUUUAUCCAUCAAAUUUCCAACUGAAUCUCCAUCUCAACUCACCACUCCAACCUCUGCACUCUAUACGGGACACAACAGAACAGAAAGGCAGAAACAGCACAGAGGAGACGAGGAGUGGGCACAUAUACUUACAUAUGUGUUCAUGGCUCUUUCGACUCCUCCAAUUCUAAUCACUCCCAGAAGCCACCACCCGUUCUCCUUUCCAACAGCUCAUCACCCAUCAAAACAAGCACCCUUCUCCUCCUCUUCCUCCUUCAUCUCCAGGUCACUUCAACCCCUCCGCCUCCUCUCUCCUCCUACAACAACCUUCCACUUCAAGUGCUUCUCCAAAGCCCAAAGGCAGUCAGACGACCAAGUUGAGUUUGAGAGGCUCUUCUCUAACCUCAAUCAAGCCACCCUCAAGAGGGAACCUGGUAUUUCUUUCUUCAAUUAAGGUUUUCGGUUUUAAUUUUUUUUUUUCAUUGCAAUGCUGCUGUUAUUGAUGAUGGGUUUCUUUUCGACUGUUACCAGGAAGCCUCAGUAGUGCCAUUUUUCUUGUUGCUGGCACCACGGUAUGCUUUUCCCUUUUCAGUUUUGCAUGCAACAGCAUGUGGGUAUAGGUAGACUUUGAGAAUUCUUCAUCUUUAAUAGCUCUAGCUCUAAGGAAUAAUUUUGGAAGAGCAAAAAUGAUGAGUUUGUGACAUAAUGAUCUGUUUGGUAGUGGGAAAUAGAAUGCUUUCUGUGUUUGCAAGAAUAUGGAUGAUGACAUGAUUGAAGUUCAUUUUUGAAGGGAAUUUCUAAAAGUAGGUAAUAUUUAGGAAACUCCAAAGAGAUGUUUUGCAAUCAAAAAACAGAAAAUAAUUCGACAUGAUGUUUUUCUUCAAGAACAUAUUUUAGUUAUUUUUCCUUAUUUUCUGAGGACCAUUUUUAAAAAAAUAAUGAGAUAAAUACAAAGAAUAAUUGAAAAUAAAGUAUCACAUAUAAAAUUUAUUUUAAAAAAUUGGAAACAUAAAAAACAAGUUGAAAAGUCUCCCGGUUCUCAAACAAACUUUUGUACUAAAAAACAUCAUAGAACUGUUUUUAAAAACUAUUAUAAAAAUCUACUUUCCCAUAACAAUUUGCAAAAGCCUGUUUUUGAGAGCAUUUAACAAACAGGCCAUAAGACAUUGUUUUUCACAUUUUCAAGAUGCAAGCAAUUUGCCAAUUGAAAACAAUCUGAACUCAAAGAUGUCUAUGCUUUUCACUUUUGAAAAUGAAAACAUUUUAUUUAAAAACUGUUUCUGUUUCUGGAUCAAGAUGCUUUUGUGAAAGAGGAUGCAGGAAGAGCUUUUCAACUCCCUUUUUUUUAUACCUUAUUUUGGAUACCUCUGGACCGCUAAACUCUCCUCAGAUUAUAAACUUAGCUAGAUGCUUUUGGAUUCGUCUCUAGAAAAGCUUCUAAUCACACUCCAAAGUUAAAAUAAUGUUUGCUUUAUAAAUAGUUUUUGUGGAAUUAUUAGUAUUGCUAUUUCCAUCUCUUUAUUGUAACAGCCAUUUCUUUGUUGAAUUCUAUAGGUUGGUGCGGGGAUUCUUGCAAUUCCUGCAGUGACACAAGAAUCCGGUUUUCUUGCCUCUGCAGUUACAUGCUUUCUUUGUUGGGUAUAUAUGGUAAAAUUCUGAGACUACAAUCAAAAUUAGUGAGCCUCAUUAUUUCAUGGUAGCCUGGAUCUUUCUACUCCUUAAAUUUUGCUUCUCUCAUUGUGUGGGAGAUAGCCUUGUAAGUGACUCAAUUUUGCUUGAGCAUCCUAAAUUGUGCAGGUUGUUACUGGGCUGCUCAUUGCUGAAGUAAAUGUGAACACUAUGUGCGAACUGGGUUCUGGC
rnacentral:lncRNA from 1 species